rnacentral:lncRNA from 1 species
GCAGAAGCAUGCAACAGACAGAGGCCCAUGAUUAAGGAAAACAUGAAGGAACCUGAAAUGGCUAAGAGGGCAAAUCCAGCCACAUCAGUGUCAUCUAUGGGGAACUGAUUUGGCAUGAACGUAUGGAGUUUAAAGGAGCAGUGUAGUUGGCACCCAAAAUGGUUGGGACUUUUUUUAGAGCAACAACAACAACAGUGCACAAGUAGGGCUUGUGGAUUUCACAAUUGCUGACUGUGGAGGAGGAUGAUUCAACAAGGCACAGCACACAAAUCCAAAAGGGGCUAAUCUGCCUCCAGGAAGGCUUUCUCUCUGCUGCUCUGAAGUGUAACAGAGGUCAAGGAAAUCCCAGAAUGCAAGCAGUGAAACUGCCAUGUUUUUGACAGUAAUUGUAAAUAUUUGGCAGUAAAGCUGACGGGAUACUGACAGCAGUGGUAACUCCUGAUUGAGGAGAAAGAGGACCAGCUCUUGUUGGGUUGGGUGGAUUUGUGGCCCUGCCUCAAAGCAGUUUCAAUUGCCUUCUGUGUCCUUCUAAAACCCAUAGUGAUUGCAGGUACCAGACAGUGGAGGGUAAUGCUGUUUGUGGGUUCUUACAAGUUCUCCAUUCCUAUUUCCAGCCCCUCCCUCUUUUUCUCCAUGUGAUCUGUCCUGCAAAUGCUGUGGAAUCCUGGGUGAUGGGUGAGAGCUCCCCAUGAGAAAAACUGAAUUUACAUGUCAAUCCCUGAACAGAGGUAAAUUACUCUAAAGUUAUUUUGGAUCACGGUAUUUAUGCUUUAGAGUUCUCUAAGCGUUUUUUUACUUCCUUGUUCUGCAAGUGUGGGUUCGGAGUUGCCUGUGCCACAGAAGCUGUUUAAAAACUUAUUGUGGUACUGACAGUUGCAUAGAAAGCCUAUCUAAAGGGGAGGGGCAUGGUUUUUGCAUGGUGUGGAGACAGUGUUUUUCCUUUCACUGUACAUUGGUACCUUGAAAGUUGAACAGAAUCCGUUCUGCAAGUCCGUUUGACUUUCAAAACAUUCGGAAACCAAGGUGCGGCUUCUGAUUGGCUGCAGGAAGCUCCUGCAGCCAAUCAGAAGCCACGGAAGCCGCAUUGGACGUUCAAGUUCCAAAGAACGUUCACGAACCGGAACACUCACUUCUGGGUUUGUGACAUUUGGGAGCCAAAACGUUUGACUCGCAAGGUGUUCGGGAUUCAAGGUACAACUGUACUAGAAUCCAAAGUUAUCCAGUGAAACAGACUAACAGGAGAUUCAAGACAUCAUUAAGUUAUGGUAUUUCACUGCUACCAGUUGUGAUGGUCACUAGCUCAGAUGCUUUUCAAAGGGGGUUAGACAAAUUUAUGGAGGAUAAGGUGAUAAAUGACUCCAAGUCAUGAUAACUAGAUGGACCUUUCAAGUUCAGGGGCAAUUGCUGAGGAGCAACAAGAAGGCAAAGUCCUGCUUGGGGACUUCCCUGGGCUAUCUGCCUGGUCACUGUGGAAAAUGGGAAGCUGGACUUUGGUCUGAUCCAGUGGUGCUCUCCUUCCUUCCUUCCAGUUAAAUGUGGAGGUCUGGUAAAACUUCUUUGGUGCAUCGCUGAAAGACAAAGCUUACAAGCAGCCACUUCUCUUAGUGGAUGUAAGCACCACUCGUUGAGUUCAUAGGCAGCCAUAGUAGCAUGUAGGGGAAUCCAAAAAGUCUGUCAUAAAAAUAUGAUGUGAAAAUCCAAAGCGAAGGAUGGGGAAUCCAACAAAGCUAGGAUUAUAUUUCUUUGUAAGAGCUAUUUUCCAUAUGCAUAAGUUGGAAGGAAAAUAAUAUUGCAAAGGUUUCAGUUUAAUUUUUUUUUACCAAUAUACAAGCUAGAGUGAGACAGCUGUGUUAGUCACAAGGUAUACAGGCAGGGUGAAUUACACAACUCAGAUCUUCCCAAACUAGAUAAAAUAAAAGUCUUUAUAGUACUCCAAAGAAUCAUGCUGCGUUCGUGCUGUUUAUUAGCUUUGAUUCCCCCUCCCCAUUUAAAAAAUACUGCUACUUUCUCUAUAUUUGUGUGUAUCUUAUUUUAGAAUAAUUAUAUCAUCAUUAUGGAAAGACCACAGUGGACAGUUGGAGGUCAAUUUAAGUUUGGGAAUUUAUACCUUGAUUUGGGAAGUGCUGGCAUUUAUGCACUAUUUUAUGUAAGUGGUUGAAAUAUAUGUGAAGCUAUAAAGAGCCACAAAGCAGUUUGUGGUAUUGAUGUUUGCCUCUGGUUGUAAAAGUAUAUAACUAGUGGAAUAACCCGCUGAGUGUUAAUUCUGAGCAAGGGUUAUUUACUGUAGAAUGAGUUAGCAGCAAAUGUGAAGGAUGAAGAGAAUAUUAAGAAACCUUUGUUUACCUGUACCAUGUUGAUUGUCGGUGGUAAAAGUGGAGCAGCUCUAAUAGAUCUCCUUCCUAGCUCAUGUUGUUGGCAAGUAUAUUGUUUGGUGGCUAUGGGAUAAAAUGCACACACACAGUUUAAAAAGAGGAGCCGAUUAUCUCCAGAGACGAUAGAUACUUUAUUGUGUAAGAUAGAUACUUUAUUGUGUAAGAUAGAUACUUUAUUGUUACAUAUUUUUAAAGUACAGUGGUACCUCGGGUUACAUACUCUUCAGGUUACAUACGCUUCAGGUUACAGACUCCGCUAACCCAUAAAUAGUGCUUCAGGUUAAGAACUUUGCUUCAGGAUGAGAACAGAAAUCGUGCUCCGGCAGCGUGGCAGCAGCAGGAGGCCCCAUUAGCUAAAGUGGUGCUUCAGGUUAAGAACAGUUUCAGGUUAAGUACGGACCUCCGGAACGAAUUAAGUACUUAACCCGAGGUACCACUGUAAUGAAUGCAGUUGCAUUCCUCAGCUUGCAGUACAUUCAAACACAAGACUCAGCUGCACAUUUCUGAAGUGCAGUCUCUGAACAGCCAUCCAACUUCAUGAACAGCAUGCUGGAAUGAUGACCAAACGCCAGAGAUUAGUAAUAGAAAAGACAAGUCUUCCUUGAGAACUUAUCUGUCUUCCUGACCCUUCAGACUCUUCCCAGGCCACACCCCCUUUCUCCAGGCCACACCUCCUUCGCAGCUUUGCUUUUGCCUAGUUGGAAUGUGUCCUUGACUUCUGGAAAUACCUCUCACAUGUCUGCAUGAAGGACAGAGAAGGGUGUGUGACAGUGUUAGAAACUGAGAUAUGAAAGCUAGGAGCUAAAUGGCACCUUAAACCUAGGUUACAGGUGCAACAGCAGAAUGUCUAGGUGUGCUUUUUUAAUAACAAGAAUACACAGCUGAAAAUGAAUGAACUGCAGCUAAAAUAUUAUGUUCAUUUUUCACAUAGCCUAGUCCUUCCCCUGCCCACCCCCCUAGUAUUCUUAAGAGGGUCUCUUCUCUAGUCUUCAGAGAGUAGCUGGAAGUGGGGAGGCAGAAAAAGUUCCUCCUUUCCUUCUACUCUGCAGUUUUAUUCUGAAAUCUUAGGCCCAGUACUGUGUCCACAGCUCAGAAACCGCUUGCACUAAUGAAAUUUAUUGUCGCAAAAUGCGCCUAGAACAAUGGGAGUUUCGAACACUGGUGUGUGAGUGUGUGUACAAACUAGCCUACUGUACAAAGGUAAAAUGUGUGUUAAAUUGUUAAACCCACUUUUGCCUCUGGCCCCAACCAACCACCCACUUAUGGUCCCCAGAAAGUUGCCCAGAAAGGAAGGUACCUUAGAUCAAGUACAAUAGGUACUGAUCAUCUCCAAACUCAACAGGCAUUCAGAGGAGAUGCCUAUAUAUUCAUUGCCAGCUCAUCUUUUUUCAUUGCCCGCUUCUGGGUCAUUGCUUGCAAGUAGAUCCUCUUCAUCUUUCCAAGUGGAGGCUUCCUCCAGAGCAGAAUCCUGGCAACAGAGCUUUCUGGCAGCCAAAUGGUCACUUCUGUGGCAACUCUAGGAUUCCCACUGGGUCCAAUGCCAUUCUUCAUCCUCAAGCCCCAGGGUGUGAAGGGACAGAACUGGGGAUCGAGGCAGGACUCAGCAUCUGACUGGAUGGGUUAUUUGGGGGGCCUGCUCCUGCCAUAGCUGUGAAGACACAGCUGACACAAGGCAGCAGAUGUGGUUUAAGGGAAUUUACUUGGAGGCUUGCAAGGAAAAUGGGUCAUGCCACCCAGCCCUAAAUGGUGCGAAUCUAAGCAUCUCAAAGCCAGCUAAAUCAACUGCCCAGGAUCGUGUGAGAGGAGGCAUCAUGGCACAGUCACAUAAUCUUUGUUUUGACUGCCAAACACUUAUGCUGUUUAAGCCGAGUUCGACAAUAAAUGCCUUUGACUAGCAAGUAAUUAGUCCUGUAACGUGCAAUUAGUGAAAGGUUAUGAAGACUGAAAGGCAACAUUAUUUAUUUCUUUUUAUCUCUUUCCUAUUGAUUUUUGUUUUAGAAGCAGCCCAACUUCUUAUUAAACCUACUAUUCCCAACUACACAAAAGCUUAUGUAAUGCUGCACAGUAUUCUGUUGUGCUUUGUUAACCUCACACAAAGCAUGCCUAGCUUCAUGUUAGACUAAGCUGUGGCCAUACCAUUAGGGAGAACGAGGUGGCCUCCUCAAUUGACAGAUGCUAGGGGGUGGGUUGCAUCAGGCCCUCCCAGCUAUUCCUCCUGAGCCCCCUCUGGCUGCUCUCCUGAGCACUCCACCCCCCGCAGGCUGCUCCCAUACUAGCAGUUUUGCUCGUUGCUGGCCUGGCCUGGCAGUCUCGUCUCAUUCUCCUACUGCAGGGAUAACUUACAUGGCUCCUGCCACAUGUUGGACUGCGAUUCCCAACAUCCCUGACCAUUGGCCAUGCUGGCAAGGGCUAAUGGGAGUUGUAGGCCACUGCCAUCUGGAGGAUACCAUGCUGGCUACCACUGUCCUAGUGUAUUGUGAUUGGGGUCAGGCAAAUAAGCAGCCAGCCCAGGCCACAUCCUCUUCCAGGCAGGUAUUGCUCUGCUCAUGUGACACAUGCCUGCUGGUACCACCGUUGCUGCAUUGCAGCACUUACUAGAGUCACCAGAUGGAGAGAUGGGUGAGUGGUAGUGAAGUGUUGAAGGAAAGGACUUUGUGUCUUAUGGCCUGCUCCCAGUGCCUCCAAGUUAGCCUGUUGCCCUCUGGUGCAGGACACCGUUCUAUACCCAGUGCUGAAAUAAAUUUGAACUCCUAGCCUGGGCAGCUGUUAUAUGUGAAAUGUGGGAGGACCUUCUUGUACUUUGUCUCAGGCAGCAAAAUGCCUUGGGCUGUCCCUGUAGGCCGCAGGAAUGUUAUGAAUUGUUUUCUUUCUGGUAGGCAAGCGAAUUGGCAAGAACGAAACCCAGAAGCAAUCAAGGAGAGAAGCUAUGUUCUCUGUGUCAUAGGUGGUAUCAGCUAGUAAAUUCCCAGGAAAGACAAAGGAGGCUUCCCAAUAAGAUGGUUAUUGUGGGAUGGGCACUCCUCAUGCAUGCAGUUGUGCUGUUGUUUCCAAUUUUGCAUGAUGUCAUUGGCAUCGGAAUGCAAGCCUGUGUUUUCCUUCCAUUUAAUCCUGGGUUGCCACAGUUGGAGGUAGCAAUGCUUCUGAAUAGUAGUUACUGGAAACCACAGGAGGGGAGAGUCCUGGGGAAAAGCCUGGGAGAUGGCAGGUGAGUUGAACUUUGCAUCUGCCUGGAGCAUCAAGCAACUGAAAAGGUGCAAGGCUCAGUGGUAGAGCAGCUGUUUUGCAUGCAGAAGGCCCCAGGCUUAAUCCUCUAUAUUUCCAGGUUGGAUACUCUCUAUCUGAAACCUUAGAGAGCCACCGCCAUUCCGUUUAGACAACAUUGAGCUAGAUGGCUCUUGGUCUGACUCAGCGUAACGCUUCCUUUGUUCCUAUACACACAGGUCCAUGGAAGCCACCGGUCUAAUCCACCUAAGGAAACAGGAAUACAGAAGUGAUCAAGCAGCUGUCAAAUGCUGCGGAAUACACAAAAUUCAAAGAAUCUGAGUCAAUAGCAGGCUCUUGAGCCACUUAGGAGUAGGCAUGUGAUCUCACCAAAGAGAGAGCUGGAGGCUUUAUGUAGACAGCCUCCCCUCCCCCGCAAAAAAACCCUCCACCUGAGUUAUAUCUGAAUUUUCUCCUUCAUUCCCCAAGUUCCUAAGCAUGCAUCUGCAUGACAAUAGUUGCAGUUUGGUGACAGAUACAAUUCACUUGCCUUCUGAUUCAUUCUCGACAUUGAUUUAGCUGUUCUGAAGAUAUGAAAGUUAUAAAUUUGUUAAAUGCUUAUAGGCUUCGGCUUGGUUUUGAAUUGUGUUGUCAAAAUACAAAGCGUUUUCCAGUCAAUAAUAACUUGUAGAGCAGAAUUGUGUGCAGCCUGGAGAAACGGCAGUUUCAAACACAUCAGACCUGUUGCCGUCCUCAUGUUUACAGCAAGAGAUAAGAUUAUCCAGGGUCAGUUUGGGAGUCCCAGGAAAGCCUUCAGGCCACUGGAAUAUUGCAUGCACAUCUGUUCUCCUAGACCAGUGGUGGUGAUGCUUAGUGGUGGUGAUACAGUGGUGCACACCUGACCUCCAAUCAGGUGCUUUGCUGCUGAUUACUGGGGGGCAGAGAGGAGUAGCAAGAUGGUGGCAAGGCUGGCACAGUGCAAAUGCACCAACAGAGCUAAUCUGGUGCUCCUGCUGGUGUGUUUGCGCUGCACCUCCACCUUUCCUGUCCACCUCUUCUUCCCAGUCUGCAGCGAUAGCAUGACCAAAUGAAGGUCCGGUGACCAGCACUGCCCCACCAUGGUGUCCACUACUGGGGAGGGGGCUGUAGUUUUCCAACUGCUCUUGAACUAUCAUCCCUCUGGAUCAUGCUGGUGGUGUUGAUAGGAGCUGGAAUCCAACAAAAGAGGCUACUUGACUUAAAAUAGAAGUUUUAAAUAGCAAUCAAGUUAUAAAUAGGAGUGCCUGUACUCUAUUCCUACUGUAUCAGAUUCACGUGUGUCUCUUACCUGUGAAGAGAGUAAAUUGCAGAGCUUUCUAAAGAAUCACAGGAAUACCUAUGCCAUAUAUACUACAAAGGUUUAUGAUUCAGAAUCAUAUACAUUUUUGUGAUAUUAAAGAACCAUUGCCUUACUGGGACUGAUUACACAAAGCCAUAGAAAGCUGUAUUUAUAGCAUUUUGUCCUAAUAUUUCAGCAAUAAAUCAUCCCUAUCCUUAAUUGUACUUUGUUUCCUUGACAUUUAAAAUCUGUAAGCUAUUUGAACUAGUAAUUUAAGACCUAUUGUUAUUUUAGAUUGGGAAUUUAAAUUUGCCACCUGUUUAAAACAAAUUGCAGAACUAAAGGCUGUAUUUCUUGUCUUUUAGUAGAAUUCUUGUCUCAAGGUAGAGUUUAAUAAAAACCCACCUCCCACCCUCUCACUACAUGGAGUUUUAUGUCUGAGAAACGAAAGAUCAACCUAUGAAGCUUCUUUUUGGAUCUGAAACUUGGUGCAAUGCUGGUUUGCGGAGCGUGGGGGCAGCACUGUCAAUAAUAAUUCUGAUCUAUUUACAAACCAGUUGACGUUACAAAAUUAUGGGAUUUUCCACACUUGGUUCUUUAGUUGUGAUUCUGUCAGCAUCUUAUCAAAACACCCUUUUAGAAAGCAUGAAAUCAGAUCUCGGGAAUUAAGGGACAUAAAAUAUGGAGAACAAAAAAACUCUUAAAGGAUUGCAAGAGGCAAAUAGCUCCUAACCAAAUUUUAAUUGAAUCAAAAUAAUACUCUUAAGGUAGCUUUCUUUGGGGUGUUCUAAGCCAUUAGAGGCACGGUUCCUAAAUGCAAAAUGAAGAGGGGAAUAAAUUACCCAUAGAAGACAUGUAUUUGUCUUCCCUUUACUUGCUUGUAGGGAUGCGAACUUAUUCCCCAGCAAAGAGCCCCCCCCCCACUAUGCCGUCCCUGGUCCUCGCUUUUGCAAAAACAACACAAAAUGCAAGAAGGAAGCAAAAAGCUGAAGUGAGGACUGUGAGCUGCAAACAUCCAUUCUACCCCCUUCUCUCCCUGCCAUACACCCAUUUCCCAAUGUUUUGUGUUGUAUCUUUGCUAUGGAUUAUGAUUGCUGAGAGCUAAUUUUGGCAAGGAAUUAGGCCAUAAAUAUACAAACUAAAUGAAAAAAAAAUGCAAACAAUCAACAGGAGCAUUGAUUCUGCUGUGAUCACAGCAAUGCCCUGUAGAGUCUGCAAUGUAGAUAGAUGGAUGGGCAAGGUGCCUACAUUCACAAUUACUGUUGAAACAGGGAACCAGCUGCAUCACACUUAUUGAAAUAUUCUAGUAGGUAAAUAUAAUGCCAAUCCUUGUCUGACAGCUCUGACUGAAAAGUCAAAGUGCUGGUGUUGACCUAUAAAGCCUUACAUGGCUCAGGACUUCAAUACCUUAAGGUCUUCCUCUCCCCAUACAAACCGACCUGGACCCUGUGCUUGUAAUCUGAGGCCCUACUCUGUGUCCCUGCUCCCUGAGAUAUUCAGAGGGUGGCAACAUGAGAAGGGCCUUUUCUGUGGUGACUCCCCGUUUGUGGAAUGCUCUCCCCAAAGAGGCUCCUCUGGUGCCAUCAUUACAGGUUUUUAGGCACCAGGCAAAACCAUUCCUUUUCACCCAGGCCUUCAACCAUUAAAUAAUCUAUGGCCUGUUAAAGCCGGGGAUGGACAGACUGUUGUUAUGAUUAUUAUCAUUUUGCUGAUUAUUACUAUUCUUCAUUUCAUGUUUUUAUUAUUAUGCUGUGUAAAAUAUAUUCCUAAUGUUGUGCACCACCCUGGGACCUUUUGAUAAAGAGUUGUAUGAUGAUGAUGAUGAUGAUGAUGAUGAUGUUGUUGUUGUUGUUAAAAAGUCAGGGGUGGGGGAACUUCCAUCCUAAUUAAGCCCAUCAGACCUCUCCACUCGGUCCACAGGGCCAUCUUGGCAGACCCAUGCCCAUCAUUUGUUCUUUAAAGCACUGCACAGGGCUCUUUAUAAGGACCCUGAUCACUGCUUUGAAGUCCUGACAAUCAGCUGAUUGCUGGGGCUUCAAACUGCCAUGUCAUUUCCUCCAUACCUAACUACACCCAACUACUGGUGACAGGCUAAUACCUUCAUUACUCCUUUGGGCAGCUGGCCACUUGGAACCCAGCUCUGUCCUCCAUUAGAGAGGAGUGGUCAGGAGGUUAGGAAGAGCAGUUGGAGGGUUUCUGCUGCUAUCUCCCAGCUUCUGCUGCCUGAGGUGGUUGCCUCAGUUCACCUGUUGGUUGGACCAGCGCUGAAGGUUCCACACCUGUGCUCCAGGUUGUUGUGGCUGUUGAGGACAAGGGCAAUGUGGGAGCAGUGAAAGAGGCAGGGCACCUCUAUCUAGUCUGAAAUUCCAAGGGUUCAGAGAAAAGGAACCUUGAUGGAAAUGGGGAGGUCUUGCGGCAGCAGAAGCUUCUGGUGGUUGGAUGGCGACCAUAUCGGGUCAACCACUGUGGCUCAGGCAGAAGAGCUGAGCAGCAUCUGCUGAGCAUUCAGUUCUAACUUCUCUGCAGCGCAAGGCUUAUGCUUAAGAGAAUUAUUAGUCUCCAUUGUGCAAAUGAGAUGCACGGGGCGUGCUUCUAAAUGCUACAUUCACUCAGGCUUCUUCCCUUUGUAGGAAGUGAAAGUAAUUCAGAUUGAAAGCGUAUACGUUGCCCUUUGUAUACGUCUGGCAAUAGAAACAUGCUUGUCGAGGAAUGGAAAUGAAAUGGAAAGUGCAAGGGCAAAAAGCCAUUUCAUGUUUUGCAAAGUGAGGCAGUAGAAUGGAAAAGGCUGAACCACCACUCCCAGAAAUAGGAAACGUUUUCAAUCUAAGAAAGGGCCAAUAUAAAAUUCAUGUGAUCCCUAAUGGGUCUGGGGGGAAAGAAUUGUCUUACCUUGCAGCCCCUGCCUGAAAAUUUCUUUUGCAGUUUAUUCUUUAUGAUAGGAAGUUCUGUAUGCCCUCUUCCUACUAGGUGCCCAAUGCAAUGUUUUAUAUUGCAGUAAGACAGUUGGCCAAUCCCGCAGUUUGGCAGAGUAAGGCAGGCACCUCUCCGGGAUCUGAUUUUAGGUGCCAUCAAAGGGCAGCAAAUGGUUAGUUAUGUAAUGUAAUAUUGCUGCAUUGUUACUGCUAGGGAAAAAGAGAGGUGAUUGUGAGUUGCCAAAAUAACUUGGCUGGCCUUGGGUGCUAUUAGAGACAGACAAAUCAUCCUAUUUCCAUCCUAAGACACUUUCGGUUUUUGCGAAACCAGCUUGGCUUUGUCCCUUUACAAAAAAGAAAAAGCGGAGGAGGACUUAUGAGGACUUUUGCCUGGCACCUUAAAAAUUGCCUUUUUCUUCUUUUUAUAUCCUGCUUAACUUUUUAAGCUGCUCAGAGGAGAGCCAUGGCCAUGUGGUAAAUCGUGUCUUUGAAAAUGUUCCAAGGAAAAAAAGAUGGCUGCCCCCAUGUACCAUGUCAAAAAGGAAAAAGAGGGGAUUCUUAGAUCACCUUGUAACUAUUGUAUGGACUGAUGUGCCAUUUUGUCAAUUGAUUAUGUGACUUGACCCCCACAGAUCAGUGUUUCAAUCCACACGUGGGCCCAGGGGUGGGGGGAAUGGGAAAGUUCUUCCAAAAAGGUGGCGUGAAGCAAAAUCCUCCUCACCCCUAUAUAUUUAACUUGAUGAGAUGAGGUCUGUGCAUCAUUCACAGUUCUUCAUUGGGCAGCAAAGUAUCUUUAGCUGGUUGUGGACAAGAAGGUCACAGAAGCUAACAUUUUAGACCAAAUAUAUGCUUCUCCUGAGGCAGUCAUUUCCAAAUGCAGCCAAGAAUCUUGUGACACCUUACAGACUAACACCUUCAUUAUGGUGUAAGCUAUCAUGGACUACAAUCCACUUCAUCAAAUGUAGUCAAGGGAAGGUUAUGCCAUCCUGUGUUUAUGUUUAUUUGUCAUAAAGCGCCACAACACUCUUGGUCGUCGUCGUCUUCUUCUUCUUCUUCUUCUUCUUCUUCUUCUUCUUCUUCUUCUUCUUCUUUGCAGCAGAUGUCAAAAGCCUACCACAUGGAAAUUAUUUGCUGAUAUUUUGCUAUGGAAAGGGAACCAUCUUGCCUUUGACACUAAAUAUUUUCCUCUUUCCCACAGUUUGCCACAAUGCACUGAGUAUUAGAUUUACUGAAAUAAAUAAGUAACACAUACAUUAAAACCAGCACAAAAUAAAACAGAGGAAAAUCUAAAACUCAUUCGUAUUUUUAAAAGGCAGGGCUGUCUAAAAAAAACACAUCAUGCUCACAGCAGGAGGCUGCAGAAAAUUAAAAGCCAAAGGCCUAGUGGAAAAGAUUUAGUUUUGCCUGGCAAAAAUAGAUAAGUAAUGAUGGCACCCGGCGAGCCUUCCUAGGGAGAGAAUACUUAUGAAUAGAUAUGGUUAGGAUUGCAGUCUAACUUACACUAUCCCAGCCUAGCGUCCUCCAGGACCAUAACUCCAUUCAGCCCUAGCCAGCAUGGCCAGUGGUCAGGGAUGACUUGAGUUGCAGUUCUGGUGAAGACAUCUCUGUUUUAUGGAGUGGCUUAAGCAUCACUUCACCAUGGCAAGCACCAGUACUAGGGGUUAGCAUAGACCUAAAAGGAUGACUUACUGCUGUAUAUUGCAGCACAGUGACUCAUAUUACCCCCAUACAUUUAAAACACAUGUCUUCCCCCAAAGAAUCAUUGGAAUUGUAGCUCUGUGAGGGAUUCUGUGAGGGAUUCCCAGGGUUUUUUUUGGGGGGGGGAUAUGUGCCCUAAAUGUAUGGUGUGUAUGACUUGAAUGCUCAUUAAAUAUGGAAAUCUAAGUUUCAAAAUAGAUUGGAGGGUGCAAGUGGCCAUUGACAGUUCAAGCAAAACUUUGAAUUACCUUAAAAUCUGGCAAAAAUACAGAAUGAGAACAUACAGUUAAACAUUUCAACAAUUUCAAAUGCCUGUAUUGAUUCAGACCAAGAUUUUGAAAUAAAUGUUGGUUUAUCCCUCCUCUCUGCUGUCACUGUAGCACCAGAGCAUGCUUCAAAAGCGUAAUUCCUUCCUAAUAUUCCUCCUGGGCCUUGGUAGCUGUGACAGCCUUAAGCAGUGGCUUUGGGCAAAGUAAAGUCACUUUCAAAAAGCAGAAGUCAAGAAACAACAUCUAGAAAUGAUAAUCUGUUGAUGUGCCACAUCUGAACCUGCUUGUCUUGCUAUCAGAUGUUGUUAUACCAGCUGAAAAAUGUUCAUGCGAUUAAAUAACAGAAUUCUGUUUCAGUCAGUUUGUGGUUUUAACACAAGAUUCCUGUGACCCAUCUGUUACAUUAUAGCUUCAGUAAACGAUUUUCUUUUUUGAGGAGGGGGUAUGUAAAAUGUAGGAAUAAAAGUAUCAAAUAGGCUGAGGACGGAUUAUUUGUUCCAAGGACCCCCAUCAAAAGCCAAGUUUCCACAGUUUUGCACAGACAAUCUCAGGGGGGUCAUUUCUCACAUUUUGUCUUGGUGGCACAUAAUAUUUCUUUUCUGCAUAUGUCCCAAUUCCUAUUAAAACAACGAAGAGGAGUUUAUUUAUUUCAUGGGAAAAUAUGAGUACUUUUCCUGGAAAGUUUGCUCAGAGCUGGAGAAGUAUCCUAGUCUUUUCACCAAUAACAUUUCAAGAGGAUUUUAGAAAGGCAACCAAUAUAUAGGGCAGAGUGAGUCUACAGAGCAUAUAUCAAAAACAGUCUAGGACUCUAGUCCUAAUCGUUCCUUUCAGGGACGCCCUGUCACAAAAGAAGACUGAUUCUUGAGUAUUCCUUAAACAGAGUAAUGUAAAGGAAUAGCUUCAUCUUUUGGCAGUACAAGAAAUAACCAAGCAAUGCACUUCAGUGCACUUUAGGGUGGACAUUUUUCUUGAAUGCAUUUGACACAGGAACACAGGAAGCUGUUUUAUCCUGAGUCAGAACUGGUCCACCAAGCUCAAGCUCUCUAGGAUUUCAGACAGAGUUCUCUCCCAGCAACACUUGGAUAUGCUGGGAAUUCUACAGGCAGAACAGAUGCAGUACCCCUCCUGAGCAAUGGCGCUUCCCCAACAUGUAAGCCAAGGAGGCAAAGACUGCUGUUCUAGGCAGAUACAGUUUGGAGUAAGUCUGACUGAACUCUGUGCUGGGGCUUGCCUUUGUGCAAAUAUACAUUGGAUCAGGAUAUAUGAUGUUAUUGGCUCUGUAAGAGCCUUAAUGAUUGCUGUGCAGGAUGAUGAAAUUGACAUAAGCAUAGAAAGACAUACAAGAAAUAAAAUGAAAGGAAGGAGACUUGAAAAGAGAUUUGCAUUGAGGAGACAGGUAGUGGCGGCGUGAUAACACGGUGACAAGGAGAAGUGGAAGGCAGGCAGGAAAGGAGGUCGAAUGAACAGGAUAACAGACAGAAUAUUCAUAAGGAAACCCAAGGAAAGAAGGGGGACACUGUUUGAAUCAGCUUCCUCCACAAAAUAAGUGAAUUUAUAUUUCCUUAGACUGACACGAGGAAAUCAGGCCUCUGCAUUCAAGGAUUUAGUUGUUGUCUCUCCCCAAUACGCUCUCACAAUGAGUUUUUUGAAAUGAGGUGGAUGAAGCAUAGCAAAAGCAUCUGCGCCUUCUUAUAUAUGAUGCGAAAGCUGUGUUGCCUGCUGAACUAUGACAUUUGGACUCCACACAAACAUCAAUAAUGUAACAAGUUUAUUAAACAGGCUUAUAUACAGUGGCCAAGCAGGGCUCUUAGCGCAGGUCUUCAGCUGGGUUUCUCCAAGUCCAUGGGAAGUGGGAACCUGAAGGCUUGACUGUCCAUGGGGGACAGAGCACAGUAAAAUCAUUGUGCCUGAAUAUAAAAUAAAAUUUGCACCCAGAUAAAAAGAUUCAAAACAGUUGAACACCAUCAUACCGUAUUUUUCGCUCCAUUGGAUGCACCUAACCAUAGGACGCACUGGACCAUAGGAGGGGGAGAACAGGGAAAUUUUUUUUUCUUGUUCUCCCCCUCUAAAACAAGGUGCGUUCAAGGUACAUUCACCAGAGCUUGUGGGGCUGGCGGUGGGGGGAAGCGCUGCUUUCCCCCACCGCCAGCCUCAAAGAUCCCUGAAGCCUUUGGAGCGCAGCGCCCCGCUGCCCUGCCGAGGUUUGCGUGCAGCCGUCCCCAAGCUAGAGCAGCGAGACGGAGCCCUCCGCCUCGCUGUUCUGGCUUGGGAACAGCCUUGUUGCUUCUGCAGGACAGCGGGGUGAAGGCACCCCGCUGCCCUGCAGAGGUUUGCGUGCAGCCGUCCCCAAGCUAGAGCAGCGAGACGGAGCGCUCCGCAGUGCUCCGUCUUCCUGUUCUGGCUUUGGGCUUAGCGGCGCAGCCUGCAUUCGCUCUAUAGGACGCACACACAUUUCCCCUUAAUUUUUAGAGGGGAAAAUGUGCAUCCUAUAGAACGAAAAAUACGGUAAUUACAGACGGUCCCUGUAUCUGUAAGUGUAGCUGACUGGAAUUUAACUGGGUUCACAAAUAUUUCACCUCAUGGGUAGCAUUUCCCCUUCAUUCAAAACCAUCACGGUCAGUACCAUCCAAGAAAGAGAACAUGGACAGGGCUGAUUCACACAACUGUUUCUGCCACUGUGAGACGAUUGCUGGACCGUGAUUACAGGACGGCCAGUUGCACAACAGAGGACAGGAAUCCUAGAAUGUAGUUUAGAAGAAGGGAUUUGGGCAGGUGCAGUUUAUCUCAACUCUGCAGUGCUGUGACAUAGUAUCACAGCUGCUAAAACUCUCUCUUCUGCACAGCCAUUAAGAGCGUAGGACUCCUGACCUCUGUUGCAUUUAGUAACCCUGUCAUUUUAUGGCAUAGCUUUACAAAGAGCCUGUUAUUGUGCGCAGACCUAUCACGUACUCAAUGAUAAAGGUUGCCAGGAGCAUGAUGGUGUAGCAGUGAGAUGGCUGGAGAAGCUAGUUCCGAGAACUGGUAGCACAUUUAUUCGUUGCAAAGAGGCCAAGCAGCAGUUGUGCAGUUUGUGGGACAACCAGCCUCAUAUACCAACAAGCUUAAGUCUAAUUAAUGCAUGAAAUGGUUAAUACCAUUAGGGUUCCCAUAUUCCAGGGAUCAAAAACCCAGACACCUCCCACACCGUAGGGAUAACCCCCCACCAUCCAGCAUCUCCCUAGCUCGCCCCCUCCUUGCUGUUAACCCCUUCCUCGCCUACCUGCUCCCCCCUUCUUCGUUCUCCUCUCUUAUCGUGGAGCCUAGCACAGCCCCAGGAAAACUGCACAAGUUCCUGGCAGCUGCUAGGACCAGCUCAGGGCCUAGCGCGAUCCCCAGCAGGCCACUCCAGGCCACCCGAUAUGUGCUUUCUGUUCCGGGGCACCGCGCCUUCUGAGCAUUCAUGUGCCCCACAAACAGAAAAGAAAAUAACAACCCCCAAACCCAGACAUUUAAUCCGAAAAGCAAAAAUCUGCCCAGAUGGGGAUGUUGACCCCCAAAACAGGACGUCUCUGGGAAAUCCUGGACCUAUGGCAACUCUGAAUACCAUAAGCUGCCCUGCUAGGCUUAGCUACCUCAUUUCACCUUACCUUGGGAAGAAAUAGGUAAUCAAGCCUAUUGUUUCUUCCAGUCUACCUGAGAAGCUCAUUAUGUGAAAAGGUUUGAGUUGGUUGCUCCAGCUCAGCUGCAUGACUCUCAUCAGCACUCUUGAGUUCCUAUACCAAUAAUCUAGGAACUUUUACCAUUUUGUAACUAAGUUCUACUGCUUGUGCAGCUUUUCUGACUGAUGUUUGGAAAAGCACGUGAAGUGAACCUUUGAAAAGCUUGUAAGUAAACUAAUUUUUAACUUGCCAAGCGUGUGGUAUUUUUCUAUGCUAGGGGAAAUGGGAAACUUUGGAAGGAAUUUUAAAGGGCACAUUUUAAGGUUUUACAACCUAUAUUUCCACACUUUAAUUAGCUGCUUAUUUUGUGACUUUAAAUCUCAGCUGGGGUUCUCUCACCAAAGUGUACUUGCCCCAAACUUGGAUCUUGGCAUCCAGGAAUCCAGGAAUCCCUUCUUUCUUUCUUUUGCAUCAACACAGUUAAGGAACGCCCCCCCCCAAACCUACUACUGCUGGUAAUGUGGUGAUCUAUUCACAAGGCUCCUCUGUGACACACACUCCUUGUUGGUCACAGCUGACCAUUUAGAAAUCAUUGCCUUACGCUUGUUUUAGAAAUUUUUGAAACAUUCCUUAUACCCAUGUUGGUGUGGCAAACCAUUUUCCAUGUGUGUGUGUGUGUGUGUGUGUAUAUAUAUAUAUAUAUAUAUAUAUAUAUAUAUAUAUAUAGUCUAAAUAUUUAGCAGCUGAUUACCACCAGCUGAUAACAACCUGUGUUCUAAUAGUGGUCACUUUCACUUAUCUUAUCUACUCUUGCCCAGCAGCCAAGAGGGUGUCUUAGAAUCAAACCGUCAUUUCAAACUAUUCCUGGAAUACUAGUAUUAAACGAACCUUUGAACCCAUAAAGGAAGUUUUCAUUCUACACUAUCUGUUCUCUGUGAUGCGACACUGUGACACAUAGAAACAGCUGUUAAUAAUGUACUCACAUUCAGAAUUCAAAAGUGAUAUUUUUGGUCAUUGCUGUAAUAUCCAUGUUCAGAUACAGUAAAUGCAUUUGGGAUAUAUAUGAAUAAGCCUUUUGCCCGCAUGUGGAGUUUCUUUGUCCUUCCCUUUGGAAUGCAUAAAUAAAUAAAUAAACAAAUAAACCAAGCCAGGAACCCUUUAAUUAAUCAUAGUUCUUCUGUUUCAUCCAAACUGAGAAACUAUGGUUACCAGCUUUGAAGCGAGCCAGGAUAUUAAAUCAACUUCAGACUGUGACUUGAAGAGCAUUGUUGCUAGUACUGCAUCUGCUACCAUUGCCCACCUUCAGUGCAAAAAAGUAAAAUAGAAAGCAAAUACUAAAGAAACCACAAUACGUAGGGCAGCUCUGAACCUUGUGGCAAAUUUCAAGGCAUUUCCGUACAGCACUGCUUAUAAGACUGUGCCGAAUAUUCUAGGGUAAACAUUUUCCAUAUGAAAAAAGUGGCUUUUGAUUGGCAAUGGGCACCCAGAAAAUUACCUCUCUUUUGCUUUAGUAAAUGGCUGCUUUCAGUUCUGAUCAGCUGCAGCUUUGGCGCUUUACAUACGCAGUUGAAAAUAGCCCUUCUUCAUGGUGGUAAUAUCACAUGUCAGAUUUGGCCGCAUGUCACUGUUGAUAAAAAAAAAUAAUGUUUCCUUUCCCUCAGUAAUUUGCUUCAAAAAAUUCAAGUUUUAAAAAUAUUUGUAACAGUGAUAAAAACAAAUAGCAUUUUUCAAGCAAAACAUGGUGUCAAAGUUGCAGCUAUCGGGGCUAUGAAGAGCUUGUUCUAGGGUGCUUCUAACUGAAUGCCAGUCACUGGAAGAGAUACCCAGGGCCAGGGGCGCCAACUAACCCUCCCCCCACACAUUGAGGGGGUCCAGCGUCACAUGACAUCACACGCAUGAUGUUGUGUGCCCCUCCAUGCAUCCCGCCCCUGGAGCAUGAGCGCUCAUAUGGUGGGUGUGGGGCGUGUGGAGGGCGAUCUUCACCCAACAUGCCCCCUGCCCCCUCCUGGCAGGUGAGUGCUGCCCGCGACUGUGGGCUGUGGCGGAUGGCAGCCCCCUCAAUUUGGGGGGGGCUUAGACCCCUACCCACAAAUAUCAAGGGGGCUGAAGCCCUUUCCACCCCCUAUAGUCGGUGCCCCUGCCCAGAGCAUAGGGAGCCACUUGAACAUCAGUGGUGGCUAAGCCCUUACUAUCAGAUAUGCACAACCCCUUUCUCCCCUGAAAAUUGCUGAUUUUGCAGGGGUGUAAAUGUUCAUGAAUUUCACACAUGCUUUAGCCUAAGCAUUUUACUAACUUAUAUUAUUAAACUUGCCCGCACUGGUGGAUUUUAAUGCUCUCUCUCUCUCUCUCUCUCUCACACACACACACACAGAGCAAGAUUUUUCUUCUCAGUCUCUUAAUUCCCAAAAUAUUGCUUAAUAUUGCUUUCCAGGUGCACACGACCUUGAAAACCAGUUACUUGGUAUGUGAUGCAUCCUCAGAAAUUGGAAAUAUUGACAUAACAUAGCCAAAUAAGCCUUACUUUUUAUAAUUUAGUCACUGAGGUUGGCUCUGUCCUGUAUAUUGUAUUUUUGUCUGCCUCUUCACCCUGACUUCUUAUACCAAGUGAAAAGCGUGAGCGACAUGUAAACUUUCAUAUCAAAAAAAGCACAAGAGUAAUACAGACAACACAGAUUUCUAAACACAGCAGCCAGAUUUUAUUCAGGUUUUCUUUUUAAAAAAGCAUAAUGUUAUCUUAAAUGAUUUCUCAGUAAGACUGUAAUCUGCUUCUCCCAAAUAGCAUUUAACAGAGCUGUCAGUGUGAAGAAGCAGGCUUAAUCACAUGUGGAUUACAUUGCUUUGUUCUUGGUCUUAUUUUCACUCUCUUGCUGUCCUUUCUAAACAGAGAACAAGCUUGGGAAAUGCUAUCAGCAGAAUGGCCAGCAAUAUGAUCAGAAACCUCAAUCCCAUUUAGUUAGUGAGACUUACCUCCGGUUAAAUGUGCUUUGGCAGAUGCAGUCAAGGUCGAUCUUCAACCAGGCAAAAGUCAAGCCUAACCUGGAUGCCUUGACAGCUUAACCAGGUCAGGCCAGACCAAAUCAACAAACACAGUGGAUUUAUAGGAACCUUUUGACCUGUAACCUUGGUUGACUCACUGCAUGAGGCUAGGGAAGGGAAGUUUCCUGUUUCUAGCACUGGCAAUUCCUGCCACCCUCUCAGCCCCUGGAAAAUGUCAGUUUUGUGAAAGUGUACUUUGGUUUGGGGGACAAAAGGAAACAAUAUAUAUUUAAGAUCCAGUGCACUAGCCAGAGGCCCCCACCCCACUCCAAGGGAUAUUCCAGACCACUUCCUUGGGUUAUCUGCUUUCUUUAAAGCAGAAAAGAGAGUCUCUAGCCCAGGGAUGGGGGACUCCAGUACAUCUCCCCCAAUCCCUGUGCACUGACAAUGCAUGCUAGCUGCAACUGAUCAGAAUUCAAAGUCCAGCAACAUCUGGAGGGCAACAGGUUCCUCACCCCUGCUCUAGUUAUUUACAAGGGGGGGGGAGGCAGGCAGGAUUCACUAAGAAAUAAACAUUCUCCCAUCUUCUAGCGUUCCAUCAAAUGCAUGCCAAUGCUGUGGGAUGACUCUCACACACCUGGCAAUUGGCAUCUAAUUUUUAGGAAAUGUUUAAUAGUAUAUUUGAUUACUAUUAUAAUCAAAUAAUAAAUUAAUUGAUGGAGAAAAAUGCUUGCUCCUUUCUCAUAACGCUAGAACCCAGGGACAUCCCACGAAACUGAAUGUUGAAAGAUUCAGUGCAGAUAAAGCACUUCUUUGCACAGUACAUAGUUAAGCGAUGGAACUCACUCUCACGAAAGGCCGGAAUGGCCAUCAACUUGCAUGGCUUAAAAAGAGGAUUGGACAAAUUCUUGGAGAAUAAGGCUAUCAAUGGCUACUAGCCAUGAUGGCUAUGCUCUGUUUUAAUGGUCAGAGGCAACAAUAUUUCUGAAUGCCAGAUACUGAAAACCAAAGGAGGGGGAAAUACUCUUGUGCUCAGGUCCUGCCUAAGGCUUUCCCACACAUUUCUGUGUGGCCACUGGAUGGUGGACUAGAUGGGCCAUUGCUAUAAUCCAGCAGGCUCGUCUUAUGUUUUUAUGACCAGUCUGAAAUUUGUUUAAUUUCAAAUACAAGAGAAGGGGAGAUUGCAUUAAAAGGGACACACACACACACACGGUUAAUCUCUAGUUCCUAACUUCUAUAAUUUGCAAGCAGAGUAUCUUAAACUGAUGUGCAAACAUCAUGGGACCUGUCCUCUAGGAGAGCAAGCAGAGAUCCUCCAGGCAAAGAGAGGCAAAAUACUACUUUAUGAUGUAUUCCAGGAGGGAUGGUGAUUGAUGAGGGAUAGUAAGUAUCCAAUUAGGUAUGGUCCUGGGGUUUGUCAGGUCCAACAAGUGUGCAGAUGACAAUACUUAGUAUCUUUCCCAUAGCCCAUGGAAGAAGCUGCCUUUCUUGACAUAUGCUUCUGCUUGCAGUCAGGCAAAGCUCAGGAUGGUGUGUGUUGCCUGCUUUGCUGUUACAGAAGUAGGAGUCUUUGGCCAACAUGAGAAUUCCAGUAGUACUUACCUGUCUCCCGACAGCUGAGCCAGUGCUGUUUAUUAGGAUGGAGGGGGCAAAGUCAGCACAGUGCAAACGCACUGGCAGGAGUAGCAGAGUGACUCCACUGAUGCAUUAGCAUCGUGUUGAGCUUCUUGCUGCCUUGCCCAUUCCCUCCUGGUAAGCAGCAAUGACUCAGCUGUCAGGAGGUCCGGUAAGCACUGUCACUCCACCAUGCUGCCCACUACUGAAGAAUUCUUAGAGGGCUGGAGCUGUGAUUUUUAUCAUAGUAUGGUCCUAGGCGUUCCAUACAGCCCUGUUAAGAUACUUGUAUUCUUGGUCCUCUGGGAUGGAUUUGAGCAUGUGGAAGCUAUCAGUCAAGUCAUCUUCUUGGGCUUACUACCCUGUAAUCUUUCCAAAGCUAUUGUAUGCCACUAUCUUCAAGUGCAGGUUGCCAGACUUUCAGUUUGGGAUGGUUUCCAUUAUAGUGACUGCCAGCAUAAUCUUGCCGGGUGUGUCCUGGAAGCUAAUCUAGGUUGAUGGUGAGUUGAUAGUGACCAACAAAAUCAGGAAAAUUAGAGGUUGAAAGUUGUGGCCUUACCAGUGGUUGAGAGAAAGAUCUGAGGUAUGUGAUAUAACAACUGGAACUGAGUGGGACAAUAGCUUCCCCCACUUCUGCUUCUCUUAGAUUUAUAGACAAAUUAUGGUGCCACUAGCUGAAGCAGACCAUGGAGGAUAAGCAUCUGUGCAGCUUGGGGCCUGAGCAAAUGUUUCACUCUUGGCUGGAGUCUACAUUUUGUGUUUGGUGACUGAUGUGAUAUUUAUAAACCCCUCUUUCUGUAGAUUAGAUUCCGGCAAGUUUACUGAGCCUCUCAUCUGAUACAUUGCACUUGUAAAACACAUGGCCUUGACUACAAAAGUGUUGAUGCAGACUUUCCUAUACUCACUGUACUGACAAGACAGAGAAACUUUCACCCCCUGUCUUUGGAAACAGAUUAGCGCUCUUCCAAUUUGCUAAUAAUACACAUACUUCCCAGUGAUCAGUUAACAGAAUGGAUCAGCAGUCAACAACAAUCUUCUUUUAGAUGCCAGAAGCUUCUGCCUCUUCUUAGCUUCUCUCCACCCUCAUGCAUCACUGCUUCCUAUUGACAAGGCUGGCCCUGUGACAUAGCAGGGUGAACCAACUUCAGCACCAGAAGGAGAGAUGGAUGAAGGGCUGUACCGCAGCAGUGGAACAUCUGCUUUCCAUGCAGAAGGUCCCAGGUUCAAUCCCUGGGGAGGGUUGCCAGUGUCCCCUGCCUGAAUCCCUGGAGAGCCACUGCCAGUCAGGGAAGACAAUGCAGAGAUAGACGGACUGGUGGUGUGACUCAGGAUCAGGCAGCUUCCUAUGGUGCAGCAAGGCUUUUUGAAGGGUAGGGGUACCAUUUAGACAUCGCUCCAAUCAGCAAUGUGUUUUGAGGCGGCACUGCCAUCUCAGAGGGCAAUGAUGCAGGGAGAUGAGUGAGCAGAGGGGCUGGUGCCCAUAGCACUUAUUCAAAACUCUAAAUGUCCCCACAGGCCUCAAAAGGGUUGGUGACCUAUAGUCUUUUUUAAAAUAUAUAUAUUUUUAUUUUGCAACACAAACACACACACUAACAAAAGGAAAAAGGAAAAAUAACACAUAAAAAAUAAAAAAAUAUCAAAGGUAAAUACAAAAACUUAUACUAAGCAAAUAUUAAACAAUAAUUAUAUACCAUAUUUCAGUUCUUCUUUUCUUCCAAUUGACUUCCUUCAUCCUCAGCACGGUUCUACUUUCAUUCUCCUUUCAUUUUUACUCCUUUUUCUUUCUGUUUAUAGCUUUUACCCUAUAGUUUGUUUUACAAAAGUUAAUCAAAACAAGUCCAAGUAUUAAUCUGAGGGCACUGCUUUUUAAGGUACAGUGGUACCAUGUGUUACGUACUUAAUCCGUUCCGGAGGUCCAUUCAUAAUCGGAACCGCUUGUAACAUGAGGCGCGCUUUUGCUAAUGGCACCUCCCAUUGCUGCCGUGCUGCCGGAGCACAACUUCUGCUCGCAUCCUGGGGCAAAGUUCACAACAAAGGCAUCUACUUCCGGGUUAGUGGAGCUCAUUACCCAAAGCGUUCAUAAGGAGGAUAGUACGUAAUAUGAGGUACCACUGUAAUCUCUAUAUUUCCCCCAUUCUUUUUGGAAUUUAUGUUUGGUCUCACCCCUAAUUGCAUCUGUCAUUCUGGCCAAUUCUAUAUACCAGUAGUCAAAUAAUUUAUCUUGCCAUUCUUUUUUUGUCGGUAUUACUUCUUUUUUCCAAUUUUUGGCAAUUAAUGUUCUCGCUGCCACUGUGGCAUAAAGAAAUAUUUUCUUACUUUCCCUCGUUAUAUCUAUAUUCAAUAUUCCCAACAGAAAAGCUUCUGUUUUCUUGGCAAAAUUUUGUUUGAACAUUUUCUUUGGUUCUUCAUACACCAUAUCCCAGAAGCCUUUGAUUUUAUCACAUGACCACCACGUAUGCAAAAGCAUCCCCUCUACGUGGUUGCACCUCCAACAUAAUUUUGAUUUUGUUUUAUACAUUUUACAUAUUUGGGUUGGUGUUAAAUACCAUCUGUAAAACAUCUUUAUCAAAUUUUCUUUUAUCGUUAUUAUAGUUUAUAAAGUAAUGCUACAAUUCAUGUGGAGCCUCUUAAAAAAUCAUUCUCCCAUGACUAUUUUGUAAAGCUGAUUUACUUAGCCAGUUUUCUCUGUGGACAGCCCUGCUCAUGGCAGAUGUACCUAGGGGUUCAGUGUGUGUAGGAGAGUGUGCAUGUCCGCACAUGAAGUCUCCCCCCCCCUUGUUGCUGCCUUUCCCCUCUCUGAACGGUUUAAGAGAAAUCCACCAUUUAUUUCUGGUGGAGGUGAACUCCCAAGUGGGGUUAUAAACUUACAAAGAAAGGAAUCUUCUUUUUCGAGUGUUUUGGAAAGCUUCUCAUUCACCUAUUAUCUCUCUCUGCCAGAGAGUGCAAAGGGAUGGAGCAUGCAUAAAGUGAGCUUUUAUGCACCAGCAGAGAGGAGACAGAACAUUCCAGGCACUUGUUAUGAAGGAAGGAUGGAGGGCAGUGCAGUGGGUAGGCAACAUCUACACCACACUUAGGGUAAUUGAAGUGCUUUUGGGGAACUUCCAGCACAUCUGAUACCUGCUGCAGGUGCAUAACAAAGUGCUUCAGCCCACCCUGUCCUCCCACCUAUCCACAUUGCUGAGGCCUUAGAAAGCCCUAAUUCUUGGUAUUGUGUACUUUCCAACAAAGAAGUGAGUGGGCUUUCUGUGUUGCUUUUUGAAAAGCAGCAUUUUAAUAGCACAGGAGAAAAUACUGAGGCUUAGAAAAAAAAACCUAUGAUUUCCUACUUACAUAUUUAUUUAUUUUUACAAAACACACAUCAACCACUAGUCACUCAUCAAGGGAAUUGCUUAGGUUUGCCAUCAGCUGGACAAAGCUGUGUACAGCGCAACUGAUGCCAGGCAAAUUGGGCAGGGCAUGAUAAAGAUGAGGGGUGAGCAUGGAGUUACAUUGUGCUACUGUCUGCAUUUAGCACUUUCAGUCAACAGUCUGAUUAUGUGUGACAUUAGAAAGGAGCCAUAAUUCAGUGUUAGCGCAUACCCUACAUGCAGUGAUUCUCAAGUUCAGUCCCUGACAUCUGUAGUGGAAAGGAUAUUGGGUAACACAGCUGGGAACAACAACAACAUUUGUACAGUGCUUUCUUCAUAUUGUCUUCUAUUAUCCUCUUCGUCAUGAGUUGGUGAGGGUGGCUACCUGUUUUCUCUCUUGAAAAGUAUUGUUAUGAGUUUGUGGGUGCCACACUCCCCAUAAUUCCUGGACCCAGUAAGUGUUAGAAAUUAAUCAAGCCUCCUGAACACCUGGAUCCAGCAAGGGUUAAAAAAUAAGCCAGGCUAGAUUCCUUAUGAGGUAAUCACCUGGGAGAUGAGCUGUUAAGAAAGAACAAAAAAAAGGUGAUGGGCCAUUGGGAAAGCUAAGGAGUGGGGACUCUGGGCCAGAUAGCAAGUGGGUGGUGCCCCUCCUCUAGCUCUUAGAUAGAUAGGAGACAAAGCCAAAGUUUGAAGUAGAGAAGAAAGAGAAGUUGUAUGUGUGCACACAAACAUAAAAGUAGGACUCGGAAAAAGGAUUCUUUUGAAAUUACAUAUUUUUGUGAGUUCCCCCGCACUGCAACCAUAAUCAAAUCGCAUAUCGCACCUGUCUCCAUUAGAUGAACCAUAAUAUGGAUCCAAUGUUUUUCAGCACUGAUAUGGUGUCAAAACAUAGAUAUAUGUUUUGCUCAUCAUCCUUCUCAUCUUUUCCUCUGUUAGCUCAGUGGAUGUCCUUGAUAUUAUUAGAUAUAUUGGAACAAUAUUUUAUGACUAUUGUUUUGGUUGUUCUCUUGAGUGUAUGCCUAUCAUCUGCCUGAUGUAUAUAAGGAAGGGAGGAAAACAUGGAUCUGAAGCAUGGAUCCUUAUCAACCCUCAAUAUGUUUAGAAUUGUUUCCCUCAAAGUCCACUGUCAAAUCAUGGCUGAAAAUCCAUUCAGGUCUGUGCCUUGGAACAACGAACUGUAGUACAACCCUCACGGAGCUACAACCCCCAGCACCCUUAAGAAACUACAAUUCCCGUGAUUUUUUUGAGGAAGUCAUGUGUUUUAAAUGUAUGGAGUGUAUGCAUUCUCAGUUUUUUAAGACACACCCAGUUCAUACCUUGUUGAAAGUAGCCUAAUUACUUUCAUUGGGGCCUGGUUUUUGCACAGACAGACACAUCUUCCCACUCCCUGUAUCUCACAUAUUGCCUGGUUAUCUACUACCAUGAAAUAGUAUUCUACAUUCAGGGCUCGUCCUUAUCCCUCUUUCCCCCAAAGCCCUGCUCCUCAGGAAAGGAGAUUAUAAUAUCUUCAGUGUAAGAAAUGCAGUCAGUAGGGCACACUGGUUUCUGUAGUCUGAAACCUUGCUGUGCCAAAGGUGAGAUGCCUGCAAUUUUAUUGUUCCCUCUGAGCUGUCCUGGAACAAAUGUAGUUUGCCCUAAGCCUUCCAUCUGGCAGAGAUCUUUCUUUUUCUCUGUGGAGCGACACAUCAAAUGGAAUAUAUAUAUAUAUUGUGGGGGGUUGGACAAAGUUUUAAAACGGAAACCCAAAGUGUUUCUGAAUGCUCUGGAACAAAAGAUUACAUGGGAUCUAUUUGCAGCAAUGGAAAGCAUUAAAAUAAAUUGGUAUUUGGGAGAUCUGAAAGGAUGCCAUUGGUUGUCACUAACACAAAGACUGGAAUGUCACAGAUGCAAGUAGAUGGAUUCCCAGUCCCAUUGAAUUUCAAACUAGCUGAAGCAGGCAGGGAUCAGGGUUUUCCUUCUCCUCUUGUCAGAUAUCUUAGAUAGCAUGUCUGAUCAUCAUGUGGGAAAGGAAGUGCAUGUUUAAUCACCAUGUGGGAAAGGAAGCAUUUCAACCUCCACCUUUAACAGCAGACACUAAAUUGUGUCUAGAAACAUGAAUUAAAACUACCAGUAGAUUCCUAAUGCAGCAAGAAGAGAGUGAAGCGGUUCUGCUGCAAAUUGUGGUAAUUGGUUGAAAAUCAAGUGGCAGAGCUUCUACUUCUACUUUAAUUAUUCCCUGUAAUGCAGAAUGACUGAGCAUAUUUGGAGAGAUUCUGCAAGCAGACAAAAUGGAAAAUGUACCUCUGAUUGCAUCCGUUUUGCAUCUUGCACUCUAUUUCCCGGGGCUCUUGCCAACAUUCUCUUCCAGCAACAGGAGCUACAUCUACAUUUGCAAGUCCAUUACCACAAUUUCUACUGAGUUGAAAGCCUCUGAACUUUAAAUGCAUGGCUCUCCUGCAAGGACUGGACCAUAAAGAAGGCUGAUCGCCGAAGAAUUGAUGCUUUUGAAUUAUGGUGCUGGAGGAGACUCUUGAGAGUCCCAUGGACUGCAAGAAGAUCAAACCUAUCCAUUCUGAAGGAAAUCAGACCUGAGUGCUCACUGGAAGCACAGAUCGUGAAGCUGAGGCUCCAAUACUUUGGCCACCUCAUGAGAAGAGAAGACUCCCUGGAAAAGACCCUGAUGUUGGGAAAGAUGGAGGGCACAAAGAGAAGGGGACGACAGAGGACGAGAUGGUUGGAUAGUGUCUUCGAAGCUACAAACAUGAGUCUGACCAAACUGCAGGAGGCAGUGGAAGACAGAAGUGCCUGACGUGCUCUGGUCCAUGGGGUCACGAAGAGUCGGACACGACUAAACAACAACAUCCUGCAAGGAUAGGAUAGUGUCUCCUCUGAGACAUAAUCCCUUCAACUUGCUUUUAAAAAUAUCUGUGUGAAUUCUGGGAUGGGGGAGGACACCCACACCCACCCACCCACCCCCACCACAAACCUUGCUGGCUUAAAGGUGAUCAUCUGAUGAAGAACCGUCAUAAGCCCCCAAGGAACCACAACUGGCUUGUCCUGUCAUUGCUUCAUUCCAUUAAUUUAUUGGAUGAAGAUUAUUUGCCAGCCAUAAAAAGAAAGCCAGGACAACAUUUAAUCAUAUAAGCUUGCAAGAGCAGACAGUUCCAGAUGUGAAGGGAGGCACAUCUUUACUUUCAGCACAUAGUAUAUUUUUCUUAUUACGACAAAAUAUGCUUAAAAUAAUGCACAGGGCCCCUUGUGAGUUUCAGUAAAACUAUGAAAUUUUAUUUCCGUGCUGAUAUGGCACAAGGCCUGUAGGCUGCCUGGAGAACGAAGGAACAAACAAAUUAGAAUAACAACUAUGGCUUUAUCACAAGGCGAAUUAUACCUUGUGUCCUCAUGAACCCCCAUUUUAGAAAAUAUGCUCCUAUGGAGUUUGUCACUCUGUGCCUUAAGUUGAUAUUUGGCAGAAUGGAAGCCUUCUGGGAGAUUACUUCUGUGCCAUAGACACAGCUGCACAGAGCCAUCUGCACAGAGCUUCACUUGUGCUUGAAUCCAUUGUGCUGAUUAAAUCCGGAGAAAGGAAUCGGGAUACUACCAUUGACCUACAAUAAAUACUGUUACCAUGGGAUGUAGGGGGAGAUUGACAGUAACUUGUAGGUAGCAGAAAUUUCACAGCCCCCUGGGUUACAGCCAUAUCCCUUCCUUGGCAUUAAAAUUUGGUGAAAGCAGCCAAAACAAAGCAAGUUGUGCAUGCCUUGGGUUUGAGAGUCAUUAGUACAACCUACUUGCCUGUAGAGGACAUUUACUUUUUUAGGUCGGAAAUUAUUAUUUGGCCAGCAUUUAAUUCAGUGGCUAUGUGGAGCAUCAGCUACAGGCUUUAAACUGCAGCUGGGACUAUUCACCUCCUGUUUAACUUUUUAUUUACCUUGAAGCUUUAUCAUUGGGGUUGAGAUGCUUUCUCAGCUGGGCCUCCCCGCCAAAGGAUUCCUUCCUCCCCCUGCUAGGGGCACCGCUUUAAGAAGCCUUGCUGCACCCUUCAGGUACCUAUUCCUGCUUUUAUCUACUCCACCUUCCACCAGAGAUCACUGCAUCACCCUGUUGAAUGGCAGGACAAAGUGCACCUUCAUCUGCUGGAUGUUGCUGCUGAUGAAAGAGGGAAAUGAGAGAGACUGACAUUGGUCUAUAGCAGCUAACAAGUUUGUUGUGGUGGUUUAGCAGCUUCUGAUAGUGAGCACUUGGAACUCCAGCAGCACUAAUUCCCUUAAUUCUGUGUUGGUUCCUCAGGGAGGGAGCAUAGAAUUGGGAACUUCAACUGAAUGGAGAAAUGCCUUGUUUUGACACGAAGGCUGCGUACACAUGAUAUUUUAUUCUAGAAUCAAUGUAGACUGAGCACUCAUUUUUCCAUAUAGUCCACACACUAUCAAGAGCUAUUGCAAAUUGUUUGCCCCUGAAAAUUUUCGCUUCUUGAUAUUCCCCAAAAGAAAAGUUCACUGUAGAUUCAAGCGUGUCCAUUAGAAAACAGAUGAAAACAGUAACAGUUGUAGGUAGUCCCAGCAACUGGGGUGAGUAGCCACACCUGCCCAAUAACAUUGUAGGUGAGCAUAUAGCAAGACUGCCACCACCACUUCCUCCUUCACUCACCUGGGGCAUGUGAAGGGGAGAAAAGGCAUGGAUAACUUAAGCAAGGGGAGGGUUUUCAAAUUCAUAUCAGGUAAUCAUACUUGCUCUUGUGGACAGCAAAUUCUAGAAUCAAUCUAGAUUGAAAGCAGCGUGUUGAGGAUGAGCAUGAGCGAUUCAAGUCAUUAUUUGUGCUAAAAACAAGUUAGUGCGUAUGUGGCCUGUGUAUGAUGAGCACCCAAUCAGGAAUGUGAGGUGGAGGCAGCUAUAAGUGGAGAUGGCCAUAGGGCAGAACAGCUCACCUCUUAAUUAAAUAGUUUCACUCUGCUGUUGGUUUCUGUCUACUUUCUUUUAGCCUCUUCAUCUCUAGGCCAUCCCAGAACAGCACUCUUGAUGCCUUCCCAUCCUCAUCUGAAUCAAAGUCUUAGAGUCCAUUCAUUAUAUGUACAGUGGUACCCCAGGUUACAUACGCUUCAGGUUACAGACUCCGCUAACCCAGAAAUAGUACCUUGGGUUAAGAACUUUGCUUCAGGAUGAGAACAGAAAUCAUGCUCCGGCGGCGCGGCAGCAGUGGGAGGCCCCAUUAGCUAAAGUGGUGCUUCAGGUUAAGAACAGUUUCAGGUUAAGAACGGAUCUCCGGAAUGAAUUAAGUACGUAACCAGAGGUACCACUGUACUCCCAUUCAGCUUCUCUUGCCUUGCCUUGCCUCUUCCUCCGGCCAGCUCUUUAAAGUCUCUCCUAACUGCUAAAAUUUAGAUUAUAAAUUCAUUUUGGGGGGCUUAUGUUACUCUGUAAAGUGCCAUUUGUGCUUGCGUUGUUGCCUGAAUUAGUGCAUAUUAAAUAAUAAAGUAAAAACAGUAUGGAGCGGUAUGACAAACAGCUGAUUCAAGUGCCAACACAGCUUUAAAAUCACCUGUCUAAAUUGCCGAAUCCCCUAAAAUGUCUGAAAAUCUCAGACGCAGUGUUGAAUUCAUAAGGUGACCAGCAACCUUUCCCUUUUUGUCUUGUGGUGAGCUGUUUGUCAGAUGGGGUUCUCAGGGUGGGGUGGGGGUGGGGAUGGGGAUGGGGAUGGGGAAUGGCUUUCUCUAACAUCCUUUGUAUGUCAGGAGGAGUCAUACCGGAGGCAAACCUGCACAGCAUGCAGACCAUUCUGAGGUGGAUUGCCCCUGCCUGUCAGACAGCAAUCACUCCAGGAACACGAUCAGCACUCCAGAGAUGUCUUCGGCUGAUUUGUGUUCCAAUUUGAAUAAGUUCCAGGAAUACCAGCCCUCAUACCCCAUUACAUUCCCUUAGUGUAUUUCUAGCCCAGUUAUUUUUUCCGCUUCGAGAAACCAUUCAUUGUUCUGCUCAGACAGCUUUGAUAAGGAAGCCAGAGAUGAUCAGGUCCUUUUUAAAAAGUUAGUCUGCAGUUAGCAAUGUCUGUCACAUAAUUGCAUGGGCUCAGGUUGAUUCCUAGCUCUCUUGCAAAUAUGGAAUCUUUAAAGGCAGCAAGCCUGGGCUCACUUUCUCUGAAUGGAGCUGCUGGUCUGUAGGCAGCCAUGCAGCUUAAGACAGAGGGGGGCAACUAGCUAUUUUAAACCUGUAAAUGGCACCAGCUUGCUCUUGAGUCUACUGUUGUCCUAUUCACACAGUAACUUCAGCAUCUUUCUACAUUCCCAUCUCUUUAUGCCACCUUCUGCUCUCCCCCAAACACAGCAUCUGUUCCACAGCAGUGUAUGCGGAGAUUCUGCACCUUCCCAGGACUUUGCCCCCUUUUUAGGUGUCUUCUGUUUUCCCAAGGGCGACUCACCAGACAGUUAUAUGCUCACUAAUUAUCUUUGAAAAUGUGAUACUGCCUUCUGGUUAGGAAUGGAGGAAUCUCUCAAUUUCAGUUUCUCUAAAUUUCUAAUCCCCCCCCCCAACUUAUGUGGAAGUGCGACAAACUGAACUUGAGUUUGUACUUUUGUAAAACUCCCUACAAUAAUGAUUCAGUUGUCCAGUGUACAUUUCCCCUAACAGACACAUUUUUACCUAAUACACACAUUUGUGAAAACAAUUUUCUCCUAAUAUAAUGUAUUUUUGUCCUUCUCCAUUAAUAUAUUGUUAUAGGACUGGGGGUUGGUUUAGAGUUAGAUGAUGUCCUGGGAAUCCCAACCAAGCCUGUAAUUGUAGCAGAGGGAACCUCCUGAACUGGUUCAACUAGUCAUUUUGCAGGAUAAUGCCCCUAGCUGGCCUAGCUAAAUACCCCAUUAGUAUUCUAAAGAGUGGGCCAUGUUGCCAUAGAAACAGGUGAGUGGGCCCUUCCCACACCUCCACCUGGCUGGAUGCUGCUUCAUCCUAGGAAGAACAAUUGGCCAAUAUUAGGUAAAGAGGUAAAGGCGACUAUGGGGUGCAGCGCUCAUCUUGCUUCAGGCCGAGGGAGCCAGUGUUUGUACACAGACAGCUUUCCGGGUCAUGUGUCCAGCAUGACUAAACCGCUUCUUGCGCAAUGGAACAUCUUGAUGGAAGCCAUGGCACACGGAAACGCCAUUUCCCUUCCUGCCACAGUGGUACCUAUUUAUCUACUUGCACUGGUGUGCUUUCGAACUGCUAGGUUGGCAGAAGCUGGGACAGAGCAACGGGAGCUCACCCAGUCAUGGGGAUUCAAACUGCCAACCUUCCGAUCAGCAAGCCCAAGAGGCUCAGUGGUUUAGACCACUGCACCACCCAUGCCCCUAGACCAGUAUGAUACAUGAAGACUCCAUGAUAGUUUGAAAACUAAGAGUGUGAAAGGAAUAAUUGUAAAUUGCAGCUUGGAAAGUUUUAGGCUUAGCGAAGUUCAGAUAAGAUUAGCUUUAUGCUGCAUAGUGGCACAGAAAUAUCAGGCCCUCAGCUUUGCCACUAUUUGAUCCUUUAUUGAUCUGCUCCAUGCCUUUCCAAUUUUUGAUACUGUAGGUUAUUCCAUUCAUGAUUGCACACAAAUAAAUCCCCUGCUGCAUUAGCCCUUCAACUCUGGGCUUGGUGAGAUAAGGCAAACUUCACUUUGUUUACUCCUCCGUGCAAUAAGUCAGAGGUAUACAGCAUCUUUGCUCAGAAUCCUGCAGCCACUUUCUAGCAUUGACCUUUUAUCCCAACCCAGGUCUGCUGUUGCUAGUUUAAUGUAAUUGUUUAUUUUGCAGUCUUGCUUUAUAUAUCCAAGUUCCCGAAAGGAAAGAGGAAUUAUCCCGUAACAGUUAAUACUGGCCCCUUUCAGGCUUUUGAUCCAAGGGAGAAUCGGGCAUGACAGAGCCAGGACUACUCAGGAAGAUGCAGAUGAAAUGAAAUCAUUCUUGAGAAGUGCCACAAACUGCUCUGGCUAAAGGACAGCUAAGAGAUAAGAAACCCAUUGAUUUCCAUGGGGUUAAGCACAUGUAGCUCUGCGCUAGUGUGUUUAUGCACCGAUGACCUAUCCAUUGUGUGCCUCAGUUGUGCGACAUAGCAUACCACACAUGUUUAGAGCAAGUAUUAUUGUUCAGUCCAAUAUAUCAUAAGGUCACUGCUUACAUAAAUACGUGCCUCCUGUUCAUACAUCAUUCAUUUUGCUGUGCUAACGCCGUCCCAUUCUGCCCAACACACUCAAGAGUUAUGAAUAUGCAAACCAAUUAUUGUUAUUAUGAUGGGUAGGAUGCGUGCAGAGAGAAGGGGUGUCCAUUCCGGGGACCCCCAUGUCAGGGCUGGAAGGAAAGAAGGUCUUAUCCUUACAGCAAGUAACCUCAACUGCAGUAUUUUGCCCUUCCCACUCGUAAUGAAUGCCAAUCAUUUGCUUACAUGUGAGAUAGUAAAAGGGUACACUCAGAGAAGAAGCUAAACCUGUUUCCCCCCUGGUGACACAAGAACUGAACUUUCUCCUGUCUGCAUAGUUUCACCCUAGUUUCUGUAUCUGACAGGAUGUUGGGGGAAAGUAGCCACAUGCUGGGAAGUGGUUUGCAGACAGAAAGAAAGGUUAUUUAUUAAUUAAAUGCCUUUUGAGUUAACAUCUAUAGGAUGGUGUAGUUAAUCUCCUUCCUUUGAUCAAUCCAGGAGACAGCGAUUGCCAGUCCAGUCUGCCAUUAGGAUAGCUUCCCCUUGUAGAAAUUAAGGUCAACUACCCUUAAUAAGGCUGCCCUCCAUCUGUUUUGUCAGGGUAGAAACUCUCUCACAGUGCUUGUAGAACCUGGACAAGGUAGGCCAAGACGUUUUGCUGCCUGAGGCUGAGCAGCAAAUAGCGCUCGCUUGGAGUCAAGGUGCAUAGUACCUACCGGUAAGUUGUUUUGGCACUAGGACAGAAAGUCCUGCAAAUUCUUCUCCCUCACUCUGGCAAAAAAUAAAAAAAUAAAAAAGAACAGUAAGACUGCAUAAACACCAUACAUUUAAAACAUAUUUAAACACUUUCUCCCACUUCCAAAAUCCUAGAAACUGUAGUUGACCUCACCACAGAGCUACAAUUCCCAGCACUCUUAACAAACCAUGGUUCCCAAGAUUCUUGGAGGGGGGAAUGUAUGGUGUACAUGCGGAGUAAUACACUAACAAUUUACUGCUGUGACUUCCCAGACUAGCUACCUGAGGUGACCACUUGAGUUUGCCUCAUAGUAUGAACACCUCUCUUAAAAAGCAGAGACAUCACCUUGCCAACACAGGUCAGUAUAGUUAAAGCUAUGGUUUUCCCAGUAGUGAUGUAUGGAAGUGAGAGCUGGACCAUCAAGAAGGCUGAUCGCCAAAGAAUUGAUGCUUUUGAAUUAUGGUGCUGGAGGAGACUCUUGAGAGUCCCAUGGACUGCAAGAAGAACAAACCUAUCCAUUCUUAAGGAAAUCCGCCCUGACUGCUCAGUGGAAGGACAGAUCGUGAAGCUGAGGCUCCAAUACUUUGGCCACCUCAUGAGAAGAGAAGACUCCCUGGAAAAGACCCUGAUGCUGGGAAAGAUGGAGGGCACAAGGAGAAGGGGACGACAGAGGACGAGAUGGUUGGACAGUGUUCUCGAAGCUACCAGCAUGAGUUUGACCAAACUGCGGGAGGCAGUGGAAGACAGGAGUGCCUGGCGUGCUCUGGUCCAUGGGGUCACGAAGAGUCGGACACGACUAAACGACUAAACAACAACAACAUGAACACCUCUGGACCUGAACAAAUAUUGCACUACCAGUUUAAUGGAAGGAAAGUACAAAGAUUAUCACGGAACAAACCUCUUUUGGGGCAUUAGCUUUCAGUUAGAAUUCUUUAGAUUUGUCAAUAACAUCAGUAAACCUCUUGUAGAGGUCAAAUAAGUUGUUGCAAAGGCGACUGAAAAAUAAAAGGUAACACUUGCAGAAACCAACUAAUUUAGCAAUAUGAUAAUGAGCAAUCUGUUUUGACAGCUACAAAUGGGGUUAUCAAACAUAACACGUUCUGGGAAAUUGUUAAGCGAUGUUUUCUUAAAUGUUUUUGACCUGCCCAUUAAAUUUUCCCAUUCUCUGUUUUCGUAAUGAAUAAAAGAACUCUUAACAAGGGGAUUGUAGGAAAAUCUUCACUUUAGUUGGAUGCCCACAAAAUAGAGUUGACGUUGUAAAGUUAGAAGUAUGAAUCCCCAGGUAUGAAUCUAGGCAGUGAGCCAUGCAAAAGCUUAGACUUGGCUUGUUUGGGUACAGAGAUGACCUCUCUUAAUGAACAGCAGCCUGUAAGGUCAAACCAAUUAACCGAUAAGCUUUUAAUUAAAAGGGCUGCUAUGGCUUAAAGAUCACUGUCUGGAGCCAGGUAAAACAGUUUAUUUCCAAUUUAUAGUUGUUUUCCACAGAAACAGGGAACUGCGUAUUAAAUGCAGAAGUCUGGGUUCAAUCCCAUCUCAGCCAUGAGUUCACUGGGUGGCAUUUUCUUUCACUUAGACCUCUAUUUGUGAAGAGGGGAUAACACUAAGCGACCUUCCUCCAAGGUUCGCUCUAAGGUUCAGUACAAUAAAGACUGCAAAGCAAUUUAUGCAACAUGUAAGGGUCUUUGCAAAUGAUUAUUACAUGCAGUAAAAAUUAGAUAGUAUUUUGAGGCAGAAAUAAAAUCUUAGGAUUUACAAAUCAAAUCUUCUUUCAGUGUUUCUUGACCCCCAUAAACACCUGUCUUCCACCUUGGAGACAGGGACUUACCACCUUAUUUUAUUUACUUGACUAGUGAAUGAUCUAUCACAGUCGAUGGAGAAUAAUGGACAGUUCAUCAGUGAGCAAUUCUUAGCUCCAUAGAACUCAGUGGGAGCCUUGGUUAGCCAUUAUUGCCUUUAGCUGCGUAGUACUGCCUGGAUUGGAUGCGGGUGGCACUGUGGGUUAAACCACAGAGCCUAGGACUUGCCGAUCAGAAGGUCGGUGGUUCGAAUCCCCGCAACGGGGUGAGCUCCCGUUGCUCGGUCCCUGCUCCUGCCAACCUAGCAGUUCGAAAGCACGUCAAAGUGCAAGUAGAUAAAUAGGUACCGCUCCGGCGGGAAGGUAAACAGCGUUUCUGUGUGCUGCUCUGGUUCGCCAGAAGUGGCUUAGUCAUGCUGGCCACAUGACCCGGAAGCUGUACACCGGCUCCCUCGGCCAAUAAAGCGAGAUGAGCAUCGCAACCCCAGAGUCGGUCACGACUGGACCUAAUGGUCAGGGGUCCCUUUACUGCCUGGAUUCUAUUUCCUGAAGCCACUGGUCUGACAGAAUGCUGUCAGUUGACUUGUAGAUACUUGUAUGCAGGGCUUUUUUUGAACCAGAGCACACCUCUUUGGUGCGUUCCGGCACCUCUUUGUAGCAUAAUGGCAGCUGUAUCGAGAGAGGCACAGUGCCCAGAGGUGCCCAGAGCUGCAUGUUGGAGGCUUCUGGGUGGGAGUUCCUGCACCUCUUUUUCUAAAAAGAAGAAGAAGCACUGCUAUUAUGCAUUCCCCACCUCCCUGGGUGGUGAGAAGUUCCAGGGACAGCGCUUACCAGGGCUUGUUUUUGUAAUAUUUGAUUUAAUUACCAGUAUAUAAGAACAGUGUAAUUGGAGGCAAGGAACACUGACUCUGCUAGUGUGAAGCAUAUCCACUGCCCCACAUCAGAUCUCCAGAGAGUGAGAGACCUGCCCACAUACUCUCAGUACCUUCACUGUAAUCCUCUUCUCUGCCCCCAAGUCUUCUGGCAUCUAUCUUUAUGUCACCUUUGCCUCCACACUUUGUAUAUGUGCUGGAGGGCCUAAACCAGGGGUCCCCAAACUAAGGCCCAUGGGCUGGAUAAGGCCUGAGGGACUCGUUUAUCCAGCCUGCGGCGACCCCCGCUACCCGCUCUUACUGGCGCUGCACUGUGUGGCUGCCCACUUCUGGGUCAGAGGAGCACCGGAAAUAGCUUGUGCACAUGCGCACAAGCUAUUUCCGGUGCUCCUCCGACCCGGAAGUGCACCGGAAAUAGCGUGUGCGCACGCGUAUGGGCACACAUUCCCCCGCCCUCCGGCCCGCUGCGCGAUUGGUGCUGGAGACACCGGCCCGAGGCGCAGUAAGUUUGCUGACCCCUGGGCCUAAACCCACAGUAUUGUAAACACUCCUCAGGGUUAUAUGCCUGCUGGGACAGUGUCAAUACUUGUCUAAGCCCACAUUCACGUCACACAUUUAAAGCGCCGUGAUACUGCUUUCAAAUUGCAUUGCUUCCCCCAAAGAAUUAUGGGACUUAUAGUUUGUUAUGGAUGCUGAGAGUUGUUAGGAGACAAUUCCUCCCCUUCCAGAGCUACAAUUUCCAGAGUUCCCUGGGAAGAGGGAUUGAUUGUUAAACCACUCUGGGAGGGGAAUAAGGGUCUCCUAACAACUCUCAGCACCUUUAACAAACUACAGUUCCGAGAAGUCUUUGGGGGAUGCCCUGGCAGUUUGAGGUGGUAUCAUAGUGCUUUAAAUAUAUGGUGUGAAUGUGGCUAAGCCUACCUCACAGUUUUCAAGGUAUUAAAAAGUUCUUUGGCACAGGAGGAAAGUGAGGGGCAGUUUCAGCCGCUUUAGGGAGUUUGUAAAGCCAAGAUGCGCUUAAACAGCUAAAAAUGGAGAGCUUUAUUUUGAGUGAGGGAGUUGGGGGGCCUUCACAAACAUCAUCGCUUUUAAUUGUUCUAGUUUGUCUAAUGUGUUAUGAAUCUUCAUUCAACAUCCUUUCAAACGCAGAUCUGCCUCACACCUGCUGCCUUGCUGUUCUCACAAUAAGAGCUGUCUCAGCUUCACACCUGCCAGCUUUGCUUUAACAGACUCUGCUGCUUUUUAUCAUAUCGGCAGUUUUUGUAACACUAAUUAAAAAUAAGUGUGCAUAUUUUCAGCCCAUUGCCAUUUUUUUUUCUGACAAAGCAGUAAUCCAGUUCUUAAGGGAAUGGAAAUAUAUCCUGGAACGUUUGUAGUCUUUCUAAAUUUCAUCCAGCCAUGCUUGUGUUCAUGAGAUUCUCAUCAUACUUUAUAUCCUUGGAAACAUUUUUUGUGGAAACUAUACAAAGCCUAAAUGUUCACUCCUUUCCCUGUUUGCUUAACUGCAUGGCUCAAGGCAGAGAUCUAAAAGGAAAAAGACCAUAUAAAUUGAGGAAAGCUUUAAUUGCAGCCAGAAGGUUUAGUAAGCAGACAUGAUUUAUCAGGAAAUAUUUAACCAUUAUGAAGCCUUAGGUGUAGUAAAAAUAACCACUAAUCUAGUAGAAUUCAAAGCUGAUGAUCUCUGUCCAUCUGGUUGUGAGGUUCUUCACAUGAUGUUAAAAAGAUGGUAAGUUUCCACACAUGAAUUCAGACCAAUAACCUAUCUAGUUCCAUAAAGUGUUGCCACCUUUAACUUGGCAGAUAAUGGGCAGUGUUAAACCUUCGUCCAGGCUCCCACCACAUAAAUUUCGGGCAUAUUGGUUUACUCAACUAUUUUAUAUCACUACCUAGCAGGUCUGUUAAUACAGGCCUGCAAUUGGUGUUUUCCCCUAGCCUAAGGGAAAUGAGGGAAGGAGAUAGUCUGAGAACUGGGGAGGGCUAGACCAAGACAUUUGCUGCCUGAGGAAAAGAACACCACACUUGACCAGCAGUUAAUUCCUUCUUUUGUGCUGGCAAAAUGUUUGUCUUCCACUGCACCCCAGCUUAGGGGGCGCAAAACAAGCUGCAUGCACAUACAGCUCCUGCCCUCCAACAGAGGGGAACAACUGGGGGCUCAGGAGAAACAGCUGGAGGUGGGGGCUGCCACUAAUGGCGCCAGCAUUUGCCACCUGAAGUGGAUGCCUCACUCUGCCUAACAGUAGGGCCAGACUUGAGGCUGGGCUGAUCUUAAAAGAGUGCUUUUCAGUUAACCUCAUUGAACCUUAAUAUAACACACAGCCUUUGUCCGCAUGUCUGCAGGCAAGACUCAAGACAUGGAAUGACCUUGCUUAAGGUCAUACAAGAAAUGUAUAUGGUUGAGAUUGGAACCAAUCCCACUUUCCUUGAACCUGAGUCUUAAUCACAUUAUCAUCUUUCCUGGGAGACUAUCUCCCUCAUCGAGCUAGGCUAUCUUGACAUCAUACAACCUUUUACAGCAGAAUAGGAAAGGAUGGAGGCGAGAUACUGGUUUGUGUGUCAUGGAGAUAAUCUACUUUAUUACAAAGACAGAUGGGACUCCUGGUAUUUCAGUGACUGGAAAGAGCUCUGACAAUGACAUAUUGAGGAGCUUGCUGCAGCCAUUCUGUGCCAAAAUUAUUUGCUACCAGAAUUCCUGGUGACAGUUAAAUACACGCUGGGAAACCUCUAGAGAUGAAAGAGCCUCUUGUGAGGGGCCGGAUAUGUGACAAGCAAAUAGCUUUAUCCCUUGUGAAAUACAGUUUCACACCAAUCAUUUUAAUACAGUAGGAUGUGAGCGUUGCAUCUGGCAGGCAAGGAUCUCAUCAGCAAAAAAUAGCUGUUUGGCUCAGGAUGGCUGCUUAUUCUAUAAAUACCUUGGAACGACACAUAUCUGCAUUUUCACUUCCUUUCCCCUAAUGGAUUGGGAAAGCAAUAACUAUUUUCCCCCUACCUAGCUUGAGAUUUCUCUGCCCUCUCUGUCACCCAUUGUAGGAGCAAUGCUGCAAACUAAGUGAAGAAGCCCAGGGAGGUUUCUGAGGGACUUUCCACAGAAUGAAAGUGUGUGCGAUCUGAUCUAGACUGCGAAACUGAGGGAUGUUGUAUUUAUUCAUUCAUAUGUAUUUAUUACAUUUAUGCUCAUCUUUCCUCCAAACUGACAAACAUGGCUCUCCUCCUCCUCCCAAUUUAACCAAUUUAACCUGUGAGGUAGCUUGAGCUGGGAAGCAGUGAUUGGCCCAAAGUCACCUUUGAGUGGGGAUAUGAAUCUUGGUCUUCCAUGUCCUAGCCCAGUACUACUAUACCACACUGGUUCCUACCGCUCUCCUCACUGCUCUUGUAUCGCCAGUACUUCCUACCUGGCCUGGAAUUGGUGAGGUCUGACUGGAUUCUCUCUACUUAAAUAUUUUAUUUAAAGGUAAAGGGACCCCUGACCGUUAGGUCCAUUCGCGGACAACUCUGGGGUUGCGGCGCUCAUCUCGCUUUACUGGCUGAGGGAGCCAGCGUACAGUUUCCAGGUCAUGGGGCCAGCAAGACUAAGCCGCUUCUGGUGAACCAGAGCAGUGCAUGGAAACACAGUUUACCUUCCCGCCAGAGCGGUACCUAUUUAUCUACUUGCACUUCAUGCUUUUGAACUGCUAGGUUGGCAGGAGCAGGGACCAAGCAACGGGAACUCACCCCGUCGUGGGGAUUCGAACUUCCAACCUUCUGAUCAGCAAGCCCUAGGCUCUAUGGUUUAACCCACAGCGCCACCCACAUCCCUUAUAUAUUUUAUUUAUUAGUUGUUUAUUUUUUAAAAAAUUAACCUCACUCUUCAGCCAAAAUAGAUCCCAGAAUAGCUUAAAUAAUAUUAAUAACAAACAAAGCCCCCAGGCUGCCACAACAUAAAAGGAAAAAGGGGAUGAGGAGGGAAGAGGGAAACUGUCAAACUCAGUUCUUAAAGUUACGUUGCUCUUAUAGAAACUGUUCAGGGAGAGUAGGAGCCAAAUGGAGUUGGCGUUUCAACAGCACUGAUGAGGUGGACACUGUUUCCCAUCUCUCCUGCUCCAGCUGGGUGGAAUGGUUGCUGUUGCUUGGAAGAGAUGGGUUCGCAAGUCUGUGCUGUGGUAACAUGGUAAGCCAAACCACCAACCUGUUUCCCAACAGCAGGAUCAGCAGCGUGCACCAGCAUGUUGUUUGUACACCUUAAACUAUCAUUUAUUUUAGCUAUGGUUUAAUGUGACGGGCAAACCAGGCAAAUGGGUGUAAUGUCGGGCAGAAAAAAAUGGCAUUUUCAAAUACCGCAGUUUGAGUACUGAGAAAAUGCAACAUCUUCACAACUGAAGUGAAGCCUUGCGCUAAGAUAUGUGGCCUUUGUGAAAUGAGAAACAAGUGCAUAUUUAUGUUGUGUACUGCAGAGGAGAACGAUUGUACAGAAGGGCUCUUAAGAGGGAAGAAUCACCACGUGAAAGGAAACAUUUAUUGCUAUGCAUAGCAUAUGCAGUGGGCUUAGUCUUGAAUCUGUUUUCUCGCGCUGCAGGACUGCAAAAUAGAUUUCUUUUCUCUGUGGCUACUAAUUGGAUUUAGAUAAGCAGAUUUAGAGAUGACCAUUAGAAUUUGUAGGGGAAAUGAAUCAAACACUAUCUUUGAUCUUAUUCCACUGAAGACAAGGGACUUUUUCCUGAUACGUUUUAGCUCAAUAGCAGUUUUAGACUUGCCCUGCUUAGAAGCCUUGCCUAGACUUUAGAAUAUGGGAAAAGCAAACUAUUCCUUAUGCCCUUCUGACAUGGGCAAGAUCAGCAUGGUUUAUUUUUCCCUAUGGGCCUUUUUUCACCUGUGGUUGCUGAUCAAUAAUUUAAUCAAGGUUUCCUCCACCUUACUUCCAUUUAUGUACUAGGCACCUUACGGGGCAAUCUGUUUCCAAGGUCUACAUCAGUUUAUCCCAGAUGAGAAUUUGGCUCCCUAACUAUAUACAGUAGCUGUGAUCAGUGCAGAAAUAUGGAUGGAAAUACAUGGCCACUUCAGGAUGUGUUUAGUAUGUGCCACACAGCAACUGUGAUCGCAUGAUUUCAUCGAUGCAUGCUUAAUAUCCAGUUUCACUGGUUGGACAAAAGUGGGUUUUCCUGGGGUAUGCAGUAUGGUAACAUGAUUUGGCUGGUUUUGUAACAGCAUGCAACAUAUUUAAAAUGCAGUACCAUGGAGACUUCUGUGCACUGUCCUAGUUUAAUCUUCAUACCCUCAUUAUUAUGAGGCAUUUGGUUUAUUAUGUUUUGGUGCUGAACUAAGCACUUGUAAAAUGAAGGACUCUGAUAAAGACAUAUUUGAUAGAUGAAAUACAACAUUUUACAUUCUUCAGAAAGAAAGAAAAAAGACUAUCAUAGGUUUCUUGAGAAUUUCAUGAUGGGAAACAAUAGGAGGUAAAAAUCCACACCCACUCCAGUUGACACAUAAGUAUUAAGAGUACUAAGUAUUAAUACACAAGAGUAUUAAGGGAGGUGGCAUAAACUGCAAGUAUAGAUAUGAAUGGUUGUCUAAAAUGGGGCAUAAACACACCAUUUGGCCCAUUAGGUCAUUCUCAGAUACCAGUCUCUUGUCCUACUGGUUGAGUGCUUUGGCACUUAACCAGGAGUGCAGAAAGGAUCCUUGGGAGAAUAAUAUAACAUAUCAUCAACAACAAAAUAAGGUAGAAGGAAGAUUGCACAACUGGCAUUUGUUCUGUCCUGGUUCCCGUCAGCCAUGUGGACAGAAAGGGGUCACACCACCAUUUUAAAUCUGCAAAUCUGAAAUGCAGUGAUGUGAAACAUUGAAACACUACACUGGUCCUGAAACAGAAGUCAUCUGGAAAUGCCUUUGGUAAGCAGCACUUUCAAUAAUGUCCUCAUCAAUUCUGAAUUAGAGUGUAUUGAAAUAUUUAAUCUUUGUGAGGUGAAGCAUCAUUGACUUCCCAUAGCACUCUCAGCUAUCUUUCCAAUCUGUCUUGAAUUUGAAGAGACCACCCUGCCUGCCAGCUACAAGGGCAAUUCAAAAUCCAAAUGUCAGUGUUGGCAAGCCUAAAAUAGAAAGAAGCAAUAGGAAGAACUCCUGGCUUUUACAGAUAUCAAACCCUUUCAUGAUAUCUGUAAAAACAAUUCCAUGUCUUCACCACUAAAUCCAAAUGUGGUUAGUCUGUGGGGUGUGUGUGUGUUCUCCUUAGCUUUAUGAAGACUUUUCUAGGUGGACAGUUUGGAAGACUUAAUCUUGCAUGUUAGUAAGUCUAGCAAAGGAGUUUUUUCAUGACAAAGAUAGAUCUCAGCAGAAUGUCCUCAAGUAUUUCUCAUAAAUCACUGCAAUAGAAAGCUCAAUUAUUCUCGGGGAAGAAAGGUAUUUACACAGAAAAACAAAAAACAAAACAAACAUGACAGUGUUUAGCUGUUCCACAUUUGGGCUUUCAAAAACAUUUUUUUUUGGUUGAGGACCUUCUUCAUUAGCAGUGCCAGAUUAUUCUUUCGGAUAUGCGUUUUCCGGGUAAUUGUCCACUUAACAAUCUAGUGCCUUAAUGACAGUACAGUGUGGAGAGCUCUUUACUUAGAUUUAUGCCUUUCCUGGACCUGGGUGUAUGAUGCACAGACAAGGAUUCUGGGAUGUGUAACUGGUUCUUCCACGUCAAGAGCCAACUGUAAAGAAUGAGUGCCUCUACCUUUAGGGCUAUUCCUGAACUGUUUUGCAGGAAAGUUGGAACUUCUCUUUUGAACGUUUGCAGGUGGCAGUGGAGUUAUCCUUUUCUAGGGACGGAAGACUAAUUGGUUUGGUACACCUAUUAAUGUGAGCCCACCUAAUUUGGACCUCUUGAAACAAUGAAUGAAUUGAAACACAGCUAUCCCCUCCCCCCCCGAACAUGAGCUUCUUUGAUUUUUACAAUGUAGUUCUCCAACUAAGUGCAUAUACUAAGGGAGAGUGUGUGUGUGAAAAUCAUGUCUAUGUGAAAACAUUUAAAAAUGCAUUAUAUUAGGGAAUAUUGAAAACAAAAAUAUGUAUGUUAGGAUAAAUGCACACAAAAAUGCUGAUUAAGUUUUAAGAGGACUUAAAAAAUAAAUCACAAACUGAUGCAGAAAUGUGAACUGCACUUAAAGUUGGAAAAAUGAAAAAACUGGGAGAAACUGAUAUGGACAGAUUCAUCCAUCCCUAGCUUCUUCACAAUUGAUUUGUCUGUCAAAUAACCUCUGUGUAUCUGCAAUGGAAUUCUUGCAUGCUGCAGAGAAUGCAGUUAAUAAUGGAAGCCAUGCUUGUGGGAGGGGGUAAGAUGAAGCAGACGAUGUGCAGACAGGAAGAAACUAAUGCAGAAGAGUGAUGUGGAAGAAUGAUUAGGUGGUAGAAUUUGUCUCAGACUGCAGGUGGGGUUUUUUUUUUACAAUUUUUAAAUCUUCUAUCUGUCUCAAAAAAACCACCCCUAUUUAAAAACAGAAAACUAGCAUACGGGAAGAAACAGCCCAUUUCAUGUCCUCUUCCCCCACAUCCUCGCUGCAUUGGAGUGGAGGGUCUGAAGUGGUGAGCUUACUGGGAAGGAUCUUAGCUCAAUGGUAGAUCUCAAGUUCAAACCCCGGCUUCUCCAGGUAGGACUGGCAAUGCCCACUAUCUGAAACCCUGAAAAUUUCAAUACAAUUGUAUUUAUGUGAGGAGAGAGUGUCUCUCCCCCUGCCCCCAAAGGGCAAGUAUGGCUGAUCAGUGACUGUAAAGUGCCUUUGCAGGAGCUGACAGUCCACUGAGCUUCACCGGAUAUAGUAGUGAUACCAGGCGACUGACAGUUGGGUAGCCACGCCUCCUAGUCACAAUUGCCCAGGGUGGUUGGGGGGAAGUUAGGCUCUGGCCUCUAUUUUUUUUAUUUCCCCUUUUUCUGCAUUCUAGGUUUUAGUCUUCUUUCUACCAUUUCCUGAAGGCAAUAUUUUUCACAGAGGGCUGCAUAUAACUUCACUUUUGAGCUUUUGAUUGCUAACAACAACAACAACAACAACAACACCAAUAAUAAUAAUAGUAAAUUUUAUUUAUACCCUGCCCUCCCCAGCCAGAGCUGGGCUCAGGGUGGCUAACAACAGUAAAAUUACAGUAAAAACAUAAUAGGGGGGAAAACUCCAAUUUAAAAUACAGGUUAAAAUGCAAUUUAAAAUGCAGCCUCAUCAAAACCAUAAGGGGAGGGAAACAUAAGGGUCAGACUGAGUCCAAACCAAAGGCCAGGUGGAACAGCCCUGUCUUGCAGGCCCUGCGGAAAGAUGUCAAGCCCUGCAGGGCCCUAGUCUCUUGUGACAGAGCGUUCCAUCAAGUCGGGGCCAGUACUGAAAAGGCCCUGGCCCUAGUUGUGACCAAUCUAACCACCUUGCGACCUGGGACCUCCAUGAGGCAAAAAAGAGAGAUUUUAUUAAAUUAAUAUUGCUAUUUGAAUGAGAAUACACACACACACACUACCCAGUCAACCCUUACAGGUUAUGUUUUAUCAUAUGACUGCAUUCCCUGGGUGCAUUUCAUCUUAACCCCCCCAAAAAAGAGUGAAUAUUAUGGAAUGAAACAUGCCUGCUCAUAAAAAUGAUCUAGACAAUUAUGAAAUUAUGAAAUCCUUCAGCCACCUGGUUUUAUUGACCUGUUCCACACUCUGAUUCACAUUUCUUUUGUGACUUGAGCCAAUGUGGCUGAUAUGUAAAUUAUAAACAUGAAGCAGUUUGAGGAAAAUUUAUGAACUCCUAUUUUGGUUGUGGAAAUACAAUUCCCCCUUCCUUUCCCCCCCUUCCCUUUUCUGCUAGCUUCAAGAUUUGCAGGUUAAACAGAGCCUCAUUAAUUCUGCAGAGGGUGCCAGUAAGAACUGUGGAGAUAAUUUAGAGACCCAAUAUGUAGAUAACAAAUCUAGGAAAUUGCAGCUACAGCAACAAGACUGCACUUUAAUGCCUUUCCUUUCUGAUGUACAUAACUCCAUUGUAUUCUUACCAAGUAGAUCCAAAUGUCCCUUUAGAAAAUCAUAUCAGCCGAUAACUCUAAUAAUCUAGAUAUGCUUCUAAUGGAAAGCCUGGUGGCAGGCUGUGCAAGCCAAGUGCACACUUAAUGACAGGCGGGUCUCCUGGACCUUAUCGGAGGAAAAGGCUCAGACGUUGUGAAACUUCACAACUGCAUUAAACUGUUGUAGUUCAUCUGAGAAUGAAUUAUUCCAGAAUGCAGCCAUCCUAAUUGGACAACAGCAGCUCUACUAGCAUAUGUUGACAAGGUGCACCACAUGUUUAAUGUACCCAUGUUUGGGCACCAGACAGCUGCAUCUGGUGACAAAUAGAUCCAUAGUUAGACACCUCCAGUCAGCGGUGUAUCUAGCUGCUUGGGCACCCGGGGGCAGUGUUUGCACCCUGCGCACAUGCACCACACAUGGGGCGAGGCGAGCCAUUGGGGUGGGGUGCGCCAUUCUAGAGCCCCGUUCGCAACCUGAGCAGAAUGCAACCUGCGUCUGUGCGUGCGCAGGUCGCGAUUUGCCGCUUCUGCGCAUGCGCGUGACAUCAUUUUGAGCGUCUGCGCAUGCUCGAGCGGCGAAACCUGGAAGUAACCCUUUCCUGUACUUCCGGGUCACCACGGGACGCAACCUGAAAACGCUCAACCUGAAGCAAACGCAACAUGAGGUAUGACUGUACUUUUUUGAGCGGCGCGGAGCCUGCAGAGAGUCUGUCCGCCGUCUUCCCCUCAGUACUCCAAGCCUGAUGUUUAUUGUCACCCCCCAGUUUUGAUGCUGCUUCCUGUAUGCAAGUGUUUCUCAUAGCAUAAUGUUUGGACUGACUAUGAAAUGCAGCAAAGCUGGAAGGACCAACAAAUCUAUUUUAAUUUAUCGUCUCUUUCAGUUCUCUCCCUUAUUACUUCAGAUGGGCUGCUCUUAAAUUCCAAGAUGCAGGCUCCCAAGACCUUAAAUUAAAGCCUGGCUGUCUCAGAGCAAGUAUAUCUAGCAAUCAGGCAGAUCUCCACAUCAGUGUGAAAGCUCUGGCCAUUUAAAGCAACAAUACCCCCCCUUCUUUCCUUUGCUCUUUUGACUCUAUCUUGUUGGUGAGGGUAUGCAUUUAUUUCUUCCUUUCCAACACAUGGACUACAAAGUUUUUCGCUGUGAAUGUUCAUGAGUUAACAAACAUGGUCAUGUAAUUCAGCAAGAAUCUUAUCCUUCCCCCAAAAUGAAGAACUGGUAAUAAAACCAGGACAACUAUUAAUAUAUAAAUAAAUGAUGAUUGCAGUCCCUCAAUCUCCAAGAAGUUGGCUGAAAAACAGAUUUACAAGGCUGAGUGGCAUUUACUUUCCUAUCUGUCAAUAUUUGAAAGGACUUGUUACAGUGCAGUGCCAAGUUUAAAAUGAAUUAAGUGGUUAAUGGAAAUAUUAAAAUAGAAUUAAUCUGACUAACUAAAUAAACUCAGUAGUCUGUGUUCUGUAUGCUUUGAGGUGGCUUAAUGCACUUGCUGAAACAAAGCCAUGGCAUAAAACUGUCUUGCGCUUUCUGUUUUGGUGCAGUUGGUUAUUAAUUUGAUGUUCUGUUGCCAAGAACUGUUGGAGCAUACUUAUGGAUCAGCUCACAACUAAUACGGAGCACAAACGUGCCCUGGCCACAGGUGUCAUGCACUCAUGUCAAUGUGCUUUUGAGAACACAGACCUGACAGGCAGGCUUUCUGGCUGGCGAGCAAGCAUUCUGGAGGUACUAUUCUGGAAGUAGGAUGGCUAGGCGAAAAAAGGCGAUAGGACACCUGUACCUUUAACUGUUGUGCUGAACAAGGAAAAGGUGCUCCUACACCUUCAAUAGUUAUGCGGAAGGUGGCGUUUCUGCUGGAGUAGAUUGCAUGACCUGCUAAAUUUCCCACUUUUACAAUACUUUGAAGGAUGCAGCAGCCCUGUCCCCUUUUUAAAAAAAUCUGGCUGCCUCCUCUCCUUGUGAUAGUCACAUUUUAGACAUUCACUACAACAUACAUGUUAAGUUGUGGGUGAACAUAUCAAACGACACAGCGAUUCUUCAGACAGCUCUUGUUUAUUCACAGGCCAGAACAGAACUGGGCUGAAGGGUUCAGCCAACCUGCUUAUAUAGAGCUCAACUACAAAGCAACAGUAACAACUCUCUGUAACUAUCCAAUCACUGAAUGUCACUUUCAAUUCCUUAUUUGCAUAUGCGGACCUGAGUGAAAACUAUCUACAGUAUCCCCCUGCUGGCUCAGGGUGAGAACUUCAGUACAUAACAAUACAUGUGAAAGGGAAGGAAGAAAUCUCUGUUAAUGUGUAUGGUGCUCUAUUUGUAUGGUGCUCAUCCUAUGCAAGAAAUCUGGUGGAAGAGAAAGUGCAGCUCACUUUUCAGGCUUCACAGUAAAGUUUUUCUGUGCUGCUGUGCCAGGCUGAUGCCAGCUUUGUGCAUCAGCCUGGCACAACACCACCUCGCACCACCCCGGUGAUCCUCCCCAGAAAAUAAGGAUAGCAGUGACUGCUGCUGCCACAGCAUUCUCUGCAGAGCGCUGUCCUUGGUGCCAUCUUCUCCCUGCAUCCCAUGUAAGCUUCUUAAGUUAAGCAGGGACAAAUGGCAGCACUCAGCUCAGCAGAGGAGUGGAGAAUGACAUGGCUGCAGCAGCUGCCAUGUUUAUUAUCCCAGCAUGCCACUGGGACACAACUCAUACUCUACUGGGGCCUAGAAGCUUUCUGGAGUAAUAGGGAUGAUGGUUGCUGCUGCAGGUCAUAUGUACCCGAGAACAUUACCGCAUGGAAAAAAGUUAGGUGCCACAUCUUUGUGCUUGGACAAUAGAUCUCAGGACAAAAAGAAAAGGGUCAAAAGACUACAACAAUGUACAAAAAGGUCAGUGUAUGCAUGUGUGUGUCUGUUACUGAUUUGCUGUACUUUUUCUUGUUGCUGAAUAAACUGGUAGCUUGUAUUUUUGUUCCAAAAAGAAAGAAAGAAAGGGAAUAAUAGCUAAGCAGUUGAUAGACUUCAGCAGUUUCUCUUCCAGCUUCCUUAUGGACAAUGGCAGUGCUUCAGUUUUAAUUUUUAAAUUAAAAAAGGUAAAUGUUUUGAGAGUAGCUGAAUAGAGUCCCUUUGUUAUUUGGUAAGAAUGAGAAGAAAUUUGGAAUGCUUUGAAGGAGCUGCGAGUUGGACAAAGAGAGAUGGCCAGGAACUACAUCCAACACAAAACCCAAAAGCAAACCUAAAGCAAAUCACAUAAGCCACUGAUCACGUUGCCAACAACAGAUCACAACACAUCUCAGAGGAACACAUAACAGAAGCAAGGCAGGAAGAUCUGCCAAAUGCCUGACCGUUUCCCCCCGCCAGCCACCACAAAACAUUUGCCUGGGCCCACAGACUUUAAAGGGCCUUUAUUUCUUAUACUGUCUUAACAUCCAGGAGCCAGGUAGCCAAUUUAUGCACAGCCCAUUCAGUCAUUUCUGAAACAAGUGGUGCAUGGCGUUUGAUGCACAAUUAACAAAUGCUGUUUUAAGUUUCACCACAAAGUAUUGGAAAUUAACAACAAGGCAACCAUAAUUGUGUUUGUGAGAUUGGGCUUUUGCUUCUUCUUUUACUUAAGUUCCCAUUUCAUAACCAAAACAACUAAUGUGUUAGGAAACAGCUGGGAACUGUUAGGCAGAAAACCACCCCUACUAUACUCACAAUGUCAGGUAGUAUCUGCUGCUAUCAUUAUCCCAAUCUUGUUGUACUAACAAUAAGAUCAUAAGUAAUUAGACCACUAUUUACCUGAGUGCCCCCCCUCCCGCCUGCUGGGACACAACAAUUGGAAGAAGCCCCACUAAUAGUUAGGCCCACCUGCACUAUAUAUUUAAAGCAGUAUCAUACAGAGCUACAGUUCCAGAGUGGUUUAGCAGUCAAUCCCUCUUCCCAGGGAACUCGGAGCUGUCAUUCUGUGAGGGGAAUAGGGGUCCCUGUGCAAUUCUCAGUACCCUUAACAAACUACCACUUUAACGGCUCUUUGGGAGAAGCCAAAGUGGCACGAUCCUGUUUUAAAUGUAUAGUGCAGAUGUCUAGUCACAGUCACAGACUGUGGGCUCCUUUGGGCUUUUGAUACCAUCCAUGAGAUAUGCCAAAGCCCUGCUUAGCUUGUGUAGCACCACCUCUGUGUCACGCUAGGGAGCCCAAGGAACAGUUUGCAAGCCCUACAGAUCCUCUGCAUGGCCUCCUCUUCCCAGGGUGCUCUUCCAGCGCUGCCAUGCAUUUUCUGGUUAAGGAAGGCCCUCUGGUGGCAAAAUCCAAGGGAAUGUUAAGCAUUUAAAAAUGGGGCCUUAAAUCCGCUGGCUAAUGUCAAUCCUGCUCAAGGCAUACUUGGUUGCAAACUAUACACCUCUGCAGUCUGACCUGGUUCCCCCUGAAGCUAUUGAGAAGCUGCUGACUUCUCUGGAAGCAGAGCGAGAAUGCACAACAUGGUAUUUUAUGAGUUUCAGCAACUGGUAUGAGAGAGAGUGUAUUUCAGGGCAAUUAGCUUGAUGUGCCUCAGGUGGUGUUUUGAACCAUUGAAUCCAAAGCCCAAACAGAACAAUUUUAAUCACUUGAACAUGAGCAAUAAUCCCCUAGACAGUCACUGCCUGGACUUGUUGGGUAGUUUAGUCAUAGUGCCCUAAAGAGACAGACGGUGCACCUGGGCGUAUAAAAUAGUUCCAUUCUCUCGCCUCUCCCUCUCAUCUGCUCUGAGCUAGCAGGUCUUCAGAUAGAUGAACAAUUUGGACGGUCAAAAUACCUUAACCCAAGGGCAGCCAGUGUUGCACCCUUUAGAUGUUGUGGACUACAACUCCCAUAAUUUCAGACCGUUCCUAGGGUGGAUAGCUGUAGUCCAUAACAUCUGGAAGGCAGCUCAGCCUUAACCUAUGCCACUCUUUACUAUCUUGACUUUCCCUUUUUAUAGCUUAUUUUUGGCUGUAUUUUAUUGUCAAUGUAUUUUUCUAACCAUGUGAAUUGAAAAGCUUUUGAUGAAAAACAAAAACUGGGUUUGCGAUCUGAAAGCGGAGGAUUUCACUUCUACUUUGUUGUCAUGGCUGGGUCGCUUCCUGCUGAAGCUGAGGCUUACAGUGACUGUUCCCCUUUGCAAGGGUGAAGGACCCAUUCAGAUAGUCUACUCUCAGAAGCUAAUGGAUUCUAGUGGAUUAUGGGACCCUAGGGCAGAGGUGAGGAAACUUUCUCAGCCUGGGGGCUGCCAUUCCAAGGGCCCUAUGUCCGUGGCGGUCAGAGCCAAAGGCAAAAGUGGGAUGAGCAAUGAAUAUAAAUGUUACCUUUGUAUAGUAGGUUACUUUCUACACACACACUCGGACAAGCAAGAGGCGUUGGGCUCAUCCACACUCACUUUUUGCCCUGCUAUUUCCAGGCAGAAGUCCUUGCUUUAAUGUUCCAGAUGUGAGCAUUUCUUUGUUUCUUUCUUUUCACUUCCAAUAGGACGACAUUUGUUUAAGACGUUGGCAGAACAAACCAGAUGUCCAAAUUCAUAAUUAGACUGUGUGGUCAUGAAAUAGGUGCUUGGAAUUAUAAGACUUUUUAAAAAGCAACAAAUUAAAGUAAUUUUAUAUCCACCCCUAAAUCAGAAUUGGCAUCCCAAUGUUCUGUUGAAGACCCAGAUUUUCUUUUACACCCUGGAUUAUGCUAUUUACCAGUGGGCACUGCCUUGUGUAUUCAAUUCCAGGUAGGGAUGGGUGAAUGUGCCAAUUCCAGUUUCUCUCAUUUUCUCAUUUUUCCAAUCUUAAAUGCCUUUCUUCACAUUUCCACAUCAGUUUGUGGAUUUUAAAAAAAAAAAUAAGUCCUCACGAAAAUUCUUCAGUAUUUCUCCUAAUACACACAUUUUAAAUGCAAUUUUGCCUAAUAUACACAUGCUUGCAAAACAAUGCCCUCUAAUAUAAUGCAUUUUUGUUUGUUGUUUUCACCAAUAUAUCAAUUUUGGCGUACAUUCCUUGGCUAAAUAACUGCAUGGCAAAAUUCAGAGUGAUGCACAUUUCACAGGGUGGGUCCCUCUUGGUUUUGCCAGGUACAAAUUAGGUAGGUUUGCCUCGAAAUGCAAACUGGACUGGAUUUCUCCUCCAUCCUUAAUUCUAGUACUGUUCAAGAGCCCUGCAGCCCACCUCUUUCCACAGUGUGCAUACCAGCUGGAAAGAGGAAAGAGUUUUCUUAGUUGUUUCCAUUAAAUCCAGUCCAUUAACUAAGAUGGUUAAGACACAGCAAAGAACCUUUCUUGGAAGCAGAGCAUAGAGGGAUAAAAGAGCGGAGGGCAGGAAGGAAACAUUAUGGAGGUUAAAGGUUUGUGCAUCUCUCUUUUGAGGAGGAAGCGUCCAAAGCCACAGCCCUCCAGCAAUCUAUCUUUUAAGCAUUUUACUGGAAUGGUGCCAGAUAGGGUUUUUUUUUAAAAAAAAAUAAUUAGAUCAUGAUGCUGUACUUUGGGAUGUUGGAAUGCAUUCUGGCCCCUAAAUUGCUUAGGCUCUUUAUAAUCUAUGGUAAAAUCCUUAUAAUCUGUGAUCAACAAAGAUGCAGUUGUAGUCAACCAAGAUGCAUCUUUGAUCAAUGAAUAGAUUUCCUUGUGCCUACAGCAUAUUGUCAAAUCACAGGUGGGGGUUGCUAAUACUUGGCCUUGAUUGCCAUGGUGAUAGUCUUGAAGGAUGUUCCCAUACCUUUAGCUGCAUACAUCUCAAAUGAAUGGUUGCCAGUUGUGUAGCACUGUGGGAAGAAACAUCACACCUGAAUAGGAGCCCUCUUGUGGCAACCUUUGCUAACCCUGUGCCCUCCAGGAGCUUUAGACUAUAACUCUCAUCAACCCCAGAUGAAGAAAAUUAUUAUGUCAUCAGUUUUCAUGGACUGUAGUCUACUUCAUCAGAUGUUUAUCCUGAGUUACAGGAUUUUUAGGAGCAUUGGGACCACUUGAUCUAACCACCCAGCUGCUCAGCAGACAAUUCAUUUAAAAAGGCAAUGUAGCUUUUAGGGAAUAUGACACUCAAUAGCAUCAUCUAAGCCUUUAUGUAAGUUCUAGAGACUUCUUUUAAAAUAACUGAACAAAGCUUUUGAAAUUUAGUUUUCUCACUGCAGAUUUAAAACUUUACAGGGAUCCACAGAGCAAGGGAUGCUCAUAGGUUUAUAGGGGGGCAGAUGAAAUUCUCCCAUGGGCUGCAUCUUGGCCUUGGACAUUCCUGCUUUAUGUUGGAAAUUCCUGCUUUAAGAAACUGCAUCAGUACAGCAUCUCAUAGAAUCAGACUAUAAAACACACACACACAGUGGAGAAAAUAGAAACACAAAGAGCCCAUAAUGAUGAAUGAAGCUUUUAAGUAGGAAUGACAGGGCCAAGCACACACCCAACAAACUUAACAGCCUUGAAAAGAAAGUUGAUGCAAAAUAUUGGUGGUAUAUUUAGGAACAUAGGAAGCUGCCCUGUACCAAGUCAGUCUAUUAAUCCAUCUAACCAGCAACACUUCUCAAGGAUUUCAGAAGGGAGUCCCCCUUCCACCUUACCUGGAGAUUGUAGGGAUUGAACCUGGAACCGCAUAGCUAAGGCUUUCCCCUUAUUUCUCUGUUGUCUGUGAAAGAACAAUUUCAACAUCAACCUCCUGAAUAUCAAGAGGUUCGGUGCUAUCAUUUGUAGAUGGAACUGAGACAAAGGACUUUUAGCACCCUAUAUGUGUUGGCUUACCAUUGACAGUAUUAUCCAUAAGGGUCUUGUUAAUUAGGUACUUGCCACUUGUCUGUAUGUUUCUGCAUUUCAUUUCUCUCUCACCUCACUGUUUGCAGCUAUAUGCUUCAGGGUUCGCAGUCAUCACAGUUAUCUAGGAAUGGUUUCCUGGAAUUGAAAUACAUGCCUUUGUAAGUACAGUCAACUUGAAUACUGAACUACAGCCAGGUUUUCCCGGAUAGGAAUUGGAUCCAAGAUCUUAGUUACACUUACAAGUGUGCUUGAACAUUUUCAGUUACUCCACAAAGAGUCAAAGAGUGCUUUGUUGUAAAUGCAACCAAAUGUGUCUUUUAAGUAGGUUUUUUCACACACACACACCUCCCCGUUGUCCUGGCUCCUACCCUCAGACACAAUACUUGAACCUUUCUGUUGAUGCUGAAUGUUGCUAUGCUUUACAUUUUGCAUAAUGGUUUCAGUAGUCUGCAAGGCACCAUGUUCUGUUGAACUCCUCUUCUUAUGGCUAAAAAGCUUAAGUUGUCCCGUUGUCUAGUUUCCCUCUUUUUUUCUUCAAAAGAACGAUGCUUAUAAACAUUGCUGGGUCUGCAGGUGAAUGUUUGCUGGCUCAAGGUCACAGACAGGAGUAUGGGGGCAAAAGCAAUAGAGAUCUGAUUGCACAACUGACUUGGCUCUGUAUGACUUUGAUUUUUAGUCUCUGCUUGCAGCUGCAAUAAAAAAAUGGUUAGAAAAGUUUGGCAUUUUAUCACAGCCUUAGUUGAAUUCUUUCUGGGUUUUCCCCUUUCGCCUAGAGCAUCAUAUACCCUUAGCAGAAUGAGUUUUGGAAAGCAUCAAUUGCAGUAAAAGUCUCCCCUCCCCCCAAUGCUGCAGUUACCAGCAGUUUACAAGGAAAUAAUAUAGGUGUAAUUGUAAGGUGAGAAUAGGAUUUCGAAUACUAAUUUUCAAAGGGUUAGGCUGGUUUAGGAUUAUAGACAUUUGACAAUGCAGUCUUCAUAGGGGGAGGUGGAAUUUGAUUCAGUUUGCAUUUAAAAGUGUACCUAAUUAAUACUUUCUGAAACAAUAAGCGAACCAAAACACAGCCAUUCUUUGAAAUUCACACUUCUCAAUGCAGUUCUCUAGCCAAUUUCUGUGUACAAAAAUGGAUAUACUUGUGAUCAUAAAAAUGCACAUUAGUGAAAAUAAAUUCUAUGCAAAUGCUGGUGGAUUUUCAUUUGGACAUUUUCAUUUUCAAAAAAACAUAUAUCCAAAUGAAUGUGGAAAUGUGGAGAACUGGGCUUAAGAUUGCAAAAAUGAGAAACGGCGAGAAACUUAACGAAUCACUGUGUUCAAUAGGAAUCAGUGGGCUUGGGCUUGCAUCUUAAAUGAGGCAACACAAAUGCUGGCUUUUGGCCUUUGCAGUUGUGCUCUGUGUGGAGUCAGGAGGACACAAUUGACUGAGCAUGUUUGCACAUUCAUUCAGGUGGAUAGCUUUUGUAAAAUGGUCGUGUUCACGACAUUACUCAGUUUCCUCUGUGUAAACAUCCUCAUGAAAAAGUAUCUGCCUGAGUUUAGCUGCAGGAAAAAGUUUGUUACAUUCAGUGUGCUUGUGUACCUUCUGCUGUUGAACAAGGAAAAUGAUGUCACCUUGCAUGUUUCUCUAUUUGUGUUGGGUGGCAGCAAACCGAGAGCCAUAUCUGUGGCUCAGCUCUGAAUGUAUUUCCCCCUCUUAGUUAUGUUAUGGCUUAUAACUAAAGAAAUAAAACUGUUACUGCCAUUUAACACACUGUAGCCAGCCCCCUUUGCCUUCCCACACAUUGCCUGGUUCAGAAGCAACACUGCUGCUUGGUAGCUAAGAGUUGUGAGGCGACACCACCCAUAGCUAUAGCAUGAGAUGGGAAUAUCAUACAUCCUUAUUUUCAAGAUGAACCUGACUAGCCAAUAGAAGGGCUUUGUCAAGAAUGUUGAAAACCCUUGUCCUGGGUGAUAAUCUCUUUCAUCUUCUUGAGAAGUCCCACUGGCAAGGUUGCAGUCACAGCGGUAGAGCAAAUUACUAGGGAAAUGGUAUUUUAAUAACCUUUCCUUGAUAGCUGAUAUUUCAUUCCUUCUUUGACCUGCCCUUCUGAAUUUUGUAUAUAUAUAGAGAGAGAGAACAUGCAAAAAAACCACCCCAGCACAAUCCCACACCCCAAUGCAGCACUAAAAAUUGUGUAUUAUUAAACUACUUUUAAUAAAAGAGAAUACAGUAAGCUGUGAAAUUGAAGCCUGGAAUCUCCUGGGGAUUUCAGACUGAGUGCAAUACUAACACCCAAUAUUUCCUGUUUUUUAUCACAAGACAGUAAAGAAGAGAGGAGAGUAAUCUUUUCCCCCUCCUAUUAUUAACUAGGCAACUUCAAAGUUUGCAUUGGCAUUUUUAAGAGCACUGGUAAAACAGGGUCAGAUGUGAAGAACAAAGUUCUACAAAGGCACUUUUAAAAAAAGUAAGCAGAAUUUUUUUAAAAAGUAGAAUUCUUUGCUACUUUCCUCUUGAGGCAAUGGUUCUCAAAUUCCCCCUCCCCUCCAGAUCUCUUGUUGGGGUUUUGGGUGGAUCUUUUGUUCUCAUUUAACAUACCUUCACUGUCAAAACCAGCGUUCUAUUCAAAUCAUGAGCCAUAGCUAGGCCACUGAAAAGCUCAUUUUUAUUGUUUGAAGGAAAAACUAGUUGAUUGCACCAACUCUGAACUAAUAAAAUCAUGAGUCUUAGGCCAGGGCUUUGAUAGCUGUUAUGUACUAAGCUUGGAUCCAAGAACAAUAGGCAAGCAGGGUCCUAGAAUGCAACAACUGAUUGGCUUUCAGGAAAAGACCAAUCAGGCUCCAGGAGGAAGUUAAUCAGCCUAUUAGGCUGGUAGGAUGGUAGAAUGCAACAACUGAUUGGCCUGCAGAAAAAGACCAAUCAGGUUCCAGGAGGGAAGCAGAAUCAGCCAAUCAGGCAGGACUCAUUGUGUAAAUAAUGUAUACAAAAGCCUGAGGUUUUGGGGGGGCAAUUCAAUCACUGUUUUACAAGCUGCAAUAAAGAGCAUGAAAUCACUACAGGACUCCGAGUAUAUUUCAAUAGCCUGUUUGAUAAAUCCAGCCCUUGUUAAAAUGGCCUUGGUCUCUGUUAUCAGAAACAUAAAUCAAGCUCAGCAUCAUGUACAAAUAUUUUUGGCUGUUCCACAGACUUUCCAUGGCCCAUCUGAAUGGAGCUCACAGACCACGGUCUGAGAACCUCUGCUUAUGGAAAGCAUGCAAUUACUAUGUAGAUACUGUACCUGUAUGCUUUGGGGAGCAAAUAGCAACUUCAGGGAGGGAGAGAUUUGAGUCAGAGAACCAACAUGGUGUUGCAGUCCCAUUCCAAGUUUUGUGUCCUGCAGCUGCAUUUAUUCUUCAGAGGAAGCAUGAGAGAGAGAGAUCUAGUUACGGACCUUCUGCCGUCUUGUCUCAACUGGUACCAGGGUCAAGAAAGUUCAUAAUGGGGAUCUCCUGCCAUAUUAAGUCAGUGUUGGCCAAACUUGGGUCUCCAGCUCUUUUUGGACUACAACUCCCAUCAUCCCUAGCUAACAGGACCAGUGGUCAGGGAUGAUGGGAACUGUAGUCCCAAAACAGCCGGAGACCCAAGUUUGGCCAACACUGUAUUAAGUUAUGCCAACCUUCUUACUUGUGCCAUGAUCUAAAGUAAUAAACCAUAGGAAAAGUUUGAAUUAACACAAACCUAUCUCUCCCGCAUCGGUCUCUACAGCCACAGCAGGUACUGCAGGCUUCCAAUGGUUUGACCUCACCUCCAUUGCCUCCUGAGACAGAGAGAUGCCAACAAUUCACAGUCUUGGCUCCAAAUGAAGAGUUAGCAUCCAUAAUAAGCAAAAAGUGUGGCCACAGGGGACCAUCGUUCAUACUAGUCCCAUGCCAGCUGCAGCGGGCCUCAAAAGAGUUUAAUCUGUUUGAGGUAUCCUAUUGGGUUUCUUCUGUGCUGUGCCCUCUUGCCUUCAUAAUUGCUCAAGGGCAUGGAUCAUUGUGGUAGGGCUCUGACUGAAAACCAUAUUUUUAAUUGUUCUUGUAGUCCGGUAUUUUGUAGUGCCAUCUGGCAUGUCUGCUUUCCUGCAGUGUAGGUCACUACAGGUCACUGUGACCUUCUCACCUGAUCUAGUGCAGUGCCCAGAGCACCAGCAGCUCUCCUUAAAAUAGCUGCUGCCUCCGCAAUAAAAGGCCAGGCAAGCCAGCGCUGUACACAUGGGCAUAUUUUAUAGGCAGUUUAGUGUUGGGCAUUUUAUAGCUCUUUUACACACCCCUUCUGGAAAGGGGUCAUUUCUGGCACUGUAUAUAUAUAUAUAUAUAUAUAUAUAUAUAUAUAUAUGGACUGCAACUCUUACUUUUGACUCUCUAAGCUCUGGAGACACCAGGGACUCCUAAAACGCUUUUCUUCUUGGCAUUCAUGCAUUUGAUUUCAGAAGUUUUUAAAAAAUUAAGUUGCAUUUGUCAUUUGUGACUUUGUAGCUCUCGAAAGUUACAUCAGUGGCACCGGCUUGCUUCUAAAAGUCUAGCAGUAUCGUGCUAUCAGACUGCCAACUUCAGAAUAACACUUCCUAACCAACUGGGCCCUAGUCAACCAGACCUUAUGCCCCAAUAAAUCUGUUAGCCUUUAAGAUGCCAAAAGAUUAUAUUUUUUUUCUGUGCUAGAAGAAUGAUUUAUUCUCUUAAUACUGAUACACAGUGACAGAAGGAACUGGCAGCCCGGCAAGAUGAUAGCACAUGUUGGCUGCCGUCUAUGAAAUGCUUCUUCCGUGACAGCCCCAGUCAUUGGUAAGAAAUGUGUCCUAUCAGCCUUCCUUCGUCAGGUGCCCGCCAGAUGUUCUGGGCUAAAACUCCCACCAGCCCCAGCCAGCAUAACACUUUACUAUUAGCCUCAUACAUUUAUUGACUCCAUAAAAUGCACACGAAAAGGACAGAAAUUUGUUAAGGAUGUGCAAAAGUGAUCAGCAGCACUACCUCUAAAAUUAUUUCUUGACGAAACUUAAUUUGGAGUCCAGGUUUCUUUGCCGCUCCUGGGGUGGUAGCUAAGUUAUACUCAGAGUAGACCUAUUGAAAUUAGUGAAACUAACUUAGUCAUAUUCAUUAAAUUCAGUAGGAGGAAAAAUUUGUUGGAUAGCACACCCCUGGUGUUAAAUUAGCAUAGCAUAUCUAGAAAGCAAGUAUUAUCACACUGUGUGAUAUUGCAAAUAGGUCAUUCUGUCCUUAUGGUGCAUAAUGUACCUUUAGGCUUUGCAUCAAAAUGCUACUGACCUGUUGCUACACAUUACAUUUUAUGGCCCCCACUGUUUCCAGUUUUUCUUCACUGUGUUUGUGUGUGUGUGUGUGUGUGUGUGUGUGUGUACACCAACUGAAGACCACAGCUAAUGCACUUGAUGAACGGGUCUAGUCUAUGGAUGCUUCUGCCACAAGAAAUUUGAUCAUCACAAAUGCACACCCUGUCUCUCUGUUGCACAGAAUUAAAAACAGUAGCACCACUGGAGCAAAUCACAAUAUAAUGCAAAUCAUAUCUGUUCUGUAGUCAAUCAUGCUGUUUACUAAUCUUCAACAAGUCAUAUUGUAUUACUUCAUGAAUCUCCUCCAAAGGAAAUUCUUUGGCUCUAUCAGAAUAGGCUCCUCCAUCCAGCAACAAACAGCAGCUAUUGUUUUGUUGAGCUCUUUGCAGAAAGUUCCAAUCGUCUGUCCAAGUUGUCCAUUGAUCAGCCAAAUUGUCUCUCUUUUCAAAGGAGUUGGCAUUCUGCCUAGCUAGCUAUUUGUUUUCCUUUUCCAUCUUUUGUGUCUUUUCCUUUUCUUCUCCAGUAGUGUCUUCUUCUUCUCUGCUCCCCUUAUCUCCCAAUGCUCAUUUGCUUUAAAAUUCCCCAAAGGUCUUUCUCUCUGUGUCUCAUGGAAUGGCAGGACAACAGGGAGGAGGGAGAGGAUUCCAAUGAGGGAUGUGGCCGGGAUUGGGACACACUGGGGCCAGCUGGGCAUGGCGAAGGAGAGGUUGGUGUAGGAAGUACUCAUGGGGUGACAGAGGAUGAUGAGGGGAUGGGGAUCAGUGCACAGGAACCAGAGCAGCAGGACACAUCACCAGAGCCAGAGGGGCUCCUGUCUCCAUGAACAUGGUGGACUCUGAUGUGUAGGAAGCAGCAGAGUGGCACUGUAGGAGGUUGAGGCAGGCAAGAGCCCACAGCCCAGCUCCCUAGCUGGCCAGGUGGGGCUUACUAGCUCUUCAGCUGGAGUAAACUCAGAACAGGUGAAGGUCACAUGCCUCAUCAAGCCCAGGGCAGCAGAGCUGAGGUGCUAUGUCUUCUCAACUGCCCAUGUUGAAGGAUCUCAGUUUGGAUGUGCCAGGAUUUCUGUAGGAUUUUGGACAUGUGGAUUGACCCUGGACUGGGGAUUUGACAUACUGACUUACUGCCAGGUAGGCCAGCGGUUCAGGACACUCUGCUUCUAACUUGCUCUCUCAUUGGUCUAGUUUAGGCAUGGGGUACCUGUGGCCCUACAGAUGCUGCUGUACUGUAGCUCCCAUCAUCCCUGGUCAUUAGUCAUGCUGGUUUAGGAGUUAUAAGACAUCAGUGCCCUGACCAGGGCAUUGCACCUCCCUUAAACAUUCCUACCAAGGCAAGCCCUACCAUUAGGCAGAGUAAGGCAGCUGUCUCAGACAUCAGAUGCUGAAGAACAGAGUAGAUAAAGCUAUGCGUGCCGUGUGGCUUGCUUUGUGUCCCCUAAGCCAGCCUACUGCCUUGCUGCCAGUGUCAAAGUAAGAUUAAGCUUCAAGUCUGUAUAGCUUUUGUACAUGCAAGGUGCUAUCUUGUCCUUUAUCUCAGGCAGCAAAAUGUAUUUGGCCAGCCCUGAUUUCUGGUAGUGCUUCAGUAUUAACUGUAAGUCGGACACAUUCCUCCAAAUGGAAGUUAAGUUGAUGAAUAUUUCUUAAGGGGAGGAUAGGAAUGGAACAGAUGUGCUCCUUGAACAUCUAAAAAAAAUGUACCUUUCUGGUGGACAAAUCCAGAUAUUGUGAAAUAUUCUGGUUCAAGAUGGAACAUCAAAAUGGGCGGGAAUGGUUAAGCUAAAGAAAUGGCCCUCUCUGAACUGAAGUGGCUGGUGGUUCUGUCAGCUGGGAAGCCUCUCACUUGAGGGCCUCCAGGAUUGAGUUUACUGUUUCUUAGGCUCUGUUUUAUGCUUCUAAAAUGGAGAUAGUUUACUUAUUUCCUGAUCCUCUGUAUCUUGUCUAUCCUAUCAUUAUAAUAUUAUGAACAAGAGCAGCCUCUCAUGGACCAUAUAUAGUGAGAGCGGCCAGGGUCAUUUCUGAAGGGUCAUGGGAAAGCAGCUCUAAGGUGGGCAGAAGUGACUGGGAUGUUCCAUUGGCAUUAGCCCUACUCUGGCUUUGUUGUUGCAGGCAGCUGAGAAGUGGAGAAUGGUGCUGUUUCAAUUUUUAAAAAAUAUUCCAUUCUAGAAAAAAAGAGAGUAGCCAGUCUAGCAGCUCCCAUGGGAUGCUGAACUGCCGAUCCAGCUCUCAUAACAGUGGAGUGAGAUGUAUUCCUUAUUUGGCAGGUUGGAUUCAUUUUCGUGCCAUGUUUUCCUGAAGUUAUACUGUAUGCUAGGGUCAAUUAUUCCUAAUGAAAGGUCCAGAAACUUAAGAGGAGGGAGGAGUCUGUGGAGUUCAGAUCAUCAGAAAGGCAAAGCAUGAGCUGGCUUUCAAGUGCUUUCGGCAACCUCCGUUGCUCAUAAUCAUAAAUCAGAACCAAGAAGGAAAACCCCAUGGAUUUAAUGAUUAAUAAAAGUUGUUAAAAAACCAAAAAUUAUAAAACCUCAUUAUGGCUUCUUAUACAGUAAAUCAUUUUGCUAUCCACACUUGUGUGUGCAUGUGUAUGCUAUGCAAAGGUUUAAAAAAACCCUUUAAAAAUGGAAGACAUGGGUAUUCUGAUACAAUGUUCAGCAUGAAGAGUCUGGGAAUGCUCAGUGGCUUUACAUGACUGCUGCUGUCAUAUGGGCAAAAGGGCCAUAGGGGGUCACAGGGAGCAGGGGUGAUGUGGCCAGGAAGGAUCUGAAGAACACCUAGUUCCAACUUCCAUCCAGGUGGGCAGUGCCUGUUCUUGAUGAGCUCCAGUGCAAUGGGUGGUGCAGAUUAUUAUGUUUUAUUAUGACUUUGUUUGGAUCAGAUUAUUAUAAGGUGUGUGUUCUUUGUUGUAUAUUUUGCUGCCGUAAACCACCUUAUGUAUAGUAAUGCGGAAUGGUGGUAUACAAAUUUAAAGUGUAAUGAAAUGAAAUAUAGUGGUACCUCGGGUUACAGACGCUUCAGGUUACAGGCUCUGCUAACCCAGAAAUAAUACCUCGGGUUAAGAACUUUGCUGGGACCUGGGACCUUUAUCUUCUCUGAGGCCAGGGGCAGUCCUGGCCCCCAGGAGACCCGCCUCUCCUGGCCUUAAGGCGACCACUCCUCCUGGGAGAAACCAGUUCCCUCCACCUCUCUGCCCUGAGCCUCUGCAGUUCAGGAGAGGCUGGAGGGUUACUGGACCCAGGGGGAGACUCCCCUUCCCCUGACAGGGCUGGGGGAGGCGCACCUGUAGGCACUGUGUCCUCAACCACCUCCGGAGCCAGGGUGGAUUCACCUGGUGCCUGCUCCUGAGGAUCCGGCACAGGUGCAGGCGCUUCAGAAUCAAGGCCCUGCCCCAGUUCAGCCGGCCCUGGAGGCGGGGACUCCUGUGCAGGCUGGGAUUCCUCCGGUUCAGCCUCUGAAUCAGAUUCCCAGGCCAUCACAGUGCCUUUCUGAUGUCGUUAAGAUGCCAGAUGAUUGACAGGUGGUCACCCCACCCAUCUGUCAAUGUGGCCCAUGAAAGGUGGGGGAAGGUCAGUAUCCGGUCCACCAGCCAGGAAAGAUUCCCCAUCCCUGACUUAAAGGCACAGCAAUGUAGUAAAGGUAAUAUGUAGUCUGGCCCUGAUCUCAUUUAACAAUGAAGAUAAGAUACAUUAAAUUCAUGCUCCAAAGUGUCGCUUCUCUUGGAAAAAAUUUCAUGCAUUUGUUAUACGUUUCUGGAAAGACCUCCUGUGUUCCAUCUCUAAAUUGCAGGAUAUGGAUUGCUGUUUUUUUAAAAAAAAAUCUUUGGGAUUGUCUGAAGGAAUUAUUUAUGCAAAAGAAUAGAAGCUUUAUGGCAUAUCUUCUUGCAGCUGCAAAAAUAAUGUGGGCAAAAGACUGGAAAUGAUUUACUCACAGCACUAAAUGCUUUCAAAUUGCUCUUUCAAAAGCUGCAGUUCCAGGCACCGCUGUUUACUGGCGUUUCUCUGGGGUGGGGGACAGAGGACAAAGAAAAGAAGGAAGAGCAAACAUUACAUUUUUGACCACUUUCCUACCUUACCCUCAUUGCUGCUAUUAAAACGGAGUUUAAAUCCAGAUUCUUGGCCAUUUUGAAGUUUUCCUUUAAUAAAUAAUCAUACUGUUUUCCUGUGGUUGAGCUAUGGUUUCACACCAAUCCUCAUUAUGCUGGUCCAAAUAGUGAUGUUUUCAAGCUUUUAGAAAAAAACCCAAAACAUUAUUAUAAUCUGAGGACACUUCCAACUUGUUGCAGUUUUCGGGUAGGAUUAAAUCACAUACCAGCAAAUUCAGGCUGCUCGCUUAAUGCUGACUGAUUAUUUAUUCACCUAUUUAUAAUCUGCACUAUCAUUAAAAUGUAUCAAGGGUGGUAUAUGACAUGUAGCAAAAAGCAUGAGCUAAAGCACCCCCCCAGAACCCCCCUGGCAUUUUGCAGUAUAGAAAGUGAUGGGAAAAUGCACAGGAAAGUGUAGGAAUAAUGUGGAUGCAAUGGUGUAUACACUCCCCACAAACAAAUUUUGUGGUUGAAUGCAACCUGAUAGUGUGAGUUCAGGAUUCAAAACAAGGUUUAAAGUUCAGAUUCCUUGCCCUGGUCCUCCUCAAAAGUUCACAAAGUACAGAAGGACAAGGCAAAAGCAGCUCAUACAUUUCUCUUUGGUAAAAACUAUGAAAAAUGGAUCUAGCCUGCUUAUUUCCAGGAGCAUGGUAAAGCGCAUCUAAGAGAUCACUCUAAUUUCAUAGCUGCAUUUCCAAGGGCUAUCAUUCAAAUUAAAAACCAUUACUUUCCACCCACAUAUCACAGCAUCAAAUUCGCAUUGAAAAACAGAACAACCAACCAGGACAAACACGAAACCUUAGGUGAUGAAUAACAUAUAGUCGUUUCUUCCUUCGUGCUCAGAAGAAUAUUAGAUUCCUUACUGCUUAAUUUUUUGCUCAGGGUUUGAAAAGUAAAUAAAGUCACAGCGUUUCUACCAAGUUAUCUCAUUUUAGUUGCAAAGGUAAAUGAUGCCUGCAUUCCUAGACAAUACAUUCCCCAAAUUGCUUUUGAAUGGCAGUGAUGUCAUCCCAACUUAAUGUGUUUCUAAUAAAUAAUGCAUUAGGAAAUUCUGAUUUUCCAGAGGUACACAAACAAACUGUUUUUUGGUUGCUAUCGGCAGCUUCGCCUUCACCCCUUUUGAGUGCCCUGCUCCAUUUCUUUUGACUUGUUUUCGCAGCGCAGAAUUGCUAUGAAAGAAAAUAUUUGUUGUGAGAUGCCAAGACAUUGAGCUUAAUUUAAUCUGCAAGUCUGGAGGUAUGUGGUUCUAUAACUAGACACAUGUCAUGGUAACUUACUAAGAAUGGAACGGAGAGGCAUCUUUUAGUCACGGAACUCUGUGCAUGAAAAUCCCUUCACUCACCAAACCACAACAUUAAUGCAAAUAACGUCUGUGUUUCCUCCUUGAUGGGAAACUGGAAUAUGUUCGUGAUGCUUAACCGGGCUGAGAAACCGCAUACUUUACUAGUGAAAUAAUUCAUAAGCUGCCUCUGUAGGAAUGAUUUGAGCACAGAGAUUCUGUGCACCUCGCAUGGGCACGACACAAAGAGCUUCAUUUGCUGGCACUCGGUUUGGAAAGUGGAUCAAAACAGAAAAGCACCUCAGCUUGUAUGGUUUUAACAUUUGCCAUAUACUUGGGGUUUUUGUCUGUGUUUUUUAAGCAAUUUACACUAAGGCAUCUUUUUAUAUUGGACAUUCAUGAUGAUUUGUGCUCAUGAUGUGGCAGUUAUAUGCAAUCCCGCUUUCAAUACUGUUUGUGCCUGCAAAAGUUUCAUGGUCCGUAAACUGUCUUCUUUCUAAAUGAUGCACCUCCCAUAGCUUCCUGAUGAAACCCUGUAACUUUUCAUACUACAAAGUUUUUGGUUCUGCCUUAAUUGCAUUGUAGCAAAGGAGUGCACCUCCAGAUGGCAAGUAAUGUGGCAACUUUAGGGUAGCACUGCAGAACAACUAACAAAGCUGGAUGGUUUGUGGAUGGUCUAGUGUAAGUCCAACACUAAUGCAUUAUCACUGCAUCAUUGGCGUGUUACAGAAUAUAACAGCAAAAAAGAACCCCAGUCUGGAGGAGCCCCAAGGCUUCAGUCAUUUGCAUAUUGAGAAGUCCCAAGUUACUUCCAAGUAAAUAUGCACAGUGGUCCCUCGGGUUACAUACGGUUCAGGUUACAGAUGCUUCAGGUUACAGACUCCGCUAACCCAGAAAUAGUACCUAAGGAAUAGUAACCCAGAAAUAGUACACUUUGCUUCAGGAUGAGAACAGAAAUUGUGCUGCGGUGGCGCGGUUGCAGCGGGAGCCCCAUUAGCUAAAGUGGUGCUUCAGGUUAAGAACAGUUUCAGGUUAAGAACGGACCUCCGGAACAAAUUAAGUACUUAAUCCGAGGUACCACUGUAUAGGGCUGGGCUGCAAAUCUGCUUGUGUAAUCAGUUCACUAUUAUUUGUUCUUCCAAAUGGACAGGUUAAUAAGUUUUGUGACUGUGUUCUUAGUUUGCUCCACUGUAUUGCUGACGAGCAGGUCAAGUAUUAAGCAGCUGUUGCACUUUACCAUUAGAGAUCUAAACGGUUGGCUGAUCAGAAUGGGCCUGUUCUCUUAUUUGUUCCACAGCACUAAAAUUAGUAUCUGUAAAUUUUAGAGAGUGGUGGCUUUUUUGGAGAGAGGAGUUCACAGAAAGGCUAAUUUAGGUGGUUCCUGAACUCAUGGCAACUUUGAGCAGGAAUACAAGAGGAUUAAAAAUGGUGGUCUGUCAUGCUGAGAAAAUGGUAGAGGUAUUAAAAAUGGGAGGACUCCAUUUCACCAGAGAUGGUAAAAAAAAAAGCGAAGGACUUUAAAAAAUGGACUGUUUUACAGAUCUGCCAGCAAUAACCCUAUUUGGGGAUUAGUCUGUAGGUCUGCUUCCCUGGACACUAGGCUAGCAGAGAAAGUUCUCCUUAACAUUUUCUAAUAGCACCAUACACAGCAACAGAUUAAAAGGUUAAAACAAUUCUGCUGUCAAAAAAAAUCAAUAAUGCAAUUGCAACCUUUAAAUACACAGGCAUUUUAAAUGCAUAGUGCGCACACAGUUUACUGUUUAAAGCCAUUUAAAAAUUGCUGGGGACUCCUCUGCCUUUGUGUUUGCUGGUGUGGGUUUUAAAAAAAAUCUCUUUCAACUCAGAACUGUAAGGAAAAGUGCAAAGUAAAUGAGUUUUAAUGAUUAAUUUUCUAAGCUAGAUAGAAUCCAGGAAAUUAAUGCAGAUAGGUAUUUUCAAAAGUGUUUAUUUUCUAUGAUGCUGAAUAGAAGACCAGUGCUUUCAAUCCAGUGGAGUUAUUUCUGAAUGCCUCUCUCUUUCUGGUUCUUCUCGAAGCCUAGACAGCCUAGGGAGAGGAGCUGGCUGCCCCUUGAGCCCACACCUUUUGGUUUGAAAUACCAGGUAGGCUGUCCAAUUGGCAUCCAAUUUUCCAAGUCUUGGCAUAGAGAGGUAGGGGAGCUCAUUUAUGUUGGUUCAGAUGCACCCAAUUAGGUUUUCUGGUUUUCAUGAGCAAGUGAGUUGGGUUGGGCAUUGUUACAAAGGUCCAAAAGAUUCUGUAUCCGUGACUGUACUGAUCAUCUCACUAUCAUACACCAUCGGAGGUGUUUGAGAUGGUGUUAGAGGCCACCAAAUCUUGUAGUGCUGAUACCUCUUUGUUGGGAGCAACUUGGGACUUCUUGACCACCAUGGCAAAGAUGAAUCUGUCUCAGCAUCUAAUUCAUCCAGCACAUAUGGCAGGUCAUGCAUGAAGCUUAGUGGAUAGCAUUGUGAGUGGGGAUGCAAUAACAACUUCCUUACCAUGGUCAGAUACGUUUCAGUUAGUGCGGCUAUUACUGUACCACUUAGCCUCUGCAGCAGUGGUGGAUCAAUUAAGACAGCCCACCACUAAUGGCUGGCUGAUGGAUCUGAUUGGUUUCCAAAAUGUUUUAGGAAAUUGUCAGUUAAACUUCACUGGAUCUCCUGUCAAAGACCGGUUGCUGAUUGGAAUAUAGGAUUGAUGCCUGGAAUAUGAUAGAUUUUAGAUAGGUUUUAAGUGCUGUCUUCCGUGUCUUCUUCACAAAUCUUCCUAGCUUCAGACAAUUAAGUAGCAGGGAAGAUGGGAUGAGUGACAGUGAUGGAAAAUUAUAAUCCACCCAACCAAGCACAGAUGAGAGCCCAUUUGCAGGAGGUGCUGCCGCAGGAAGACAUCUCCAGGGAAAAUUGGAUGUGUGUUUGCCAGCCACUGGAUCAUGUCCCAUUUGUCUCUCUGCAGCACAGACCUGUUCAUUCAUUCACCCCAUGCUAUCUUUCUACAUCCUCUGAUGCAUCCUUCUAUAUCCUCCAGAUCUUUUUUCGCUGGCCUCAUAACUGAGUGACACAAAUGCUCCUAGAGCUAACCUUUCAAAAGCUGACACGUUGAUCACAUUUCCCACUCCUGAGGUUUGAGGCACUUCAUUCCCUCGCCACACAGAUUUUUCAUCCCUGUCAUUUUGUGCACCAUGGCCCCCAAAUGAAUGUUCAGUAACUCACUGACAUUUACAUAAUUGCCCUUGGAGAGUGAAGUUCCUUUCCCUCUCUUUCCUGGCAAAGUGCAAGCUCCAUUGGUGACUGACAGUUUCCCUUCUGUUUUCUAAUCUUCUCUUGAGCGGUUUCAGUUGCUUUGGUUUCUCGCCGUUGCUGGGUGCACCAGAGCUCAAGUGAGUCCAACGACAGUACAGACGUGGGUCCGCCAGAUGGCAAGCUAUGAAAUUAGGCCAAGGCUUUUAUGCACAGAAUUCUUUUCAGAAUGGAGAAAUGAGAAACACUCCCCUGGAAGGAAACACAUAGAGCAUGCACCCAUAAACAGAAGGAGAAGAGAAAGUCAAAUUUAUUUAUUUAUUUAUUGGGGAGGGAGCUUUCUCGAAGGAAAGCAGAACCAUCUUAUUGUUUCUACAGUUCUUGUGCAAAUCUGUUCCAGUGCACAAUUUGAAUUAACAGCCCAGUCCUACAUAUGUUGUUCAGAAGUCCCAUUUUAGUCAAUGGCUAUUAUUUAGAUAACAAGUCUAUCUGGGAUAGAGAGACACUUAUUUUAUUUUAAUUUUAUUUUACUUUUUAUUUUAAAACAAUGGCUGCUAUCUUUAUAGUAUGCUUUUGGGUUACAGCAUGCUAUAAAUGACGUAUAUAAGGUGGCAACAGCUUCCUAAUUAAACGAUAUGGCCAAAUUACAUACAAGCAAGAAGAAAGCUUAAAAACACACACAACACAAGCAAGAGCGUUGAUCCAGUCCCUCACACUACAGCCCAUGUAUGUAGCACAUGCUAACCCACAGUUUAUAGGUUGUCACAACAUAUUAAAAACCUUCCUGGUUCAGACUGCCAUGGCCAACCAAUUGCCUCAGGAAACCUGCAAGGGAGGCAUGAAGACAGUAGUUCUCUCCUGCUGUUGCUCCUCAGCAACUUGUAUCCAGUGGCACACUUCCUCUGAAACAGGGGUACAGUUUAGCCAUCAUGACUAAGUGCCACUGACAGAGCCACCUUCCGUGAAUUGGUUUAAUGCCUUUGAAAGCCAGCCAGCUCUGCUAAAUACGUAUACUUUCUUUUCUUCUGAAUCUACUGACAAUCAGUUCCACUGGAUAACCCACACAAUGAGGGUAGUAUUUAGUUGUGGCAAGUGGUCAGUUCUGAAACCUGGGGAACCUGGGCUUAGUUCCUAGUUCAGUCGUGCACUUAUUGCAUGAGGUGGGACAAGCUGAGCCAGUAUCUGGAGAUCCAAACCUACUGCCCCCUCCCAGAGUGCUGCUUGAGGCAACUGCCUCAGGAAGGUUCAUGGUAGUGUCAGCCCUGCCUGACAGGACAGGGCUCCUGUAGAUAGGUAGUUGUUGUGGCAGGAAACUGGGUGUCUGGCCUGCUCUGAAUGGAGUUGCACUGCCCUUGAAGGAGCAGGUACAUAGUCUGGGGGUGCUCACCGAUCCAUCUGUGUCACGCAAGACCCAGGUCCGCUUCCAGCUCUGGCAGGAUCGCCAGCACACCCUAGUAACUGCCUGUCUUGAUUACUGUAAUCCACUUUGCAUAGUGCUGUCCUUUAAGACAGUUCAGAAAUUGGAGCUGGUGCAGAAUGCUGCUGCUAGAGUAUUGCUGGGUACUAUGAUAUAAUGCCCAGCAAUACUCUAGCAGCAGCAUUCUGCACCAGCUGGGUACUAUGAUAUAAUGCGUGGGACGCAGAUGGUGCUGUGGGUUAAACCACAGAGCCUAGGACUUGCUGAUCAGAAGGUCGGCGGUUCGAAUCCCCGCGACAGGGUGAGCUCACGUUGCUCGGUCCCUGCUCCUGCCAACCUAGCAGUUCAAAAACAUGUCAAAGUGCAAGUAGAUAAAUAGGUACCGCUCCGGUGGGAAGGUAAAUGGCGUUUCCGUGCACUGCUCUGGUUUGCCUGAAGCGGCUUAGUCAUGCUGGCCACAUGACCUGGAAGCUGUACGCCGGCUCCCUCGGCCAGUAAAGCAAGACGAGCACCACAACCCCAGAGUCGGUCACGACUGGACCUAAUGGUCAGGGGUCCCUUUACCUUUACCUUUAUGACAUAAUGCCAUAUAACACCUGUCAUGAUUGGAUCUGUACUGGUUGCCUAUAUACUGCUGGGCUCAAAUUAAGAAGUUGAUUCCAAUAUAUCAAGCUCUGAAUGCCUUGGGACCUAGGCAUUUGAUGGAAUGCCUUCCCUCAUAUUAUCAACCAGCCCAAGCUCUGAGAUCAGCUGAGCAAGGGCUUUCUUACUGAGUGUUGCUCAUUGUGUGGGGACCGGGAUAAGGCCUUCCCUGUAGUUAUGCCCCACCUAUGGAAUACUCUCCACUUGGAAGUAUGGAUGGCUAAACCACUGAUAAAUUUCCAUAGCCUAAUCAAAGCCUCUCUGUUCUCCCAUGCAUUUUGAAGAUUUGGCUAAGCUAUCUCUGGAGCUUACGAUUUCUUUCUUUAUUGUGCAGAAGCACUGCACUGUUGCUAAUUUAUGAUCCUUUUAAUUGUGUUUUAUGUUUGUAAAUGCUGUGUUAUUUUAUUGGUCACAUUGGAAAGUGCUUUGUGGCUGCAGUGUGUUGAAAAGUGGUUUCUAAAUACAGCAAAUAAAAAAUAAAUAAAUACCGUGCUUUGGGUUGAAAAUGAAGAAAAUCUAUUUUCCACUUUUUCACAUGUUUGAAUUUUUGCCGAUGAAGGCAGGUUGCCAGAAGUACUUCUGCUGAAUAAUUAUUCAAGGAUUUAUUUCCCUGAGUGCAGUAGAGUUUCACAAUUUCCAUGGUAAUUUUCCCUGUGAAAUUAUUUAAUGUACUCUAAUAUAUGAAUGCACCCUUAGAUAAGUAAGAGCAGGAUACUGUGCAGGAUACAUUAUAAGUGAGAAGAACUGUACUUUUCUAUUCCCCACUUUCAUAAGCGUGCCUGGGGCCAAUUAUAUGCAAAAUAUGCAAUUCUUGGUUUUGAUGGCAGGCAAGUGGGAGGUGUGUGUGUAUGUCUGUGUGGGAGGGAUUAAAGAUACUUUCAGCAGCUUUUCUGCUCACCCCAAUGCAGAAGCUGGGGCAGAAUUCAAAUUCCCUCUCGGGGCCGUUGUGUAUUUUAGAAAGCUAGGCCACCUCAGAGUGAACGGAAAUAAGAGGAGGACAGCUCUAUGGAGGUUAGAUUUGAAGGAAGCCCUACUCGGAAGGAGAUUACUAUGCAGAUUAAGCGAUUGUUUGAUAAGGCAUAAAGAUCUGGAAGUAUGGAGAAAGAUAAGUGCUGCCAACCUAGUUGUGGCAUAUGCCUCAAUUGCAAGGAGCAUAGUAAUGCUCCCCCCCUCUCCUGCCAUCAAAGCUCUGAGGAAGGAGAUGGGGCUGCUGAGGGGGUUUGUGUGGUGGCAGCUGAGAGGCAGAUCUUUCUCUCUGUCUGCAGAGCAGUGGCGGACUUACAUUUUUGGGUCCCUGCAGCUUGAAGCACUGUUACCUUCUCCAAUGGGAUUGCUGCAUGACAAAUCACCAGCCUUUUUUAAGUUAACUACAACACCUCAGAUUUUGAUUAGAAUUGCUGUACUGGAUUAUCUCACAUGUCAAAGUCUCUGGUGUGCAUAAAAAUUUCCUUCACCUUAUAGUUUUCGAGUUGUGCGACUCUCGUUGCGUCUAAUAGACCCCAAAAUUUUAAGCAAUGUAGACUAGAGUCACUUCUGGGGCCCCUCCGAGAUUAGGAGGCGCUGAAGCUGAAGCUUCCUUAGUUUCAUAGUAGAGGCACACCUGCUCCAGAGAGGGAGGUAUGCAAUAUCCUAUGGCUCCUGUGCAGGAUUGUAGGGCUGUAGGAUUGUACAUUUCAUUGGGAAGGGCCACAGGCCAGUGGGUUAAAACAUGGGUAGGCAAACUAAGGCCCGGGGGCCGGAUCCGGCCCAAUCACCUUCUCAGUCCGGCCCGCAGAUGGUCUGGGAAUCAGUGUGUUUUUACAUGAGUAGAAUGUGUGCUUUUAUUUAAAAUGCAUCUCUGGGUUAUUUGUGGGGCAUAGGAAUUCAUUCAUUCCCCCCAAAUAUAGUCCGGCCCCCCACAAGGUCUGAGGGACAGUGGACCGCCCCCCUGCUGACCCCUGGGUUAGCACAUCUCUGUUGCAUGCAGAACGUCACAGGUUUGAUCCCUGGCAUCUUCAAGCAGAGCUUCAUGAUCCCUCAGUCUGAGACCCUGGAGAGAUGCUCGGGGGGGGGGGGCACUAGGGGCGCCUUGAAAGAUGGCUGCUAAUAACAUCUUGUCCAGCUUGCAAGAGGUAAUUAGAGGCUGAUAUGGGGAGUACAUCAGCCUCCCUUUGUCUUUUCAGGGAAGGAAAAGACGCUGCCUCACCUGCUGUUGCCAUAAAUCACCCCCGAGUUCGGAUGAACGAGGGGGUGAGAGGCACUAGGUGGAAAGCCCUCGGGCAAGCUUGGAGCUCCCUGCCAGCUUCUUUCAGGAGCAAGCCUGGCUGCGAUGUUUAAAAAGAAGAAAAGAAUUGGACCAAUAAACGCACAGGCUUCAAGAGAAAUCAGGAAUGCUUUUAUCUGCUAAUAAAUUUACCACUGAGUGAAGAAGAUCGAGACGGAAGGACGAAGGACAGAAGGAACAGAGAUAACACCAGAGAACUGCCGACAUUUUGGUAUGUGGACGGUACGAGGGGGGGGAGACUUUUUUAUUUUAUUUUUAUGUGAGUACCUGAUAACCCUCCCCCUCAAAAAACCGUCUCGACGACUAAUUUACAAGUGGGAGUGAAAAUGAACUGUGUGGAAAAAAUUAUAUGUCUGUGAAAGAUUUGGAAACAAGUGAGUCUCUCUCAGUGACGCAGUAAGAAAUGCUCCGUUGCGUAGGCAGAUCUCGGCUGCAAGAUGGAUGGUCUAGGGAGGAAGAGCCGCUUGGAUAUCAGGCUGGAAUCGUAAAUCAGAAAGGGCUGUUAUCCUCCUGGAAGACUAAUUAUGAGGCAGCGGGUCUGGAAAGUAAACGAGUGGACAUUUAGACUGUAUUCCACCGGAAUGACAGGACGGAGUGUCUGCUCGAAAACAUGAUGGUUGGAUUUGUGGACAUAUGAGAGAGCAUUAUAAAACCCACACAGAGACAAAAUAAGACUGUUCCUUUUAAUCCACUUGUGGAGAAAACUCGGAGGUGACAGAAAAGGAAAAUGAAUAAAUGACAAAUAUGAGAAGAUGGGACUGGAAACAUCAUUGCAGUAAGGAAAGCAGCACGAAUUUGGAUCUUUGGAUUCCUGACGAUUGAGGAGCAUGGGUACCCCCCACAAUUUUUUUUUUAAUUUGGAAAACAUUUGGACUUUAUGAUGUGUAUUGAUAUAAUUUGGACUAAUUGGUAUGAUAUGUUUAAUUUGGCAAAUGGAAACUUAAUAAAAAUUAUUGAAAGAAAAAAAAGAGAGAGAUGCUCAGGGCAGACAACAUUGAGCCCGAUGAUCCGACUUGGUCAGCUUCCUAAAUUCCUAUGACCCAAUGAUCUAGGGUCUAUAUUUAGAGUGCUGAGGAAGCUACAUUUUGGCAGUCCCGAAUGCAGUUCAGUUCGAAGACCUGUGUUGGAAGCAGCAUGCCACUGAGUGCCACUGGCUGGGAAUCGCAAGUGGGGAGAGAGUUCUUGUGCUCAUGUCCUGCUUGUGGGCUUCCUUUAGGCAUCUGGCUGGCCAUUGUGGGAGCAGAAUGGGCAUUGCUUUGACCCGGCUGGACCCUGAUGUCCCUAUACAGGAACAUAUCUCAAAACAGAGACAGACGUUAAUGCUUUCAAAAACUUCAGAUAGUCAUCUGAAGAGUGUGUGCUUUAACCAACUUUCUUUAGCUCAAUGCUUUUUUUUUUUUACUCAUCUGAUGUUUCUAUAUAGUUUACAUUUCACUAGAAUAUUUUGUUUCUACUUAUAUGGCCUCAUAAAGUACCUCUUCCUCUUAACAGCACCGGAAGAGUUUGUUUUUCAUUGGGAAUAAAAGUAUUAAGUACUAGUAGGUCUCUGAUUUUAGGCAGUAAUGCAAGCGAACGCGUACUGGAAUCCUGCUGGGUUUUGAGAGGACAUUGAAAUGGCAUGUAAAGCGAGAAGCUUUUAAAUCACUUCGGUAAUCAGAAACGUUCCUAGUCGUUACAGGCUUAAACGCAUAAAGGCAUAGAUUUUCCAGAAUGUGGGCUUCUGCAUCAGUAAACUCUAUGGAAGAGAUGAUUGGUUGCAAGGUAGAAAGGAACACUUGCACUAUUUGAAUAUUAAUGUAAUCUACCCAUGUGAGAAGCUGCACUAUCUUCCUGCCAGAGGACUAAAUUGCAUAGAAGAGACUCCUGCAUCAGGCACAUAAUCCAAAGGAAACCCUAAUUUAUAUGCUAAUUAGCCCACAUGUUAAGAAUUACAGGGUUAAUUAAGCAUAUCAUCCCACCCACAAUUUUAUCAGUGAUAGACAUGGAGGUGCAGAGCAGAAAUCUUGCCAUUCAAUCGAAUUAACUACCUAUAGCGAUUCUUUAGGGGUCCUUCUUUCAAAGCAAGCCCAGCAAGUUAAAUCACGUUUCAUUCAAAAUAAUGUCAGGGCUGUGUAGAAGUUUUUGUGUUAAAAAGGCAUGGUGGGGGCAGGGAGUUGGGAGGAAGCGGUUUAUACAGUGUCCUACAUAGCCUGAACUUUAUGUUUAAUUAAACUGGGUUGGCUUCAGUUAUUGAACAUGAAAUAGCUGCUAAUUGAUUGAGAACACAGCCACUGAGGUUCAACAGCUUUGUAAUAAAUGCAUCUCUUAUGGCACAGUUGUUAAAGCUAAAUAUAUUUUAAUCAUCAAUUUUGUAUUUAAUUAGGAUCCUGAACCCAUCUCAUUACAUAAAAAUUAAAUCCUUAUUUCAGACUCUUGGAGCCUGACCAUAUAACUGCACGCUGGGCUUGCAAAAGGGUUGCUGACAAGUCAUUUUGUUAUGUAGCGCUUGGCCCCUAUGUAAGAAAUGUGCUGGAAAGAAAUGUGAAAAUGAUGUGUCUUUAUCUAGAAAUGGAUGCAGCUGCUAGCUUGAGAAGCUGUGUGAAGGCAGGUCUUAUUAUUGGCAUGGCUUCAAUGGCUUCAAUGUGAUUAAGAAGGAAAGGCCUAACAAUUCCUGUUUCAUUUAAGGGACUACUUCUGUCAAUUUCAUGAGGCUCAUGAGAUGUCAUGGAGGGGAUGGUCUGACCCAAAGGAGGAGUGGGAGGAGAUGAGGAAUUGGAGAAUCGUUGGGAAAGUUCCAAUGGGAUGGGGAUGGUGGAAUUGGGGCCCCAAGAAGUGUCAGAUGCUGAGGGAGGUCUUGGUCCCUCCUUAGGGUCUGAAACUCCCGUUUCAAGUAGAUUGUCAAAUGAACGUCCCUAGCCUAACCCCUCCUCCUCUCAGUGAGGAGCCUGCUUCUUCUGGCAAACUGGUGCACUGGUGUGAGCAAACCUCACAGAGGAGUGCCUGUUUGCUUGCUGAGUCCCAGGACUCUGGCCCCUUGCUGAGCCCACACCACUCUUCCUAAGGAAGGUGCAAGGUGGGUGUCACUUGUUGGAUCAACGCCUCAGCUUCUGUUCCACGGCAUAUAACUUAGAUAACUUACAUUCAUUUCAGUGCAAAGGAAAUGUGAAGAUAAUCUAAAUCCCUGUGAUCAACUAUGUAUUAUUUGCAGAAUUAAAAUAACCACCAGCAGCAAUGUAAAUGAAUGUCGUCCUAUUCACUUGACUAAUUUCUAUUCCUGAUGGCAAGCAAACACACGAAUUGCAGCAAUUUCUGCUUCCUCCUUCAUUUUUUGUUGGAAUUCUCUGACAUCCCUAAUCACACUAGAUUUCUGGUAUAAAGAAGCCAGCUUUAUCCCUUGUGUUAGAUUCCUGAAAGAGAAAUAAUGGAAUAUUUCACAUUUUGGCUCUAAUCCUCAACAUAUUUCCUCUGAAGUAAGUCCUAUUGGUUUUGACUGCAUUGGCUUUCAAGGAACCAUUAUUAGGGUUGGAGUCUUAUUUCAAUUUCCAGAAGAUUAUUCAAUUAUAACGUCUAUGUAUAACUUUCCCAGGCUAUUUGUCUGGGAAAGAACAUGUCUCCUGCCCUUUCCCCUCGUCUAGGGACACCUAUGAUUCCAUAUUCUCCUUGCAAGUUAGCCACUACAGUCACUUGGUUCCUUGAUGGGACAAUUGGUUCCUAAUCUCCCUUGGUUCCGCUCCUUCCUCCUGGGCCGUGUUCAGAAAGUGGUGUUGGGGGAUGAGUGUUCAGACCCCUGGGCUCUCACUUGUGGGGUGCCUCAAGGUUCUGUCCCCAUGCUUUUUAACUACAUGCAGCCGCUGGGAGAGACCAUCAGGGGGUUUGGGCUAGGUGUUCAUCAGUAUGCAGAUGAUACCCAGCUCUACCUCUCUUUCAAAUCAGAACCAGUGAAGGCAGUGAAGGUCCUGGGUGAGUGUCUGGAGGUGGUUGGAGGAUGGAUGGCAGCUAACAGAUUGAGGUUGAAUCCUGACAAGACAGAAGUACUUUUUGGGGGGGACAGGAGGCGGACAGGUAUGGAGGACUCCCUGGUCCUGAAUGGUAACUGUGCCCUUGAAGAAGAAGAAGAAGAGUUUGGAUUUGAUAUCCCGCCUUUCACUCCCCUUCAGGAGUCUCAAAGCGGCUAACAUUCUCCUUUCCCUUCCCCCCCCACAACAAACACUCUGUGAGGUGAGUGGGGCUGAGAGACUUCAGAGAAGUGUGACUGGCCCAAGGUCACCCAGCAGCUGCAUGUGGAGGAGUGGAGACGCGAACCCGGUUCCCCAGAUUACGUGACUACUGCUCUUAACCACUACACCACACUGACCAGGUGCGCAGCCUGGGAGUCAUUUUGGACUCACAGCUGUCCACAGAGGCACAGGUCAAUUCUGCAUCCAGGGCAGCUGUUUACCAGCUUCAUCUGGUACACAGGCUGAGACCCUACCUGCCUGCGGACUGUCUCGCCAGAGUAGUGCAUGCUCUAAUUAUCUCUUGCUUGGACUGCUGCAAUGCACUCUACGUGGGGCUACCUUUGAAGGUGACCCGGAAACUACAACUAAUCCAGAAUGUGGCAGCUAGACUGGUGACUGGGAGCGGCCGCAGAGACCACAUAACACUGGUCUUGAAAGACCUACAUUGGCUCCCAGUAUGUUUCUGGGCACAAUUCAAACUGUUGGUGCUGACCUUUAAAGCCCUAAAUGGCCUCGGUCCAGUAUACCUGAAGGAGCUUCUCCACCCCCAUUGUUCUGCCCAGACACUGAGGUCCAGUGCCGAGGGCUUUCUGGUGGUUCCCUCACUGCAAGAAGCGAAGUUACAGGGAACCAGGCAGAGGGCCUUCUCGGUAGUGGCACCUGCCCUGUGGAACACCCUCCCACCAGAUGUCAAAGAGAAAUCAACUACCAGACUUUUAGAAGACAUCUGAAGGCAGCCCUGUAGUUUAAUAUUUUGUUGGAAGCUGCCCAGAGUGGCUGGGGAAACCCAGCCAGAUGAUUGGGGUAUAAAUAAUAAAUAAAUAAAUAAAUAAUUUAUUUAUUUAUUUAAUUUUGCACACACACCACCCAAACCUUAUUGGCCUCUCAACUGGGUUCUAAACGUUAAGGAGGGAAUCUGCUGGCAUGGAGGUGGAUGCAAUUGAUCAAUAUGUAUCUUUUGUUUGAUCUUUCUAUAUACAUUCCAUUUUGUCUUUCAAGGAGGGGUUCUAAUCUGGAAUCAGCAAACAGUUCCUGCAUUUCUUCCCCAUUCCCCUCCUAGCUUUUUUCCAACUUCCUGUACAGGCUUUUCUGUCUGGUGUGAUUAACCAUCUAGUACUGAGAUUAGGGUACAAUAUCUCUGUGACAUUAAUCACUGCAUGGCAUAUGCAAAUAGGCACAGCCAUGUGAAUUAUAUUUACAUUUCUCCUCAGGAAGAAGAACUGAAUCUAUUCAGGCAUCUACUCAGCCUUUAUUGGCCUGAAGCAGAAUCAAACCAGAACUGCAGUCACAGCUGUACCUGAACUGGAACCAAACUAAUAAUCUGUAAUGAUUUGAUUCCCUGCCCAGAGACCCUUGUACCAGAAGAUGCAUCCCUGUAGCAUCUUGCCAACCUGGUGCCCUCCAGGUAUUUUGGUUGUUUAAGAGUUGUAGUGCACGGCAGUUGGAAGGUGCCAGGUUAGCAAAGGCUGGUGUGACCAUUAACCAAGAGAGCUGCCACCUAUGACAAAAAGUUCAAGGCCAUUUCAUAAAAGGCCUACACAACAUUCACCAGACACUUGGAUAUUUCCUGUAGAAGACGUUUACUUUCUAACGGUGCGUUCCUAACCAUUUCCGUUCAGAAGUAAGUCCCACUGAGUUCGCUUGGUAACUGGGGUUGCAGCCUUAGUUGCCAUCCUUCCUGCCAGUGCAGUCAAGGUGGCCCUCCAUUGUUAAUAAUGGCUUCCAGUUGAAGAGUUGUGAUAGAUAUAAAGAAAAAGGAGUGGGCAUAGAAGGGAAGGGAAGAGGAGCGCAGACAAAUCCAAAUACCAACUGAUAUCUUACAUAAUCAAACAUGAAAGCCGAGCAGCUUAUGUUACAUUGGAGCUCGGCUGGCCAGUGGAGAAGAAAACAGAAAACAGAAAUAAAUGCUCAUGAGAUGUGCCUGAGCGUACGUUUCAGCCUUUCCUUCUGAUUAUGCCACAUGAGAAUUAAUUUAAGACGGAAUUAUACUCUUUUGAUCUUUGUGCUAAUUUGUUUGGUGCAUGAUCAACUGCUUCUAUAAGCAGGCGAGUGGGAACACAUGAGAAGGAUCAGAGGAUAGGAGGGUAACAGCAGCAGACUGUAAGGUCAGCUUUGGAACAUUUGCUGCUUCUGUUUGAACGGGCUCCUGCUGUGGCGUAUCCAGCCAACAGCUAGAGAGUCCCCUUCUAACAUUACGUGGAGGGAAAUAGGAACUAUCAUUUUUUAUCAAGUGCAUGAGACACCCAUAGCAUACUGCUAACCAGAAACCUAGCUAAACAUUUGGAAAACGUUAUUGUCCAAAUAACAAAGGUUACUGAAUUUUGGGGAAAGCAUAUUUGGAGAUAUUGAACAAAAUAUUGAAGGAGAUUCCAAAACUAUUUUGGCGCAAUUUCUCAAACAAGGAUCCAUAUGUCAAAAUAAGCACGUUUUCCUGCAGCAUGAGCUGCCUUCAGAUGAUCAGUCUGAAUGCACAAAGGGGCACACAGGAAUUUGUAGGGCAAGCCCCCUUUCCCUUAAUAAUACUGCAUAUACUGGACAUGGUCCCUGCCUGAUGUGUGCUUGGAGCGGCUGCCUUACUCAGGUUGGGUCUCCAAGACAGGAUGGGAACCCUGAUUGACUAGCGCUUCCAUCUGUGUUGGAAAUCCUAUGUGCAAAUGAGCCACUCGCCUUCUGACUCAUGCUGACCACUCAUUGGCCAGAGAGUGCACCUGUCAUUUAGGGACACUGAGGUACAGUGUUUUCGAGUUGGGUGGGGUUCCUUCUGCCCAUUUAUACUUGCCCCUUUGCACAUUCAAACUGAGCAUCUGAAGAGGACUAGAGCUAAAGGUUUAUUGUUUCAGACAACAUAUACCAGGCAUAGGCAAACUCGGCCCUCCAAAUGUUUUGAGACUACGACUCCCAUCAUUCCUAGCUAACAGGACCACUGGUCAAGGAUGAUGGGAAUUGUAGUCUCAAAACAUCUGGAGGGCCGAGUUUGCCUAUGCCUGACAUAUACCGUACUGGCCUGAAUAUAAGCCUCACUUUCCCCCCAAAUUCUGACUGUGAAAAGUUAAAGUGCGGCUUAUUUGCGACCUUAUGGUAUGCAGCCAGGAGCGCAGGGCAAACAGCACCAGGAGCGUGGUUAAGCGCUCCGGUUAAGCGCUCUGUGUGUAGUCCCUUGUCCUCUCCCCCAAGGCUGGGAAGGGAGAGAGCGAGGAAGGGGAAAGGCUGCCGGCAACACAGCGCGGCUCUCGCCCCCCGCCCAGGAUGCAGCCAGGAGCAACAAGAAAUGGAGUGGCUUAUAUUCGGGUAUUUCUCUCUCUCCCCCCCCCCUUCAAUUUUAAAGGUGCGGCUUAUAUUCAGGCCAAUACGGUACUACCCAAACAUUAACACAUACCCCCUGACGUUUCUCAGAUGAAAAUACAGUGGUACCUCGGGUUAAGUACUUUAUUCAUUCCAGAGGUCCGUUCUUAACCUGAAACUGUUCUUAACCUGAAGCACCACUUUAGCUAAUGGGGCCUCCCGCUGCCGCCGCACAAUUUCUGUUCUCAUCCUGAAGCAAAGUUCUUAACCUGAAGCACUAUUUCUGGGUUAGCGGAGGCGUAUGUAAUCUGAAGCGUAUGUAACCUGAGGUACCACUGUAGGGACCUUUCUCACCCUCACAACUGACCCUCCUCAACCCCACCCCCAUUUUUUGCUCCCCACCCCCAUAGAACAUUUCUUAGCAGAAGAAAGGCAAGUGUCGCAAUGGGACACAGCACACACACCCUCCACAAUCCUGAGAAAACCCCUUAAUCCUCAUUAUUUUAUUCUUUGGUAGAUUUAUAAAAAGAAAAACAUAUACCGAUAAAUUUUAGAAAGGGGCAAGAUUAGAUGUGUACGCAAAGCUUAAAAACAACAACAACCAAGACUCCUUGUGCUCCUUAGGCUCCCCAUUUCUUUCCGCCCUGGACUGCCUUGCCCUCUACCUGCCCUGGAGAGCCAGUGCUGGGCCUCAGUGGCAGCAACCUCUUCUCCUCUUCUCCCGUUCUCCAGCAGCCGCUACAGUGGAGAGACCAUGGAGAUAAAACGGGAUGCUCCCGCACAGCUACCGCCACUCAGGACAAGUGCUGGUUCACCCUCUUCCCUGAGCUCAGUGGUGGCAGUGCUGGCAGGGGAAACAGCGACAUGCCAGGAUCAAAUCAGAACCUGGGCUGGCUUUCAUAAUUCCAGGACUGUCCCUGGAAAAUUGGGACACUUGGCACGUAUGUUAACGUUUUUUUAGAAGUUCAAAAGGAUGAACUCUCAUCGAAGUCCUUAGUGUUUCAAUCAGUUUGUGUCUCAUUCAGAUGAAGUUGUAGCAGUUAAAUAGGAAGGCUUGCUGAUGUACGCAUGAGAUACACUUUCAAUUUAUGCUGAUUACUGGAACGUAUAGACCUAAACUGCAUGUUGCACACAGAUGUGCUUAAUAAAACCCUGCCAGCUGCUUCUUUUAGUCAAGGCAACCGAGAAAGGAGUUUUGUAGUAGUGAAGUGCUGAUGAUUUCAUGGAGGGUAAGGCUGUCGAUAGGGACACGGGUGGCGCUGUGGGUUAAACCACAGAGCCUAGGGCUUGCCGAUCAGAAGGUCGGCGGUUCGAAUUCCCAUGAUGGGGUGAGCUCCCAUUGUUCGGUCCCUGCUCCUGCCAACCUAGCAGUUUGAAAGCACGUCAAAGUGCAAGUAGAUAAAUAGGUACCGCUCCGGCGGGAAGGUAAACGCCGUUUCCGUGUGCUGCUCUGGUUUGCCAGAAGCGGCUUAGUCAUGGUGGCCACAUGACCCGGAAGCUGUACGCUAGCUCCCUCAGCCAAUAAAGCGAGAUGAGUGCCACAACCCCAGAGUCGGUCACGACUGGACCUAAUGGUCAGGGUUCCCUUUACCUUUAAGGCUGUCGAUGGUUUCCAGCCUAAGGUUACCAGACGUCCCCGUUUCCUGGUGACAGUCCCUGUAUUUACAAAUCAGUCCCCGUGAUAAAAUCCAUCUAUUUAGUAGGAAGUUGAAAAGUGUCCCCGGAUUCAUUGAAAAAAAUCUGGUAACCUUAUUCUAGCCAAUAUGGCCCAGCUCUGCCUCCUCAAUCAGAGGCAGCAGUGCUUUUGGAUACCAGUUACUCAAAACAGCAGGAGGUGAGAGGGCUCUUGCAUGUGGCUCCUGCUAGCAGAUUUCCCACAGGCAUCCAAUUGGCCAGUGUGAGAACAGCAUGCUGGACUACAUGGCCCAUUGGCCUGAUCCAGCAGGCUCUUAUGUUCUUACAAGGAUGGGCCUUCCUCUUCCCCCUGCCUUUCUGUUGCAAUGUCCUUUUACAGAGCUUCUCCCUGCACCCACUCCAUGCCGGGUGUUUCAGAUCUGUGCUCAUUGGAUGGAUUUUGUUCGUUUAGUUAGCAUUACGUUUAUAUUAGAAGCAAUUCAUUGCAAGCAGUGAACACCUUUCCCUCCUCAAGGAACUCCAGGUGGUAUACAGAUUGCUCUUCCUCCCCAUUUUAUCAUCACAACAACCCUGUGUAGUAGGUUAGGCUGAAACAGAGAGUGUCUGGGCUGUGGUCACCUACCGUGCUUUAUGGUUGAGUUGGGAUUAUGUUGAAUUAUACUCUGCAGAAGAGAGGGCCGGGGUCAAAUUGCAGUAGGGAUGUGACAAUUGGGAAAAGGUCAGUGCCCUGAUGAGGUUGGAAAUCGCCCCAACCCUGGUCAUCAGAUAGUUUGACCAGUAGGAAGGAGGUGAUAAGCCAGGCUUCCUCAACCUCGGCCCUCCAGAUGUUUUUGGCCUACAACUCCCAUGAUCCCUAGCUAGCAGGACCAGUGGUCAGGGAUGAUGGGAAUUCUAGCCUCAAAAUAUCUGGAGGGCCAAGGUUGAGGAAGCCUGUAUAAGCCCCCUCCUCCACUGGUCUACAUACUUUCAUACACACAUAUAUAUACCUCUAUAUAUAUACCUCUCCUCUCUCUCUCUCUCAAUCCAUUUCGGUUAAAAAGAACCCAGAUUAAGGAAGGAAGGAUGAUGUGAACUGAUUGUAAACACUGCAAAAUAAUGUGAUAAAUACUUGUGAGCACUAAAGGGUAGAUGGAAGGUUACUGCCUGAGAUUUAGCCUGCUGCUUUCUGAAUCUCCUGUUGCCUUAAGGUGUGGUUCCCUUAUCUCUGAACUCCACCAUGCCUUUAACAUCCAAUGGAUACAGAUUUUCAAGUCAGUAUUUUUCUCUUGUAUUAUUAACUCUUCAGUAGGAAGUGAGUUUGUCAUGUGUGACAGUUAUGGGGUGAUGAGAAGCAGAUUUUGGAGGUACCUAUUCCUUAGUAAUGUACUGGUCACCUUGGAACAGAUGGUUUCUCUCCUGCGGUUCUCCUCAGACGUGUAUUUGGCUGAUCUUUAUGAGUACCCAAAGGAUCAUCCCAACCUUUAAAUGUUUUUAUAUCCUCUCCCACCCUAACCCCCCUCCAUCAUAAUCCUAAAUGUAGCGCAACCUCCUGGCUUAUAAAACAAAAAGACCUCAUCAAGACAGGGGUGAGCAGAAGGUAGAUCAGAAUCUACUGGAAUGUCUCUGACUGAUUUGCAGCAGAUCACCUGAGAUUUCUGACUGACCAGUUGUUUAGCAAUUGCAAACACCUACUUCCCCCCUCUCCCACCACACCCCCCAACAUUAGGAUGCUGAAAUAAAGAAAGCCUUGGGAAUAACCAGGAAAAUGGCUAAGAAUGUUCACAGAUAAUUAUGCAAAGUGACCUUUUUUCUAGAGGGGUUAGGAAAAGAAAAAUAUCAACAAUUUUCUCUGAAACGUUCUGAGAAAUUUGGUCUCAGCUCUAAAUGGAAAUGUUUUCAGGCCUUUACAGUUCCCUAGUACCCCAAUACCCCUAAGAGAUUAGACCGUGUUAUUAUCAAAAUAUAGAACUGCACUCAUCUUAAUUAUAGCGUACAGAAGGAACCAUGGUGCAUAAUGCCAAGAGGGCAUAUUGUUUUUACAAUCAAGGUUGUUACAAAAGCAGCUAAAUUGGUCUCUCUCCCCCACCCUGCCUUCAAGCAGCGAUACAAGGUGUUUUUAGCCAGGGAAUCACACGAACCUGCAACUUUAUAUUUUCUUAAGCUUGAACGAAACAUGACCUAUUCCCCCCCCCGCCCCGUAUUUCUGUUAAUCCCAAACCAGAACAGAUCAAUAUAUAUGUAAAAAGAAACAAACAGCUUGGUUAAUCACUUAUCAGCCAGUUUAGGUUGCACAGUUCUAGUUGACUGGGAGGUCUUGUGCAACAAACCUGUUUUCCCCAUUGAAUAUCAGACCUUUCUGUGAUAUGGAAAGCGAUGGAAAAAAUGCCCUGGAAAGUGUGGGAUGGAACAUUGUCUAAUGUCAGGGCACGAGCCAAUAAUAAAUCACAUGGAGUAAGUGAAGUUAACUCUUUAUUUGAAGAAAUAAGGAAGACCUGCUCAGGGGUGCCAGGCCUAAUUAGUAUGGCAACUCUUCUCGUGGGUCUUGUCCCUAUGAGGCAGUUGCGGAGGCUGAAAGUCCCCGCCUUCCCACAGCAGCCUAAAUCUCCUACUCCCACAGGUCCUUCCCAAGCAAUCUGAUACUCCACCAACAUGCCUGUCUCUGCACCUCCCUCUUCAUACCUCUACAGGUCCUGGUAGCCUAGGGUGGAGGAAGGCUUGUUGCAGCAGAAAGAAGAGACUCUCUGGCUUCUUCAUCAGCCUGAUUCCUGCUUCGGAUUCUGAUUUAGGACUUCCCUCUGUCACAUAUUCUCGCAGCUCACUAAACCUUGUUACCUCUUCAGCUUCCAACACCUCCUCCUCCCAAGCUUCCCCCUCUUCUUCCUCUGACCACUUCCUCUGACCGUCCCACCACCAAUUCCCAGGCUCUGAACCAUCUUCCCUUGGGGGUUCCCUAGCUAGUGCCUCCCACUCUUCCUGUGUCCAGCCAGUCCAUGACAUCUAAUCUCUCCGUAAACACACCAGGAUGAAUGUUUAGUAGACAGGUAUUGUACAUGAGCUGGAGGUGGGGGUUGCACCAGGUAGUCGUGCAUGCCCAUUACAGAUUCUCCAACUGUCCCUAUUUUCCAGGGACAUCCCUAGUUUAGAGAAGCGGUCCCAGUUUCUGAUUGGAUCUUGGAAUGUCCCACUUUUCCUUAGGAUACCCCUAUUUUCAUUGGAGAAAUGUUGGAGGGUGUGGAAUUAUCUGGCUCCCGAGCCAUCUGAAGGCAAUCCUCUAUAGGGAAUUUUUAAAAAAAUGUUUAAUGUGAGAGCCAGUGUGGUAGGGUGGUGAAGAGCGGUGGACUCGUAAUCUGGUGAACUGGGUUCGAUUCCCCGCUCUUCCACAUGCAGCUGCUGGGUGACCUUGGGCUACUCACACUUCUCUGAAGUCUCUCAGCCCCACUCACCUCACAGAGUGUUUGUUGUGGGGGAGGAAGGGAAAGGAGAUUGUGAGCCGCUUUGAGACUCCUUAGGGUAGUGAUAAAGCGGGAUAUCAAAUCCAAACUCUUCUUCUUAUUAUUAUGUUUUUAUAUAUGUUGAAAGUUGCCUGGAGUGGCUUGGGAAACCCAGGAAGAUGUGUGGGGUAUAAAUGGUAAAAUUAUCAUGAUGGAAUGGGACGUCCCUAUGUUCAUCGGAGAUAUGUUGGAGGGUAUGCCAUCAGCUCCUCACCCUGGGAUCUGUGUGUAUAGCUGUUUGUGUGAAAGUUGCCCUCUCUGCAGGCCCUGUGCUGGAUACAGAGGUGCCUGGUGGAAUGGCUGCUCAACAUGACAGCAGAGCCCUGGGACUUCUUGGCACAGCCCUGCUCUCCUGUUGCUUUUACUCAUAAUGCCCAAGUACAUAAGAACAAGAAAGACCCUGCUGGAGCAGGCCUAAGACCCAUAUCAUUCAGCAUCCUGUUUUCACAUGUAUUGAGGUAGAACAUAUACAGGGAGAAUUUGUUACCCAUUCGGUUUGCCUAGGCUUCUUUACUGCGCCCUCUUCAAGCAUGGAAGAAACUUCCAAGCAGUUCAAAAGCUUCUCUUCUGACAAGUUUAAAAUAAAUCCCACCAUUGUGUCUGUGCAGCUAAAACUCCAUUUUCCAGCUGCAUCCCCUUUUUUACACCCAGAAUGUUGUCAAGUCUCUGGUACGACUGCGAACAAAUCAGGCUACUAAAAACCUCUUGUUGUGACAUCAUAUACAUAAAAAGGGUAUUCCCAUGAGUGCAAUGCUGUUUGUGAAUGAGGCCUGAGAAUUCAACUCUUCCCAUAGCUUUAACUCAAUUUUUAAUGGCGACUCGUAGCUAUCUAGAGAUAACGGCUUGGCUUUCAUAGAGAAGUUUUCACAGAUACAUUAAUCAGGCUUUGGAUUUUCCAGAAUCUACUAAAAUCUUUAUUGCUACUUAGUCACACAUUCACCCAGCCAACACUCGCCGCCAGUUGAAGCCAAACUUCACUCAUCAUUGUCUGUGAUUUAGCUAACAUCUUCUACAGCUAUGUACUAAAUGUAAGUUCAGCAGCACUUAGAUUUUGCGAUGCAUUACAUCUAAUUUCUCAAGUAAUUAAUUUGUUAGGUAGCUUAAUGAAACCCAGACGCUAUAACUGCGACAUGAUUUCAGACAUCAUUUAAAAAGGUGAAAGACUCAUGGGUAUCAUACCGGCCCAUGGCAGACAUACCACUGGCUCCCUGGGAAACAAUGGUUUGCAAACUGGGAGCCAGCCUUUUCUUAAUCUCUGGGGUGUUCUCCCUCCUUUCUGAGCAUUAAACGUGGUUUCACAUUACACUUGCACGCAAACAAGCCAUGGUUAGCACAAACCAAGUGCGCUGUGACCAUGGUUUGCAAACACUUUGAAGACUGUGAUUACCAUCUGUGGUUUUUGAGGGGAUUAUUGUUUGUCGGUUAUGAUUUGAAUCAGUACACAUAAGAUGCAAACCAUGGUUAAUCUGAGAAAAGGAAAGAAGGGGAAUUACUUCCUGUGUCUGAGUGGGCUAAGAAGAGAGUACCCAACCUCUUUGGGAGAAAAGAUAUCUCAUGUGGCAGUUGCUGCCAGAGCAAGUGAAGUAUUUUUGCCUAUUCUUAUUGAAACAAAGUCUGCUAUUGAGGAAGUUAGGUGCUGGGUUGCUGCACAGCAAUAGAAGCAGAUUUCUCCUUAAAACUAUGGGUCAGUGAAAGGGGUAAAGCAAGUGUUUGAAGGGUUUUCCUUGUGUCACUUUAUGUAUGUGUUGAUUGGCCUCUGGGGAAGUGAAAUGUGUUGAUUGGCCACUGGGGAAAGGAAAUCCAAUCUCUUAAUCUGUAAUUCUGACAACAAAAGUGGAACAGGAAUACAUACACUGGAUAAUAUAUUAAUUGGCCCCCCUUUCUUAGACCUACAUGCCUAGGGCUGGCAGCUACAAGUCUACUGUACUAUAAAAUGGCACUGGGUUGGCUCUCCUGUUAUACAUUUUUAUGAAGUGGGGCUCCACUGUUCUCCAGAUGUAUGGCCAAACUAGUUAUGUAUCACAGUCAUGAGUUUGUUACACACAGGCUGUAUACACACUGUACAUUUAAAGCACAUUUGAAUUCCCCCCCCAAAAAAGAAUUAUGGAUAUUAUAGUUUCUUAAGGGUUGUGUAAUGAGUAUGGGUUGCUCGUGCGUAAGUUGCCACCUCUCCUGGCUAUGUUGCCUUGUUUAAACCUUUCUGUCUGGACAGCCCUUCACUUUGUGGCUGCCUCAGUCGCUAGCAGAAUCCGUCAGUGGGCGUUUCUUAAACCUUUUCCAACAUAAAAGUUGUUUGACGCCAAGUCUCCUCCUACUCUCCCUGCGCGGAAGCCUUCUGCACAGGGAGGGCGUGGGUAGCGGAGGACCCGUGCUCUCCCCGCUGGUGUCCGGUGAAGAGUCCUGGAGCCCUCUCGCCGAUUCCCCCAUCUGCCCCCCUUUAUCCCUGGUGUUGCACUUUUUUGCUUCCCCAUCUGCUGAGCUGCCUCUCUCCCUGCUGGGCCCUUCUCCAGCAUCAUUUGAGAGCCUCCCCUCCGCCUCUAGCUCCGAUGUCAGUUCCCUGACAGGUUGCUAGGAACUGUAAUUUUGUGAGGGGAAAACUACAGUAUCCAGAAUUCUUUGAGGAGAAGAAUGUGCUUUAAUGAAAAGUUGUACACACAGCCUCAUAGUUGCUCCAAUCACAUAUAACGUAGAGGAACGGAGGUCUACCUUUUACACAAAAUAUGAGCUCAGAGGAGAGGGGCUUGAAAUUGUCCCCCUUUCCCUGUGUUACCUUGUGCUUUAGUAGCUCUGAAGCACUUAGCCCUCAAAAGUGAACCAAGCAUGGGGGGGAAAUCACUUAUUUUAAAAAAUCAUUUAUUAUUAUAUUUAUGUCUCAUUUCCACUGUCACUGGAGCUCUAGAUGGUGUACAUCAUUGUUCCUAUCCCUAUCUAAUCCUCACAAUAACCCUGUGAGAUAGGUUAGGCUGAGAGACCAUGACUGGCCCAAGGUGAGCUUCCUGAGCAGGAAUUUGAACCCUGGUCUCCCAGGUCCUAGACCUUCAAUCUAACCACUUCACUGCAAUGCAGUGUUGUGUAGUGCUAGGUAGGGUGGGGUGGGUUGUGAACAAUUUUCCUUCUCCUCUGUAACAAAACUCUAUUUAGUAUAGCCCAGAGUUAUGUUUCUGGGUCCACCAGCUUUACAGUGGUACCUCGGGUUACAUAUGCUUCAGGUUACAUACACUUCAGGUUACAGACUCCGCUAACCCAGAAAUAGUACCUCAGGUUAAGAACUUUGCUUCAGGAUGAGAACAGAAAUCGUGUGGCGGUGUCGUGGCAGCAGCGGAAGGCCCCAGUAGCUAAAGUGGUGCUUCAGGUUAAGAACAGUUUCAGGUUAAGAACGGACCUCCGGAACGAAUUAAGUACUUAAGCCAAGGUACCACUGUAUAGGUGUUUGUGAACAAGACAAACUGCAUGUUCAACAUACCUCUGUGAUUGCCCUGUAAGGUAAAGGGUAAAGGGGACCCCUGACCAUUAGGUCCAGUCGUGACCGACUCUGGAGUUCAUCUCGCUUUAUUGGCUGAGGGAGCCGGCAUACAGCUUCCAGGUCAUGUGGCCAGCAUGACUAAGCCACUCCUGGCGAACCAGAGCAGCGCAAAGAAAUGCCGUUUACCUUCCCGCCGGAGCGGUACCUAUUUAUCUACUUGCACUUUGACGUGCUUUCGAACUGCUAGGUUGGCAGGAGCAGGGACCGAGCAACGGGAGCUCACCCUGUCGCGGGGAUUUGAACCGCCGACCUUCUGAUCGGCAAGUCCUAGGCUCUGCGGUUUAACCCACAGCGCCACCUGUGUCCCUGUAGUUUGAUCCAAAGAAAGCCUGUGGUGGGGAAAACAGAACUCUUGCCAGACCAGCAGUUUGAAACUCACUUGGUAACUUAAUAGGAGGAGGUGUUUUGAUCAUUAGCUGCUACUGCUGUGCAACGUAGCCAGAUAGGGCUUCCAUUAAUUACAUGUGAAGUCAUCUCUGGCAAACUUCCAGCAGGGGAUGGGGGCUUGCUCAAAACUAGUAAUGAAAGAGCCAGAUUCUUAUGGGAUAGCAAAAAUAGGCUGAUGGUUUUGCAGCAUCACUAGCAUAAAAGAAACUGAUCCUUUUGAGACAUGCAAGAAACAUGGAUUUUGUUAACAGAUAAAGGGAUUUGUCAAACAGACAGAAGUGUACCUACCUAUUGGCUCCUUUCGUUUCUGUUCAAUUGUUAGGUGGAUUUUCACUAUCCAUCAAGUGCUUUUCUUCUUACUAACCUUGAUUAUUUUUAGUCCAACUACAUCACAUGCAGUUUAUUUCUGAUUUAAAGCCUGUCCAUUCCAACUCUGGGUCAAUGGUUUCUCGACUGUCUUUGGUUAACAAUGGAAUUCCAGCUAGCCAGCCAAAAUGAAAGCAAUGACUUCAGGGACUGGCUCCACUUUCAAAGUGAAGCGCUGAGAUAGGAAUGCAUGUCAGAGAUAAGGAACUAAAUGGAAACAAUUAACAUUGGCGUGAAAACGGAUGUAUGGAAGCAAUUACCAAAUGAAUUGCAAAGAGAUCUGUAGGACUCCAGACAGACAGGACUGCGUGUGCUCCUUGUGUCUGUAAAAUUUGCCUUGCAAGCAAGGAAUCCAGCAUCUGAGGUCCUGAGAAUCUGUUUUUAUAUUGUCAGAGACAUGUGCUUUGCAAAAAUGUGUAUAUCAGGGGAAAUUCCAUGCAAAAAAGGGUAUACCAGGAAGAAUUUUGCACUGUAAUGCUGAAGAAUUUUCAUAUGAGAAGCUGAUGUGGAAAUGUGAAGAGCUGAACUGAAGGUUGGAAAAAUGAAAAACCAAGAGAAGCUAACACUGUCCUAUUUGCACACCCUUACCUGCAGGUUUAAAAAAAGGCUAGUUCCACAGGAUACAUUUGUUAGCUCCAUUUAGCUUGGAUAGUCUGUAGAACAAACAUUGCUAGCAGUUGGAACAGAGGACAUUAAGAGUGCAUUUACUUACUUUUUCUUUAUAAGAAAAGUGAAAAAUCAAUAUGCCAUUCCUGGCAUUUUAAACUCUUUCUAAGUGACCUUUUAGUGACCUCACCUGCUUUUCCUUUCUUCCCAGAAGGCACCACUUCUCAAAAACAUCUGCUUAGACCCCAAGGCUAUUUUCUUCUACUCUCCAACUAGAAAGAAGGGCGGAAAAAGCAAACAGAGGAAGCAAUUUUAAUAUAGAUGCAAUAUGUUACUAAGGACUGCAUCAGAAUUUUCUCCUUCUGGAGGAGUGAGUCAGGAACAGCCUUGGAAAAGCCUGCCAAUAGGCACACUUAAACAAGUAAUGUUUUAGGUCUUAAUACAUUAGAAUAAACAAGGGAAGAUGUUCAAUAACACGAAGGGAACGCUUGUGCGGCUCUGAAUAAGGCUGCCACCAACAUUGACAAGGAUUUUAUUUGUAUUUGUCCAUUUAUUAAAAAGAAAAUUAGUAGAUGGCCUAUCUAUAAAAAUAUCCAAGUGGUGAACAAAAUGUAGAAAUACAAAACAGUUACAUUAAAACCAUCAUAGGUAAAGGUAAAGGUAAAGGGCCCCUGACCAUUAGGUCCAGUCAUGCCCGACUCAGGGGUUGCGGCGCUCAUCUCGCUUUAUUGGCCAAGGGAGCCGGCGUGCAGCUUUUGGGUCAUGUGGCUAGUAUGACUAAGCUGCUUCUGGUGAGCCAGAGCAGCACACGGAAACGCCGUUUACCUUCCCGCCGGAGCGGUACCUAUUUAUCUACUUGCACUUUGACAUGCUUUCGAACUCCUAGGUUGGCAGGAGCAGGGCGCUCACCCCAUUGCGGGAAUUCAAACCGCCAACAUUCUGAUCGGCAAGUCCUAGGCUCUGUGGUUUAACCCACAGCACCACCCGCGUCCAUCAUAAAACAGCACUAAACUACAAGUAAGAUUGCAUCCUAUAACAGGGAGUGGUGGAGCUACCCUCCUAAAACUGGCGCUGCUGCUUUGCACCUGGGACAGUGUAGCAGAGGGGCAGAAUGGCAGCAAGGUCAGGGCUGUGUGGGUGUGCUGGCAGAACCAAUCCAACCCUCCCACCAGUGCUCUAAUGGAGCCCCAACCUUACUGUCAAUCUGCCCUGUCCAGUUAUAUAGCAGUGAUGCUGGGGUUGGGAGGAUAGCUGCACAGUACUGCCACACUGCAUCAGUCACUCCUGUGUUUAACAGUGUGAGCCACAGGCAAAACUAAUAACAGUUCAGUUGACAAAAGUCUAAUGAAAUAGAAAAGUCUUCAGUAGGUUUCUAAAAGAGAAAAUAGAAGGCAGUUGUCUUGUCCCUGCAUCCAAGUUCCACUAAGCUGCUGCAAUCACAUUGAAGACCUUAUCAUAGGGAGUGGCAAAUAUGGCAGUUAAAAUUUCUUUCAGUUUUUCAUUUGUCCAGUCCUUAAGUCUCCACAUUUCUUCAUAGGUUUGUCAUUGUCAUCAUCAUCAUCAUUUUAUAAAACAUGCUCAUAAAAAUCAUCAGCAUUUUAGUGCAAUUUUUUCCUGAUAGUUUUUGUGUGUGUAAAAUUGUGCCUGAAAGACACAUUUUUGCAAGCAAUAUCCUCAUAAUGCAUUUAAUACUGUAUUUUCAUUAAUACAUUUAUUUUAUGCACGUUCUUGCUUAAUAAAUACAUUUUUGUUCACAUUUAUUUAGUUGGAGACCUGCAUUACAAAAUUUGGAGAACUGCAAAAUUUGAAAAGUAGAUGGGUUGUAAUUCACAUAUUUUGUUGGAAAAUGCGAAUUACGUAGAGGGAAAAGGAAAUGCAAGGGCCCCUAUUUUUCACCUGAAAUUGAAAUUUCAUGCUUCCCCCACUCUCCCUGAGAAAAGUGCAAGCUGUAAGUGGAUUUGGAAUAUGUUUAGGCACAUAGGUCCAGUUGUGGGCGAGGUAGACUUGGUCCAGUCAAAUCCCUCUGCAGCCACUUAACUAACUAGGUGACCCUGAGCCAGUUAAUGUCAACCUAUCCUAGUUUAGUUUUUGUAUUAUGGUCAAAGGAAAAAUAUGUUUAAAGGAAAAUGCCAUCCAUCUAUUCUCACAUUUGGAUGUUGCCCUUCUUCCUCAGAGCUGUUGGUGGCAAGGGAAAAAAAAUAGGUAUAAAGGAGAAUUCCCUGGAUGCCAAGAUCCAGGUUUGGAGCAAAUACUCUUUGGUGAGAGAACCCCAGCAGAGAUUUAAAAUCAUAAAAUAUGCAGCAAAGUAGAGCGUGGAAAUACAUACUGUUAGAUCUUUAAAUUAUGCUUCCCUUAGCAUAGAAAAAGAACACCUGUUUGGUAAGUUAAAAAUGGUUUUCUUCAUGUGCUUCUCCAUACAGCAUUCAGAAAAGACAAGCAGUAAGACUUAGAUUCCAAGUAGUGAGAGUUUCUAAAUUAUUUGCAUAGAAACACAAAAAUGGCUUGCUUAAGCCAUGUGGUCUAAGCUUGGAACAUCCAGCUUUGACCUCCUUCCUGGAAGGGUUCUCAUGGUGCAAAAAGGCUUCAUAACCCUUCCUCCUAAGGUGAAGGGGAGUGACUUAGCUAAGCCUGGCUGAACAGCUAACUCUAUGGUCUUAACCCCUUCAUACAUUAAUUAGAGAUAAGCAUGUUGGCUAUAUGAGGCUGAUUAUCCCAUACCCACCUCAGAGUUUUUACACUGAUAAAAUGAGGUAAUAAUUUUGGUGUUCUUUUAGCUAAUUGGAAGAAGGAAAAUAUAGACGUGUGUACCCACACACCCACACACACCCACCCACACCCACACACAUCUCUGUGUCAGACAGAGAGAGCAUACCAGAAUGAACUAUUGAAGCCUGAAUCCUGCGAUAGUCCUACUUUAGAAUAUGUGGUUUGAGGGCAGAAACCUAAACGUUUUAGCAGGAUUCAAAUAGGAUGAGAUAUUUCUGUGGAUAAUUAAGACAUUUAUGAUUAUAGCAGUGUGGUUAAAACCACACAUUUUUCAUCGCCUAAACCUUCCUGUAAGGGAUUCUAGAAAUUUCCCUUUCUGUAGGUGAGUCCACAAAUGUCUUCUAGGGGGAAACUGAAUUUCCCUGAAGUUUUUGAUAUUGGCUGUUCUCCAAGACAUUGACUAAUGACUUGAGCUGGGCUGGCUGCUAUUGAUGUCUCAGUAGGCAGCUACAAUAUGAGAUAGCCAUCCUUUGAUGUUGUUUUGCUGCCAUACCUAUAAGUCAUUUCUAACGGAAAUGUUUACAAGGUCCAAAUUAAGUAAUAUUUGCUUUCCCCAGUAGGGAGGUAAUUGACUUACUGAUUUCUUAGUGAAAUAAGCAUGCAUUUUUUGUGUGGUUUCCAUAUCAUGUUGUAGGAAGUGUGGAUCCAAUAGUCCAUGAAAAACAGUCACCUUCUUGGUGUCCUUUCUCUCUUUUACAUCAGACUCAAACAGCUGCUACAUUUCCAGAUGUUCUUAUCACUACAGAAUAGGGAUCUUUAAUUAUUCUGAUGGUACAAAAUACACUUACUCUGAUUGUAUGAGCAUUUCAUUAUUGCCAAGCAAGUAAAAAAGGGACAAGCGAUGCCUCAGAAUAAGGAGUCUUUCAUUAGAGAGUAAAAUAGAAGAAUGAAAUAUAUGCUGGAGUGCAAGCAAAACAUUUAAGCGCAUGGGGAAAAUGUUUGUCUUUUGGGAUUGCUUUUCUAAAGUGAACCUGGCAUCUUGAAGCAGAUUCUAAACUGAGACUUUUGAGAAACUGGGCAAGAUGGUUUCAAGUGAGUUCUUUUCUUUUUCAAACUUCAGUGUGAUUGGAGCUAUCCUAUUUAUUGUGUGCUGCUAGCUAUCCUUCUCACUUUAUAAGUCUUAGCAAUUGUCACUAUAUCCAUGAUAAGCUAAGGGCCUGUCAGCAUGAUGGGCGAUGAGUGUCAUCAAACUUUCCUGUUGAAGGUCCAGACUCCCUCCUCCUUUUUGGAGCAGAGCUACACAUUACCAGCAACUUUCUUUUAUAGCAGAAAACCACCACAGCUGACUUCUGAUUGAGUGGUGUAUAUAAGGAUAUAAGACACUGAAUCUUCUCCCUCAUAGUUUGCGGAGAUCAAGAGGGGGACAUGUUGAGAAGCGCACUGAUCCUUGGCUUAGCCUGAAGGCAUCUGAAGCUGCUUUAUUCUAAGAAGGAAAGUCCACAGGAAAAUAACCAUGGAACUACAGGUAAUACGUAGUUCUGGGUUUGCUUUUCCCACCUCUGCUUCAUCUGCUUAUCCAGUCUUUCUAGAUCUAGAUGACUUGCUCUGAUGUUCCAGCUGUCUGGACAUGACCUGAUCUGGAUAUGAGGAGGCCUCAGCAAAGUGCCCACUGGUGUGUCCCGUCCUAUGUCCAGGAACCCCAUUUCCACAUUUCUAGGUGGGUGGAGCUUUCCACUGUCAACCACUUGAUAUCAUUAUGGCAUCAGAUGAUGACACUGAAGGUGCUCACUGUCUGUGCCAGUCAAUUGAUUGACGUAAACACUGAGCCCAGCAAUGUCCGUUUGCAGGAGUGGCUUGUAUCUAAACUGUCCCUACAAAUGGGCAUUUGUCCUCUGCAGCCCCUUCUCCCUGACACUAGUUUUCUUUGUGAAGAACAUUUCUGUUGUGUGAGCUGCCACCUUCAAGCUGAAAUGGUAGAGCCUAGGCACAGAAUUUUCACCUCAGUAAAAUGCUGUACUCAGGGAACAGGAGAUGAAAAGUGAGCUGGUGAGAAAGGGAUGGACUAGCUUAGGGGAGUAGAGCCAGGGGCCAAGCCUCCUCUGAUCAGCACACAGCUUUUUGCAAUCAUCUUUAUUACAGACCAGAGGUCAGAUAUGAAUACUGUUCCUUUCUUAUAAUACUAAACAGUUUGCCUGGGUUUCCCCUCACAAUUUUCAUCAUAAUAGGCAGAAUUUCUAAGCAAAGAGAGACCACAAUUUUCUAUAAUUUUGUUCCCGGCCUAUCAUUAUGAGGCUAGUUGGUAUUCACAGAUAUUAUUAUGAAUUUAGUAACAAUUUAAUGCAAAUUUAAUAGCAUCUUCUCACAAUGGGCCCUUUGCCAUCAUACACUUAAAGGCAAUCAAAGUCAGAGCAGCAGCUAGACUGAUAACUUGAGGUUCAUUGAUUGUGUAUGUGUGUGUGUGCACAACUAGCAGCAUACUUUCUGAGUAUCCACUGAGAUUCAAGCCAGAAACCCAGCAUAGCUCAGAGGAGUUACGGUUAUACCUCUUCUCUAAACAGCCAUUUUGUUAUGUGCACAGUAGCGUCAGUAUGUAUAGCAACAAAUCCUAAGUUCACUGGUAUUUCUCAGCACUUUUUUCUAAAUAAGCUACAAGAGCUAUUACUAUUUUUUAAAGUAUAAAAUGAAUGUGAUUUUGUUUGCCAGAAAAAAAUGCUAUUUCUUGAAUGCUAGACUGAAGAUGUGACAGGCAAAACUGGAAAGAGAAAUUCUACUACUACUACUACUACUACAGUGGUACCUUGGGUUAAGAAUUUAAUUUGUUCUGGAGGUCCGUUCUUAACCUGAAACUGUUCUUAAGCUGAGGUACCACUUUAGCUAAUGGGGCCUCCCGCCGCCACAUGAUUUCUGUUCUCAUCCUGAAGCAAAGUUCUUAACCCGAGGUACUAUUUCUGGGUUAGAGGAGUUUGUAACCUGAAGCGUCUGUAACCCAAGGUACCACUGUACUAAUGUUUCUAUCCCACCUUUCCUCCAAGGAGCCCAAUGUGGCAUACGUGGUUCUCCCCCUUUCCAUUUUACACUCACCAGAACUCUGUGUGGUAGGUUAGGUUGAGAGAUUGUGACUGGACUAAGGUCACCCAGUGCAGUGUAAACCCUUAACAGUCAGAGGCAGCAAUGCUUCUGAACAUCAGUUUCUGGAACCCACAUACUCUUAUGCUCAGGUCUUGAUUGGGAGUUUCCCACAGGCAUCUGGGAGGGCACUGUGAGAAUAGGAUGCUGGACUACAUGGGCCAUGGGCCUGAUCCAGCAGGCUCUUCUAAUGUUCAGAAAGCCCCCUUUGCUCAGCGUUGCUGUGAACAGACUUGCCACACAAUGGAUCAUGGCACACAAUGGAUCACUGCUGCAAGGGGUGCAGCGAGAUGUCAAAAGACUAACUAGUUUCAUCAUGGUGUAUAUAAAUAACUACCAUUUUGGGGGGAUGAUAACUAAUAUAGCAAAGUGCAUAAUGGAAUGCAGCGGGUAAUGGGAGGGGAAAUUAGAACCUGUUGUUUUCUGUUGUUGUGUCUGAACACACAAUGCGGGGACAUUUGUUGAUGCUGUUUUGCAUCUGAUCUACCAGGACAGUGGUUGCAGCGGGAACCAAAGUCAGUGUCUGCAAUGCUUAAUAUUGGAGUGGGGGCUCAACUGCUAUGGAGGAAAACAGCUUCGUAAGGCAUUGUGCGAAAUCCGUGCAGUAUUGCACUAGGAAGAGGCGUAAUGCUGCAAUAAACCAAAAGACCUUGAGAGGCAGGAGCCAAAUUAACUUAAAAAACCAAACAAAACAUCAGCACAUCCCCCACCUCGCUCCAGCACUUCUCCUGUUAUCUCUUCCAUGGGAUAUUGAUAUUGGCAGCC